CCCCAUGGUUUCCCCGCAUCGGAGGAUUUGAUUGACUUGUCUUCUCCUCUUCCACCUCUCGUCGUUGGGUAAGUCGCAGGUAUGGUAUUCGUAAUCGGUCCUGAUCUCGCGCUCUGCUCGCUGUUCUUCGUUUGAUUGUAUUCCAGGCUUAUAGUGAUGUGCAUUAUCGAGAGGGCCCGGAGAUACCUCUCCGACAAUCGGAGUGACAAAUUCUAAUCUCGGUCUAUGCCAACUCAACAAACACCAUCGAAGACACCUGUAGAGCAUCUUUAUAACCACCCAGUUAUGUUGUGACGUUUGAUAGCACACUAAGUGUUCCUCCAGUAUUCGGGAGUUGCAUAGUCUCAUAGUCAUAGGAACAUGUAUAAGUCAUGAAGAAAGCAAUAGUAAUAAACUAAAUGAUCAUAGUGCUAAGAUAGCGGAUGGGCCUAGUCCAUCACAUCAUUCUCUAAUGAUGUGAUCCCGUUCAUCAAAUGACAACACAUGUUCAUGGCUAGGAAACUUAACCAUCUUUGAUUAACUAGCCAGUCAAGUAGAGGCAUACUAGGGACACUGUUUGUCUAUGUAUUCACACAUGUACUAAGUUUCCGGUUAAUACAAUUCUAGCAUGAAUAAUAAACAUUUAUCAUGAUAUAAGGAAAUAUAAUUAACAACUUUAUUAUUGCCUCUAGGGCAUAUUUCCUUCACAAGUCCCAUAUACCACUCUAAAAGUGACCACACGGGAUGUCCAAAUAAUUUAUCUGAGGUUCUUAGAUGUGGUGUUUUUGCAAGUUCCUCAUACAUGUUCCCCUAAAACAUGUUUUCUUUCUAUUUCUCUUUAAACUAACAUACAAAUGGCAUAUGCAUGGAGAGGAGGUUAAGGAGAGACCGACGAGCGACACAGAGAGGCAGGACAGACGAUGCAGCUGGGCAGGAAGGGGAAGAGGUAAGGAGGAGACGCGACGGGGGGAGCUGGUACAUACAACGCGGCUGAGUUUGUCGGAAGGCAACAGAGUGGCGGGCCCCCGAAAUUUUAACGGUUGUCUCCUACCACGCUUACUGCAAGAUUUACGAGAAGAGUCAUCUUCCCUUGACGGAGGGGAAGUUGGGUUGAUUAUAUGGCCCCCCUUAAAAAAAUUAGAAAUGCUAUUGAUCUUGCAUUCCCUAGGACGUACAUCCAAUUCCCGUGUGCAAAUCUCAUGAUCCACGUGACAAUCCUUGUUGGCUCAAAUGCACCUCUCAGAGCGAAUGACUAUCUGUAUGACACUAAAUGUUCGCUCUCAUGGCGAGACCCCCAUCGUAUCCCUUAACAACCCCCCUCAAAAUCAUAUAUGGAUGACAAAUUUUGUAUCUAGAGCAUGACAAUUUCCAACAGUUUUCUCUCAUGUAGCACGGUAAGCCCCUUCUGCCAGCGUGAUAACUCUUGCACAGAUAGGCAAAUUUCUUUUCAUGUAGUGUGGCAAUCCUCUAAUGUAGCAUACAAGACUAUCUGGUGUAGCAUGGCAAUUCAUGAAAAUGUGUGGCAUUUUUUUCCUUUAGCCCGACAAUUCUCUAUGUUGCAUCAUGGCAAAAUCCCUGAAAUGCAGGGCAAUUUAUUCUACUGCGGUAUGGCAAAUGAUUGAAAAUCUUUCUACUAGCAUGACAAUUUUUUUUUCUUUUCAACAUAGCAAAUAUUUUUUUUGUAAUAUCACUACAAUGACAAUUCUACUAAGGCUACAUAGAGGAAGUAACAUAAAUAGUAACAUGCAUGUCACAUAGAUAAAAAGUAUGAUGUGACAAGUAAUUAAUGAGGAGAGAUGCAAAUGGAGUAACAUAAUAUGUUACCAUAGUAUAGUGGUUCCCAAUGUAAAAUGACUCUAUAAAGUAAUAAAUGAAGCACUCUGUGUUAUCACAUCUAUGACACUACCCACUAUAGAGGUAAUAACAAUAGACUACUAAGAGCAUCUCUAGCAGAUCGCGUAAAACCGAGCCAUCCAGUAUAAUAACCGCCGGUUUCCGGGAUCGAUACCGUAUACCUGUCCCGACUAGAUUCUCCAAAUCCGCUGUCCCAAUUUUUUUGUGGGAUCCCGAAUCUACGGACGCAUUUCCUCCAUAUCUACGAGAUUUCACCUGACUUUGCCGGGCCCCCUUUCUGUUGGCGCGAACCCACUUCUGCCGACUUCAGUUCCCGCCUCCACUCCCCGUCGCUACCGCAAAUCCCCGCCCCUUUUCGCUGUCCCCGGCUGCCCUGCGCCGCAUCCAUUCCACCUUGUUUCUGUGCUGGGGGGUGUACCUAUUUGUGUCCGCCCCUCACGGCUGUCGCUGGCGCCAUGGAUCCGCCUCGGAGCUUGGUGCAUGGGCUUGUAGCUUGUAGACCUGGUUGGUUCCGACACCUAUGAGUGGCGCGCGUCAGAGGAAGAGGCGACUCGUCUUUGCUUUGUCCGGCGGGGAGAAGAAAGGGGCGGCGCCACGCGUCUUUGCUUCGGUCGGCCGGGGAGAACAAAGAGGUGGCGUGACUUUGCUUCGGUUGAGGUAUGUAUAACACCCGCGGGUUUGUGCUCAAUUUGGAACGGAGUAGGUUCAGGUGAAAUUCAUGGCCAUUUUGCAUGCAUUUUAUAGAUGGAUUGGAGUUCGUCCUUGUUGUCUUCGUCCGGUGAUUCGUACAUAGAAGAGAUGAUCCCUUGACGAUGAUGAUGACAACCUAGUGUUGUUGUAUCUCGUCGACGAAUUUGAGGCGGGGCCGAAGAAAUCGUGGCGUGGAUCCAUGGUCGGCUGGCUAUGCAUUCCCCGCAACCGAGCUCUCGGUGACAAGAUGCUCAUGAAAGACUACUUUGCUGAGAUACCGACAUAUCUGGCUCACCUCUUUCGUAGAUAAUAUCGAAUGUAUAUGUCACUUUUAGUUCGCUCGUCAAAGCUUGCGAGCAAAAUUGACGUUUCUUCACUUAGUGUAGGAAUGCCCCCGUUUUGAUUGGCUUUAGUGCAUAUAAAAAAAUUCGAUGGCGAUGAGAGUGAUUGCAUAUGGUGUUCCCGCCCACUAUGCAGAUGAAUAUCUUCGCAUUGGCGAAGAUACCACCAUCAAAUGUGUCAGUGUCUUUGCGAAGACAGUCAUCCGGGUUUUUGUCCCGGAGUACCUUUGAACUCCAAUUGAAGCAGACACAAAGAACCCCAUGGCAAUGAACGGAGCAAGGGGAUGGACGGGCAUGCUAGGUAGUAUUGAUUGCAUGCAUUGGAGGUGGAAGAACUUCCCGGUGGCUUGGGCAGGGCAAUACACCGGUCACAAACAUAGACUCACCAUCGUGCUUGAAGCCGUGGCUUCACAUGAUCUAUAGAUCUAGCAUUGCUUCUUUGGUUUGCCGAGGUCUCUCAAUGAUAUCAAUGUUCUGCAGCGAUCUCAUUUGUUUGCUCAGCUAGCUAGUGGCAAAGCUCGGGCUUGCAACUAUACAAUCAAUGGCCAUGACUAUACCAUGGGGUAUUAUCUUGCCGACGGUAUUUAUCCAUCAUGGUCAACAUUUGUGAAGACCAUUAGUGACCCUAAAAUCAAGAAGCACAAUUUUUUUUGACGAAACACAAGAAGCUUGCCAAAAGGAUAUUGAGAGGGUAUUUGGUGUGUUGCAAGCUCGGUUUGCCAUUGUUCAAGGUCCUGCUCGCUUUUGGGAUAAAAAAUCACUCAGAAAUAUCAUGAUUGCUUGUGUAAUUUUACACGACAUCAUCGUUGAGGAUAAGAGUGAUUUGGACUUGGAGUACAACUAUGACAAUGUUGGUAGCCGUGUGAAGCCCGCCAGGGACGCAAAAGAGAUCAGUGCAUUUCUUAAGACCUACUGGAAGAUCGAGAACCGUGAUUCGCACAACCAAUUCCAGCAUGAUCUCAUUGAGUAUUGGUGGCAACUCUAUGAGCGAAGAUUAGAUCCCCAUUUUUCUUCAUUUCUAUUCGUGUGAGAUAUGCCGGCACUGUGUUCUAAUAAUUAUUUGAAUUGAACAUUUGUUGUAAUGAAAACUAUUAUUGUAUUGUGAAUUGCUUUUCGGACCAUUUAUAUGUAUGUUGAAUUUAUAUUAUGAUUUCAUUCGGUUGAUAUCAUUGAAAUGUGUAAUGUGUUUGAUGCUAUGCAAAAUUUAAGGUAGCGGGAUGCAUUUGCGGGAUUUGUUCCGCAGGAGCGCUCGCGGCACCGUAAAUUUUUUUAUGGGCGCCCUUAUACGCGUUUCGUGGACCGCACUGGUUGCGGGAUCUGCUAAAACUGACGUAACAUAUGCAUGUUACUAAUUACUAGUCUAAUUUACUCCGCAUUAUGACCAGCCUAACCCGUCCAAGAUAACGCCUUAUUAUUGGUGUUUUUUUUGUUUACAAGACCUGUUGAUGAAGACUUUUUUUAACUCAAAGUCAUUACUUUUAACACAAUGCUGGCAUAUCAUCUUGAGAGCACCAGUACCCUAGUGAGCUGGAAUACCACUGUUCUUUUAACCAUCUAACCACAUGUUGAUUCGCAACUCAAAAUUAUUAUUUUAAUAAUAAAAAAAUGAGUAUGUUUUUACAUUUGUAUGGACCCACCCCACCACGUGUGUGACGUGCCCGUCAUCAACCGAUAAGAACACAGUCGUGCCACGCACGGGAUAACGAUAGCAGCAACCCGCCCACCGCCCCGCCCACCGCCCACCCAGACCCAGCGCUCCCCUUGCCACCAAACCCGCGUGGCCCUCCGACGUCGGUUCGUCUCCGACCACGACUGGAAAAGGUCAAACCGCCACCGCGCGCACCGACUCUUUCCCGGAAACCCAUCGCCGCCACCAGCUCCACGCCCCCUAUAUAAAUACCACACAAGCCCCCCAUGGUUUCCCCGCAUCGGAGGAUUUGAUUGACUUGUCUUCUCCUCUUCCACCUCUCGUCGUUGGGUAAGUCGCAGGUAUGGUAUUCGUAAUCGGUCCCGAUCUCGCGCUCUGCUCGCUGUUCUUCGUUUGAUUGUAUUCCAGGCGAGCGUUCUGUCUUGGUUGAGGUGCUCCUUCCGUCGAGUUCUUAGUCCCGGUGGUUUCUCGUCUGUUUCGUUGAUAUUGGUACCGUACGUGUUCUGAACCUUGCUGCUUUGAUUUAGGGUCGCGGCUAAUCUAUUUUGCUUUGACUUCUGAUCUGAUUUAGGGAUCCAUCAUGCUCUGAUUGCGAUAUGAUUUAGGGUCGUGUAUCAUAUUUGCUGAUUUGAGUUAAGGUUGUGAUGAGUAACGGAGAUUAUAUUUGGUGCGAAUUACGAGUUAUGUUGGUAUAGACACGUGGAGCAGUUCGUUUGGUUUCAGUUCUGUUCGUUAUGGCGGAUUGGCCUGGUCGGUUUAGUUGGCCCCGUGGAGAUGUUUGACAUGAUCCGAAUGAGAGAUUGAAGGUUGUGGUUUCAGUUUCGAUUCUUCUGUUCAAUUCAAGGUGAUUCAGUAAUGUUCUGCGUACAAAGUGCUUCAUAUUUUUGCGGCGAAAAACAGUGGGUUGGCGACAGUUCAGACAGUCAAAAUUCUCCAGUAUUUUUGCCUUUGAUCCCGUUCAUUCAUACAUAGUCAGACUCAAUAAGAAUUAGAGGAAGUUGGAAAAAGGUUUGCUAGGUCUAUCCGGAUAUAUUUGCUUUCGCCUAGCAGCCUAUACAUGUCAGAUUAUAUAUGAAAAGGAUUGUGCUAUAUUACCAUGUUACGAAGGUAGAGCUGGGAUAUGUCUUUCUUGAACUGUGUGCACAUGCUCAUGGUGGAGGUGUGAUUCUUCAGUGGCUAUAUUUUGGUGUCAACUUUUGGUUGGUUUCAUUUCAAGAUUGCUAGGAAAAUCGGAGGUUGUGUUUGCAUUCUAGACGUAAUUAUCUUGGGAAGUACCUCAAAUGAACAUGGAAGUUUUGCUUUUGAAGUGAUCUGUUUGAAGGUUCUUUCAACUAGAGUGAAGAAACUAUUGGAUUGUGUCUGCAAAAUUAGUUUACUGCUGCUGUGUUUUUCUGGAGUGGUAUGUCAAGGUCUAUUCAGAUGCUGGUUACUGUGUGGGAUUCUACCAAUCCUUCUGAUCACUAGCUUGUGCGUUUGAUUUUCUACAUGGAUAUUCGGUUGGGCUUCAGCCGGUUUCAUGCUCUGUCCGGUGUUGGAUUAGUCUUAGCCUGAUAAUUAGUACUCUUAUUGUAAUCUGUAGCCAUGUUUUUAUGAUUAGUAUGUUCUAAUGCAAUUUAUGUUGUACACAACUGUCAAUUAUGCAUCUGUUCUGAUGUUGCUUACUGUAACCGAUGUAAUUGUUGAAUGAUAUAUGGAUGCCAUAAUUUAGCCCUUCGUCUUCAUUUUGUUUGGUGUAUAAAAGCUGUAACCAAAUAGCAACUGAAUUUCAUAGCGUGAUGUUCUUUUUUCCUGCAUAAGUUACAUUUUUAUUCAUUGUUCAUCCAUGCAAAUUCAGUGGAUAUUGUUGGGAACAUCCUGCUUUUGUAGUUCUCAUCAUCUCAAGUUAACAAUGAUGACUUUUGACCUAACAUUUUGAACUUUGUUACGUUAUCCAUCGUUAUGUUGUCCGAUCAUCCGUUUAAUCAGUUUAACUGUGAAAUAUGGUGCUUGUUGUGCUGUCCAUAUGCAGAAGAUUAAUUUUAAUUAUCACAUGGGGUGCUUGCAUUUAAUCUUGAUUUCACAUAUAUCAUUCAUGAGUAUCAUAUUAUGUUGCUAUUUUACGUAGUUUGGUAUUAUAAGCUUGAAGUUCAUGUUAAUGUGAGGGUAAUACUGUGAGAUAACUAUGUUAGUCCAUAUAUAGAGUUCUAUGUUUGAAUUAUUUACAGUCUGCUUUUACUCUUGAGUUCCCAACCUAGUUAGUGUCAGUUAAGAUCUUAUACUGUUCAUGGAACACCUUAUAUGAUCUGUAACAGUUUUGAGCAAGUAUUCAAAGGCAAUAUAGUGAUAAGUGGCGUUGGUCUAAUCGUAGUUCUACGCGUAUGUUGUUUACAAUUUAUUUUCACUCUUAUAGUUUCCAUCUUGUCAGUGAAUUAAGAUUCUAGUUCUGUUUUUGGNNNNNNNNNNNNNNNNNNNNNNNNNNNNNNNNNNNNNNNNNNNNNNNNNNNNNNNNNNNNNNNNNNNNNNNNNNNNNNNNNNNNNNNNNNNNNNNNNNNNNNNNNNNNNNNNNNNNNNNNNNNNNNNNNNNNNNNNNNNNNNNNNNNNNNNNNNNNNNNNNNNNNNNNNNNNNNNNNNNNNNNNNNNNNNNNNNNNNNNNNNNNNNNNNNNNNNNNNNNNNNNNNNNNNNNNNNNNNNNNNNNNNNNNNNNNNNNNNNNNNNNNNNNNNNNNNNNNNNCUCUGGUUGAGAAUUGAGAUUAUAUGGCACAUACUGCAACUUUCAAGCUUGGUAGAAGAUUUAUUUGCAUGUGAUUUAGCUUUCCUUCCCUCCUUAUUUUGUUCAGAUGAUAAGCAUAAGCAUGGUAUGUACGGUAAUUUUCAGGUGCCUUGUUUUCAAAAUAAAAACAUUUUAUUAUGCUGUGAGAUUAUUUGAAUAACUACUUGUCCCUGAUUCGUUGUGUUGUAUUCAUCUCUUAGGUCUGAACAGUGCAGUUGUUGUAUAUGACCUGAUGUUCCUUUUGCGUCCUUGGAUGUGGGCUUCUGUUUGUUUACUAGUUCUUAUUAGCUCAGCAACUAGCUGAGUCUUAUCCUCUUGACUAACUAGAGCAGUCUUAACAGAAAAUACGAUUUAUUUGUUGUGCUUAACUACUCUUAAAUUGUCUGCAUGAUCUAGUUUUGACGCUUUUUCCUGAAUAAUGUAAAUAAUGUUGUGCCGUUUAACUUGUUACUUGAGUUCCAAUUCCUACGGUUCUAAUUUUCUUUUGCUUGACAUAGAAUUAUGCUAUCUGUUGAAAUUAUUUAUCUUGCUACUGGUCACUAUUCACAUGAUUUUUUAAUGGUUAGGAUGAUGUUACGAGCCAAGUAGGUGUUGCUACAUUCUACGCUUUAUUAUUUAGUUAGAUACAAGUCACCUGGAAAAUACAUCAUAGGGUUUUUAAUUUCUCAGCCUUGGUGACCAGUUGUAUAUAAGUUGGUAGCUUUUUAUUUUAGUUCAAAAAACUUGAUUUGUUCAUAUGAGUUCUUAGUUUCCUUUUAAGCCUGUUAUGCUGUACAUGUGUCUAAAUAGAAUUUUCUGGCCUAUCGGUAUUUGUUGUUUGUACUGCAUUUUCAGUUUUUUGCUAAUAAUAAAUGUUUGGUCAGUCUUGGUAUGCCCCUAACCCUCUUGUUGUUUUGUUCUAGUCUGGAUUUGAGCUCUGUUCCCUAUCCCCAUGUUGCACCGCUUUAAGAUAUUUUAAAAUCUUUUGAUGUGCUGCGUGUAUAUCCUUAACAAACUCAAAUACAUUUUUAUUCAUCGCCAGGUAAUACCUUACAAGUUUCUUUGUUGAGAAUUAGGUGGGCAAGCUAGUUCGUACUGCCGUUUAUUUCAUGUUUGCACAUCUUAUUGACACUGUUGACAUAGAGAUUUAUUUUGAGAAAGAGUUUGUUUAGUCUUGAUCGCUAUGUAGUUCUGUGCAGUUCAGUCACCAUCUUGUACGUUGUUAAUUUAUAAUGUUAAAUAACUUAUGUGUACAGUAAACAAUCUUUUACUGAUUCUACUUGUGAUCUAAUUACUAAGUACUAUACUUGUACGUGAAUGUCAAAUUGAUUUGUACCAGAUUGUUAUUAGACAGUGUUUUUCUUUCCUCAUCUGUUGCAUUUUGAAUGACAAUAUAAUAUAUGUUGUUUGUUUCAAUCUUUACUGUUGUGUUGUUAAAAAUGUAUGUUUCUCCUAUUUGUAUUUUGUUAUGGCGCUGCUAGAAGGAGGGCGCGAGAGGGCCGGCCGGGGGCCUUUUGCCCACGGCCGGGCAAGAUGGAAGGGAUUUCCUUCUUAAUUCUUGCUUGACUAGAUUGAUACAUCUCCUCCCCUUAUAUAGAGGUUUACUUGACUCCCCAGCAAGGCUUACUUGACCCCUAAGCAAGCGACCCUUAUCUCUAAUUAACCCUAAGACUAACAGGCUAUACCGCCAGCCCAGGCCCAUUAGGCCCAUUACGUACUCCAACAGUUCUUUCUUCUAAACUUAACAACUAUUACAUGCCUAUAAUUUUGCAAAUAAGUAGCUCUUGUAGGUUCAGUAGCACCAUGCUUUCCGAAAUGUGAGUUCAUAUAUUUAACUUUCUUCCAGACAUCUUUUCGUGUUGUACAAACUAGGCCAUACAUUUUUACUCAAAGUUCAUAUAUCAUACCAUUGUCAAGUUAAUUUGGUACUCCCUCUAUCUCUUUUUAAGUCAAAACUUUCACAAUACAAAAAGUAUGUAGAAAAGAAAACACCAACAUUCACAAUACAAAAACAAUAUCAGUAAGAUUCAUCAUAGAAUAUAUUUUCAUAUUGUAUUUGAUACUGUAGAUGUUUGAUACUUCUCAAAAAGAAACGGAAGGACUAUUUUUUUCCGUUGUUAUAGCAUUGUUUUGAAAAUGGCUAUUUUAUCUUAAAUGGUGCAUCGUGCAUCAACUUUUUUGGCUCUGCAUUGUCCCAAAUUUGGUGCAUGGCUGAAUUUGAAGUGUGCUUGUGGUAAUUAUCAAGUGUUAAUUUUGCAUGUUGACCUUUUGUCCCGGUUAGUUAUUGGUCUCUUUUCAAAGCUUUGGCGGCAUUUUGAUUUGUUGAAAAUAACAACUAUUUGAAGAAUGUUCACUCGGUUUACCGGACAGUCAAGUACCUGAUAUUAGUUUGGCCUUUUGAUGUAACUGUAACAAUUGCAAGCUUGAGAAGUUGAAUUUGGUUUGGUCUGGGACUUGGGCGGUGUAUUUGUUAGCUUCAGUGCACUUCUUUUUAGAUCUCUAUAGGUGUUGUGUAUUUUCUUUAGUGCAUUAUGAUAUACAGAACUACUCCCUCCGUUUGUUUUUAUAAGACGUUUCAGACAGCUUGUUUUGUAUUGUUUUAAACAGUGUCUGAAUGUCUAAAACGUCUUAUAAAAAUGAACAGAGGUAGUACUUUUUUGUAUUUGACUGAUUGAAUCGUGCCUCUUAAAAGAUGUUACAGUUCCUAUUUGUAAUAAAUGUGUAUGAUUCAUUUUUUGGACGGUGUGUAUGAUUUGUUUUGAAGUGAAUCGUUUAUCUUCCUAUAAAUACGAGUGUUUGUGUCCAUUAAAAAUCUUUGCGCCGGUUCUUGAAUCAGUAGCACCUUACAUGGCUUUGAUUUGUUAAUGUGGAUUUGUGUUUUCAUCUGGUAUACAGUUCUCUUGUGUUCAGUGUGUGCAUAAUGAGUCAGAGUGUUGCAGUAUAUGCCUUCGUUGAGUUUUGUCUCUUGCAAUUGUGGCAGUAUCUUUCUAUAUAAUUGAUAAUUUCGAACAUGAAUAGUUGAUUGUUGAGUUUCUUCCCAUAUAAUUGAUGAUUUUGAAUAGGAAUAGUUGAUUGUUCAGUUAAUAGUAAAAGUUGGGAGUGCUUAUGCCUUACAAUAUUUCGUAUCUUUGUUUCCUGAAUUAGUUAUCUUUCUUGGUUGGGACAUGUUGUUAAUUUGUGUUAAUCUGACAUGUUGUGCGCUAUUGUGUGCAAAAUGACCCCUCCAAAAGAGGCCUUCUCAUUUAAGAAUACUGGAAUGAUACAGACGGAUAUGUUUUGCUUUGUUUUCUUGGGUAUGACUUGGAUGCUAAUACUUCAGAUAUUUUCUUCAAUUUUAUUCUUCAGAUAGUUGAAGGUACUAACUGAUUUUUUUACAUUUAUAAGCUUUGUUGUGAUAACGUGUUCUUCAAUUUUAUGUUUCCUUUGUUUGCGAUUUUGUCCAAAACAAUUUUAGUGCCUAUAUUGUAUGUUCAUUAGCACACAUCUGAAAUGCAAGUUCCUACAUUUUCUGUUUUUUUUUGCUGCAUUCAACUUAGCUAUCAAUUCAACAACUUAGCUAAACAUAUCAAUUAUAUUUUCAUAUCAACUUUUUAUCCAUCGUUGUUGUGAGUAUGGCUGUCUUAAUUAUAUUAGAUACUUAUUUUGACAGGGUCUCAGAUUUGGUGCAUGUCGGAAUUUCUAGUGUGAUACUGUACAGUCAUGAUGCAAGGUGUUAAUUUGUGUAUGCUGACCUCAUCUGCGUGAAAUAGUUGAGCUAAUUAAUAUAACUGCAAUUUAUGCAAUUAAUAGUCAUGAGAAUUUGCUAUUUAUGUUUUAUUAUUUUAUAUCGGCGCACAAGUCUUUUAUGUUGGAUAGAUUGAGUUUUGCUUGGCGGUAGCUUCUAUUUGUAUGAUUUCCUUUGAAAGGGAUAUCGUUUUGUCGAUGGGUUUGUUUUCAUAGCCUUGCAUUUUGUGUGUGUUAUUUGUGUGCAAAAAAGAGUCUCAGUAGGUCAUUUUCUUAACCAUUUCUGAUAGUGUCGAUAUGUCCCCUCUUGAUGGCUGCAUUAGUUGUUGCAUCUCAUUUUGAUGUGAGCUGUGUAUGUUGUUUGCAUCUCUAUUUACAGUUUGUAUUGUUUGCCCUGUUGACAUGUUUCAUAUUUGCCUCUGUAGAUUUAUUCUUUAUAUGUGAAGCGUAUGUAUGGGGUGGGUGAGGGUGCGUAACACUGCCAAUGCCGGUCCCAAGCCCGGAUAAAAGUGGAGGGAGCACCAACUAACUAUUGUAUGUGACAGUCUAUUUUGCGGAAGUUGUUUCUGACUUUCAGUAUUCUAGAAUAGAAUCUAAGCGGAUGUCCCUAGCUGAAGAUGUGGGAGCUCGUCCAGCUUGAUUAUGCACACAGGAAAUGAAAAUCUCUGGUCGCAACUAAUCCUAGCAUGAAAAUAGGGAAGGAAAUAAGAACUUGGAAGGUACAGUGAUGUUCCAAACCCAAAUGGAAGUUUGCCAAACUUGUCCUGAGCAGAGCCGGGGGACAUUGGUGGAAGUCAUCGUUUUAACUUUGUAGUUUUUUUUCACUGUGGUCAACUCUACAAGUAGCACGGGCAAAAUAUGUGCAAAUUUUCAAGCUUGGCAAUUUAACUAGAUGAUAAUCUAAUUUCACGUUCUUUGUGGUACCAGAAGAUCAAAAACACAUGCUGAAACUUUGCAGGUGAGGUAGAUGCUAAUUCAUUUUUAGUGUAUAACUGUACUCAUCGAUGCCCAGUCCAUGCAACAGGAAGAUCACUUCAUUUGUUUUCUGUUUUUCUUUUGACGAAACAACAGCUUAGCGCUCUAUUUCAGCGAUGAAGAGAGAGCAACGACAAAGGUUCAUUUGGUAAUUCUCAUCCUCUCUUUACUCCAUCAAAUCUGCUUAUGAACAACACUGUUUGAAGGAAUUGUGAAAUCUCCUCUGUUGGCUAUUUGUACUCUGAUGUCAUGUUGGCGCCCUCUUUCUAAAUGAUCCAAUGCCAGCAGAGUGGAAGCACAGAGGUGACAGGGCUGUAGCAGAAACAUUUGUGAUUGUAUCCCGUGGUUCUUCUGGUCUGCCAGCUCUUGGCUUGGGCAUCGUUGCUGUCCGGUGCCUUGCACGUCCCGCCAACACAAAUAAAAGAGUAACCUUGUCAACGGGCUCCUCCGCCUAGCACAAAAAAUAGUCGAAAUCUCUCUGACGCAGUCGCCAGAGAUGCAGCCAGAAACAAGCCUUUGUUAGACGGAUUCGCAAUGCCAACAUCCUAGCUUGGUUCAGCUCAGCACGAGUGCACGACACCAGAAACCGUACCACUUGGCGGGUGAAACGACGCUCCAGCCUGAAAGAACUAGUCAAAUUUCUCUCUUUCUUCUUGCUUUGUCCAAGACCCCAAGGUGUCCAAAACCUGUGUUGUUCGACACGAGAGCGAUCAAGCUUGAGAAGCAGAGCAAGAUCAUCAAGAUGGACCACCUUUCUCUCCUCGUGCUGCUCGUCGUCUGCUUGUGCCUGGCCAUCCAUCUCCAGGGCGCUAAUACGGCAACUCCUCCAACAAUGGCGUGGCUGGGGUCGCCGGCCCGGGCUACUCCUCGCUGGGCGUGGCCGCCGCUCUGCUCGCCGCCGCUGCGCUCGUUUUUAACUGAAGAUGACCUCACCUGAGCUCCUCGAGUUAGCUGUUGCCUGCUUUUGUAUCAUUACUUAGUGAUGUUCUUGAAUAAAUAUUUAAAUAUAUAACAGGUAUUUUUUUGCGAGUGAAAUGUAUAAUGGGUAUUCGUCAGGGUUUGGCUACCGGGCGAAAAUUUGGAUACUGUCUGGUAUCCGCGUUUCUCGCCACCCCACAAGAUUUGCAUAUGCCGAGCAAAAAAAUUGAAAUAUUUGAAUUUGAACAAAGAACACAUAGUUAACUAAGAUAGAAAUUGUGAUAUAACAGAUAAGCAAUGAUGGUCCAAUGGGCCGUGUAUUCGGGCUCCAUCUAUUUUCUAUGGUUUUGAGUGGAGCAGUGGCUCACGGGCGAUCUUCUCCCAUGACGCGAUCAAGUGAUUCUUCUACGUGACUCCCUCUGCCUUCGCUCCCUCCUCCGUCUCCGGUUCCUGCGCUUGGGGUGAACAAGAGGGGUCCUAGUGACCCUACCCGCCCUUGGUGCACACGUGUGGUUCAAGGGUUGGGGUUUUUUAAGGGGGAUCGCCGGAGAUGGCAAGUUCAGCGGCGGCUGGAAAAGAGAAGGAAGGUGUGGAAAAGAUGAUGAAUCCGACGGAUAGGGAGAGUGCAAAGCUAGUUGUGGAUGAUCAAGAGGAGGAACAAGGGGAACCGAUAGUGGCGGUGGUUGGGAAGGUGUUGCAUGUCAACACCAUUACUGAUGCUCUUCGUCCUGCCUAGGGCAACUUGAGGGGUCUCUCAUUUAGCUCAGUCGGGGGACAACAUGUUUGUGGCAAGUUUUGAAGGAAAAAAAGGACAACGAUGGGAUCUUUGAGGGAGGUCCGUGGAUGGCGGGGAAACACGCGGUUGUGUUGUUGAUUUUUGAUGUGAGAUCGCGGCCCUCAGACCUCAAAUUUGAGAUGAUGCAGAUCUAGACAAGGGUGAUCGAUUUACCCUUCAAUCUUCGAUGCCCUCCAUGUCUAGAAAGGAUAUCAAAACUUCAGGAAAGGUCAUUGGGGUAUAUGUGGACGCAAAGGGCUUUGCCUAUGGGGAAGCACUGAGAACACGAUUGUGGAUUGAUGUGCCCGAGCCAUUGAUGAGGUGGGUUCGGCUAGAAUCAACAAGAACAAAGGAGGAUGUGUUUUAUGAUAUCCAUCAUGAAUCAUUGCCUUAUUUUUUUUCUCCCACGGUCUGUUUGGGCAUGCAGAACUGCACCGUCUGACACCGUCAGAAAGAGAUAGUCAGGGGGGACUUUCGUAUGGUGAGUUGAGGAUGCCAACUUGUAAGAAAAGUUGGGGAGUGCGCCGUAUCAUGGAUAUGGAGAUCCUUUGGGAUCUCACAACGAAUAUGAGAAAAUGGGAGGAGGAGCAAGUAAAAAAAGGGAGGAGGUGACACCUCCAAAUAAGUUGGGCAGUAGGAGGGUUACAGUAGCGUUGUGCCAGUUUAAUGCUAGGGGCGACGUCGUAGCUAGCAGAGGUGCACCCUUUCAAUGGGGCCCGGGACAUGGCAUAGACACUCUUUAUAGGUGUGUGAACAUGGAUGGAAAUAUAGGGAAUGGAAAUUGGGGGUGGGGGAUACACUCCUCAUGUAGGUGGAUCAGGAAACCUUAAAUAAGAAAAAGACUAAUGAGGCUGAGGUGUCCAAUGAUUUCAUGGAAGAUAGCAGAUAUUUUUGUCUCGUAGACCUAAUCUUAUUCACAUGCAUAGCCACCUUGGUGAUUGGAAGUCUAAGAAGAUCAGAGAUGUUAGACGCAAAUUAAAAAGGUCCGUAAGGAGUUUGAGAGAGGGAAGAGUAACUCCUUGUAUCGGGGCUCGUCACCAGGUGAGAAGGAGUUGGCUCGACAACAUAAUGAACUGUUAUAGUGUGAGGAGAUCAUGACACGACAAAGAUGACAUGUUGAUUGGUUGCAGGUUGGGGAUCAAAACACAUGAUUCUUCCAUGCCUAAUCAACUGCGUGACGGGCACACAACAAGAUUACUACACUGGAGGAUGCUCAGGCGAUGGUGUACGAAAGCAAAGAAGCCAUUUUAAUGUUAUUUACAAGCUUUGCUCUAUAGUGUUGGCUAACUGUCUUUUGUGAAACAUUGCCCUGCCAUAAUGUGAGAUGUUUCCAAUGCCAAUAAAAAGUAACUCACCCAAUGGUAUUUAACAUCCAUAAAACUGCCAAAUAAAGUGUGUCCUAGUGAGAUUUUAGAUGAGAUCAUUUCCAAGGAGCAAAGUGCUUUCGUUCCAGGGCGGCUCAUUACUGACAACACCAUCACAGACUAUGAGUGCAUCCAUGUUAUGAGAAAGAAGAAAGGGAAGCAGGGUUGGUGUGUGGUUAAUAUGCCCUUUCUUCAGGCAUGUAGAAUGUUACCUUCAAUGUUAUCCCCCAAAUUCUUGGGUGUGGCUGUGCACUCAUACAAUGUACAUAAAAUGCCUUCAAGGUCCAUACCAAAUGAAGAACCAUCCGUUCAGUUUUCUUGCCUAAUUUUGAGCUUUAACACAUGUGUUGUGUAAAAAAGGCAAAAAAACCGAGUAUGAAGGUUCGCAUGUGUUUAUAUCGUCCAGUUAUUUUGCAUGUGUCUGUGCUAAGUUUUUUUGGCAAAAAACUGAGUACGAAGGUUCACAUGUGUAGUAUAAAAUGCAUUCAAGGGCCAUACUAAAAAAAGUCCCAUCCGUCCAAUUUUUUGCUUAAUUCUUAGGUAGUGGAUGCUUGUGAGUCAACAUCUUCACAAAGUCCACUACCGAGUAUGAAGGUUCUAUCACAUGACUCUUAUCUUAUGAAGAGUCUUCGCUAUUUCUCAUCAUUUUGACUGUCUCAACCAGAUUAGGUUCUGAUUUCCAGCAAAUUACCUUGUUUAAGGAAAUUUUUUAGAUGAUAGUAUUGGGCGUUUAAUGACUACACCUCAUUUUCCCCCAAGGAAUCGUUUUCCAUUAUUGUACUAAUCCCUUCUAUCAGUGGUUUUUAAAAUAGCGUUCCAUGCAUCAUCUCUUCUUACCUCCUCCUUGGUCGAUCUACGGAAUCCCGGGUUUCUGUGGGCCUUGGAACGAGACGAAGACAAAAGACAACUCCCUUGUGAAUCAUACAUACAGAUAAUGUCGAUUAGGUAAAGUCAUCUAAUGACUCUGUGCACAAAUACGUAGGGUUGCAAGGCCUUGCCUCAACCCCCAUUGACUUACUGAAUUACUCACACAUCACGAUUGGAUUGCAAGAAGAAAUCAUUUACGAUGACAUAAAGAUGAAUCAUUAAUUGAUGAAUAGUCUUACAAUGCUGCCAAUUGUGAUGCAGCGAAUACAAGCAUGGCUACUCAGGGAGAAUCGCUAGGGUAGUGAUAGAGGUGAUGACUAUGGAGCUAAGAUGAGGAAAUGACGGCAACUAGGGUUUGUCAAUGGCGUCUGGUUCUCCAUUAUCGCUUUCUCUGUUUCUCCUUUGCGAAGGGGCCUGGACCCCUUUUACAAAGUGUGUUGAAGUGGAUACUACAGUGCUCCUGCGCGUGGUACGACCGCUGGUACGAUCAGGAUCACUCAUACCAUGCGUUGUUUUUUGCUCUGUUGCCCUUGUGGCGACUCCAUCUAGCUUGGCUUGACUCCCACACUUGGUGUUUCCUUCUAUGUGAUUAUUUUCUUUCAUGUUUUGGCCAAUUUCCUCUGGAAACACAUUAAAUAAAGUUUUUCAUGUCUUCCUGCAUUCACUAGUCAUUAGUGACAGUAUCAAAGUGUUUCUCUCAUAUUCCAAGAUUAUCGAGUUUACACAAUGGUGAAAUGAGUGCAAAAAUAUCACUACCUCUGGGACCUCAUCGUCUUGGAAUGCGAGAGUGGUAGUCUUUCGAGCAUCAUGACUGGUCGACAUAAUCAGACAUCGCCUCGCGGACCGCCCAGAGAAGGACAUCUAUUCCAAUGGCCUACUCACCAUAUUUGGUAAUCAUCCGAUGUUGCUCCUCUUUGGUGAGGCAUAUGACCGCAUACUCUGCCGCGACCACCAAUAUCCUUCAAGGUGGCAUGCGAGGAAGCAAUCUCUUUUAUCUUCACCAACUUCACGGCAUGGUCGCCGCAUGCGUCUCAAACAUCCUGUUCCAUCCUCUACUGUCGUCCAUCUUCACAAAACCAUACAAAGAUGUCAUUAUUCAUAAAAAAAGAAAAAGCAACAUGUAACAUAUAGAACACUACAUACCACACAUUUGUGAAUAUUUACACACAUGUCCACAUUUUAAUAGAAGAUAUUUUUUUAACUAACUUAUUUUUAUUUUAGUUUCCUUACAUUUCCUUUUUCUUUUCUUUUAUUUGUUUAUCAAUCUUGCUAAAAUUUACUACGUACACAUCAAUUAACCUAUAUCUAUACAAAUUAAAAUGCUAUAUCUAUUUGUGUGAAUGCUCAACUCGGGAUGUGGGAUGCCGGUCGGUGUCCAGUUGGGCCGACGUCGGGGUUGGUGGUGAUUGCCGGCAUCAAAGUGGUGGAGCUCGAUGGCGGCGGUGGCCGGGAUGGAGGUGCUGCCAGAGGUGUGGCAUUGCACAUUGUCGCAGAUCACUGGCGGCAUCAAGGUUGAGGCAGAGGAGGGCGGUGGGGAUGAGGUGGUUGAGGGCGUCGAACCGUGCUUAAUUUAUAAUAGGGAGAUGAAGGGGGGCAUGAGCACGAAAACAUCCAAAUGUAAGUCGUGUGUCUUCUCUUGGUUACUCGGCUUAUGGGGAGAUGAAGGGUUUGGCAAUUUAAAAAAAUAAAAGGAAAAGUGUAAGGUGGGUGCGCCCUUAGAGAGCACUCUACUUAUAGCUGUCGCUGACAUGGAGCCGUUAAGUGAUGCGGGCAUGGCCAGGUGGCAGUUACUUUGCCGAGCCAAGUGUAUGCUUUUCCCGGAAUAUACCGAGAGCUAUGUAUAAGUCAAGUGUUUUUUCAGUGGUUCUCGGCGUAUUGCCGUGUGUGUUCUCAUGUGUACUCGGCUUACACAAUAAUAAGACGAGUGUCCGUGAAAGUUACGAAGAAAUACUAGAAAAUGUGUUUUUUUUUUCUGUAGUGUUGUGUUUUCAGCCGCCGGAUGAAGCAACCUGCACAUCCUUUAUAUACCUAAAGGUGUCACCUAUAAAUUUUUGUGAAACUUAACUUGGUCGACUUAAAAACUGCAUCGAAAAGUGAUUUUAAAUGGAAAUUUUAUUAUGACGAUAUAACACAUAGAUAUAUACAUAUAUAGUAUUUGAACACCAUGAAUUUUGCACCGUGAAAUACAAGGUGAAACAUAAACACACAUUUCGUCUCUUUGUAUCUUUUUUUUGAGGAAUUGGCAGUCGAGCUGCCUAAAUAUAUUAAGCAGAAAAAACACGAAAAGGUCGCAUUACAGAGAUGGGUUUAAGGUGUCCCACACCAAAAGGAAAAAGGCACAAGGAUCAAUCAGGUUCUGGCUCAGGAGAGUUCUCAACAUCAGAUAGCCAAUCGGCAGAGAGGGAUGGCAGUAUGAUGUCUUGCUUGAUUAGAUGAAGAAGAGCAGCCUCCUCCUGCAACGAUUUGUGCUCAAACACACGGCGAUUGCAUUCCUUCCAUAUAUCCUAAGAGGUGUAUAUAGCAGUCUUCUUGGCUCGACAUCUGAGGUCAGAGGUUAUGUUAUUCCACCAAUUUGUGGCCAGAACGGGCAGGCCCAUGUCGUUGGCCACGAGAGCCACCUGUCCCGCUCUAUCUUUGUUUGCUAGUUGCCACCUGUCUCGCUCCAACCGCCGCGUCCCGUCCAACCGGAGUGUGCCACCUGUCCCGCUCCGCCGCCACCCACCGCCGGCCCAUCGGGCCCGUUGCGGACCCGCGCCGGCCCACCGUCGCCCGAGCCAUGGCCCUGCGCUCCCCGCCCCGCUCGCCGGCCACCGCCGCCUCGCCGGCGUGCGCCUUCGCCCCNNNNNNNNNNNNNNNNNNNNNNNNNNNNNNNNNNNNNNNNNNNNNNNNNNNNNNNNNNNNNNNNNNNNNNNNNNNNNNNNNNNNNNNNNNNNNNNNNNNNNNNNNNNNNNNNNNNNNNNNNNNNNNNNNNNNNNNNNNNNNNNNNNNNNNNNNNNNNNNNNNNNNNNNNNNNNNNNNNNNNNNNNNNNNNNNNNNNNNNNNNNNNNNNNNNNNNNNNNNNNNNNNNNNNNNNNNNNNNNNNNNNNNNNNNNNNNNNNNNNNNNNNNNNNNNNNNNNNNNNNNNNNNNNNNNNNNNNNNNNNNNNNNNNNNNNNNNNNNNNNNNNNNNNNNNNNNNNNNNNNNNNNNNNNNNNNNNNNNNNNNNNNNNNNNNNNNNNNNNNNNNNNNNNNNNNNNNNNNNNNNNNNNNNNNNNNNNNNNNNNNNNNNNNNNNNNNNNNNNNNNNNNNNNNNNNNNNNNNNNNNNNNNNNNNNNNNNNNNNNNNNNNNNNNNNNNNNNNNNNNNNNNNNNNCCCGCUUGCCGGCCACCGCCGCCCCACGCCGGGCCAUCACCGCCGUCGCAGCGCCUCGGCCACCGCGAGCCACCGCCGCCGCGGGUCUCCGUCACCUUCGCCCCACCGCCUUCUUCCAUCGUCGGCCGACGCGCCACCUCGACGGAGCUCGCCCGUGCCUCCCCACCGCCUCGCCGGAGUCGUCGCCGGACCAGAUCCACCGGGUGCCCCAACCAAACGCUCCCCGUGUCCCGAUCCACUCCGUCCUGGAACCACCUCGUCCCGCGUUCACUUUCGCGGAGGUGAAAUUCCACUAAGUCCCGGAGCUCUCUGUUAUUUUUAUGCCAUGUUCAUCGCAUCGUAUCUCUGCGCUCGUUGCUCCAAAUGAUGCAUAUGAUAUGUCAUUUUGUUCGUCUCGUUGAGCUCUUGAUGCCAGUAGCAUUUCCAUGCAUGUUUAGUAUGAUGCCAUUUUCAUUGAUGCAAGAGUGCUAUAAAAUGUUAACUACUGGUACUUGUCAAUUUAUGAGGUUUUGUCAUUUUUGUUGCAUUUGAUGUGUGCAUCGUAUGAGCUUGAGGUCUACAUGAGUUUUGAACUAUGACAUGCCAUAUUUGCAUAGGUGCUUAUUUUGUAUUUUUGUGAUCUAUGUGGUGACUAGCACAAGCAUGCAAAGUAGCCUCCGCAAUGUUGUUGUUUUCAGGGACUUAUGAUUUUGCAAAGUCCUUUUCCUACUGUUAUUUUGAUGCCUUGUAAACAUGAUGCUACAGUGAGAUCCAUGCUUGUUUUGAGUUGCUUCAGUAAGGUUAUUUUGAACAUGCGGUUACGCUCUAUCCAUCCAUGCCCCUAUUUGCAAUUAUGGAGUGCUCUAGCAUGUCUUGUGCUUGCUCUACAUUUGUUAUAAAAUGUUCCUGGCAGAAUGUUAACAUGUUAAAUAUUGCCAUGGUUGUUGCUAGUGAUCCAUGCAUCCUAUGAACUUGCUCUUGCCAUGGUUAGCUUCAUGAACAUGUCAUCUUGUUGUUGCCAUGCUUAUAUUGUCAUGCAAUGCUUUGUGGUGAGUGUUUUGAGCUCGCAAAGUUGCUUUCAUAAUUCUGUCUAUGCCAUGCUCUGUUAUUCUGCUAAGUCUGAAACUAUUAAUAAAACUUGCUAUGUUUACAUGGGUUCCAUCAUAUCUUUUGUGCCUUUUUGGCUCAUCAUCAGUAAGGGACUUUUGAUCCAUGCUUUUAGUGGAAUCAUGCGAUGCCUUUGUUUGUUAUGAUAUGUUCCUGUAGCAUGAUGUUUGCUUGCUCUAAACAUUGCUUCCUGAUGUUGUUUUUCACAUGUUAGUAUUUUCACUAAGUCUGUGAAGCUGAUAUUUUUUGCACUUUUGCCAUGCUUGUUUGAACCUGUUCUAGUGGGAUUUAGCCGUAGCUCAGUGUUCAUGUUUUGUCAAGCAUCUCUUGUAAAUCACUUCCAUAUGCCUUGUUGCUAUGUUGGAGUGCAGUAUCUUAGUUUCUUGUUGCAUUCUAGAUGGCAUCAUGCUGUUAAUCACAGAAUUGUGUCAUUCUUGUUUUGCUUGCCAUUUUCAAACCGUGCAUCCAUUUCCGGUGAUCUUUAUAUCAAUUUCGACCGAAAUCAUCUUAUCUUUUCAGCGGCACACUUGGUUUGCCAAGUUGAUGACUUGUUCAUUAUUUCCCUUCCGAAGCACGCAUAUGCAUUGCAUAUCAUGUCUUGCAUAUCAUGCCAUGUUUUGCAUCAUGUUGCUUGUGCAUUGCACCGUGGUUGAUUGGUGUUCCUUUGCUUGUGUUCUUGCCUUGGGUAGAGCUGGGAGACGAGUACGUGACCGAGGAAUCUGUUGAGCACGCUUACGAGGAUCAAGCUUUCGAAAACUCUGAGAACUUUGCAGGUAAGAUGACCAUACCCUCGAAAUCACUUCUAUCUUUGCUUGCUAGUUGCUCGCUCUAUUGCUAUGUCGUGAAACCUACCACUUGCUAUAUCAUGCCUCCCAUAUUGCCAUGUCAAGCCUCUAACCCACCUUUCCUAGAAAACCGUUAUUUGGCUAUGUUACCGCUUUGCUCAACCCCUCUUAUAGCGUUGCUAGUUGCAGGUGAAGAUGAAGUUUUGUUCCUUGUUGGAACAUGGAUUUUGUUGGGAUAUCAUUAUUAUAUCUUAUUUACUUUAAUGCAUCUAUAUACUUGGUAAAGGGUGGAAGGCUCGGCCUUAUGCCUGGUGUUUUGUUCCACUCUUGCCGCCCUAGUUUCCGUCAUACCGGUGUUAUGUUCCUUGAUUUUGCGUUUCUUACGCGGUUGGGUGUUAUGGGAACCCCUUGACAGUUCGCUUUGAAUAAAACUCCUCCAGCAAGGCCCAACCUUGGUUUUACCAUUUGCCUACCUACCACCAUAUACCUUUCCCUUGGGUUCUGCAGACUCAAGGGUCAUCUUUAUUUUAAACCCCCCCGGGCCAGUGCUCCUCUGAGUGUUGGUCCGAAAUGGGCAGCCUGCGGGGCCACCUCAGGGCAACAUGAGGGUUGGUUUUACUUGUAGCUUGACCUAUCCAGUGUGCCCUGAGAACGAGAUACGUGCGACUCCUAUCGGGAUUUGUCGGCACAUCGGGCGGCUUUGCUGGUAUUGUUUUACCAUUGUCGAAAUGUCUUGUAACCGGGAUUCCGAGACUGAUUGGGUCUUCCCGGGAGAAGGAAUAUCCUUCGUUGACCAUGAGAGCUUGUGAUGGGCUAAGUUGGGACAACCCUGCAGGGUAUAAACUUUCGAGAGCCGUGCCCGCGGUUAUGUGGCAGAUGGGAAUUUGUUAAUAUCCGGUUGUAGAGAACCUGACAUCUAACUUAAUUAUAAUGAAUCAACCACAUGUGUAACCAUGAUGGUCUAUUUUCGGCGGAGUCUGGGAAGAGAACACGGUCUCGUGUUAUGCUUGAACGUAAGUAGCUUCAGGAUCACUUAUAGCUUCUCGACUGUGCGUUGAUUCUCUUUGCGCUCUUAUGUGCGUAUGUUAGCCACCAUAUAUGCUUAGUGCUUGCUGCAGCUCCACCUCACUACCCCUUUCCUACCCAUAAGCUUAAAUAGUAUUGAUCUCGCGAGUGUGAGAUUGCUGAGUCCUCAUGACUCACGGAUACUUCCAAACAGUUUUAGGUGCCGAGGAUACCAGUGCAGGUGACGAUACCAAACUCAAGUGGGAGUUCGACGAGGAUUCGGGCCAUUACUAUGUUUCUUUUUCGGAUGAUCAGUAGUGGAGCCCAGUUGGGACAAUCGAGGAUCUAGCAUUUGGGGUUGUCUUUCUUUAUUUUGGUUCCGUAGUCGGACCUUUGAUUGUACUUUGGAUGAUGUAUGGAUUUUUCAUGUAUUGUAUGAAGUGGUGAUUGUAAGCCGACUCUUUAUCCCUUUCUUAUUCAGUACAUGGGAUGUGUAAAGAUUACCGCUCUUGCGACAAGCCUACCAUGCGGCUAUGCCUCUAAGUCGUGCCCCGACACGUGGGAGAUAUAGCCGCAUUGUGGGUGUUACAGUAUAGGAUGCAUGAGUAGUAGCUGCGCUGCUGAUAUCUCCAGAAGCGAUCAGAAGAGAUCUUUGGCUUCGAGUAAGGAUUCUUGGCGCUAUCAAAGAAGGUGUUGUGGGCUCUGAAGCUGUUCACACUGAACGAUCCUGGGGAGGUUGCAACUCCGGGAAGCCUUGGCAGCCUGGGCUUUGGCUUUUGAACCUAUGGCCUCUUCUCCACAUGAUAGUCAUACUAAGGUCCGGGAGCAGUGGGAGGCACCAUGAUUGGCCAUUUCACAGUGACCAACUGUCCAUGAUCGAAGGCCUAUUCAAUUAUGUAAGGCCUAGGAGAUGGAACAGUGGCUUCAGCAUCCACAUGGGCUUCAGGUUGCACAUGAGCUUCAGGCACAACAUUGGCUUCAAGCUCCACAUUAUCUUGAGCCAUGACAACAUCAUUGGCUUCAGUAUCAUUGUUGGUAGUAGCCUCAGUGUUCUCAACCUCCGUGUCUUCAAUGACAGGAGGGUCGGGCACAGACACAUUCUCCUCGAGAAUGACUUCUUCAGUGGUAGGGGGUGUGGCAACUCUUUAUUCUUCUUGACGUGGUUCUUGAUUUUCUUCGGCUAAUGCAGCCGGAAUGUCUUUAGCAGCUUUGGCUUCAGACUCGGAGACAUUCUCAGUGGGAGUGGCAUCAGGAAACACUUCGCGUGCUACUGAGCUUUGUUGCACUUCUCCUUUUGGAAUGCUCGACAUGGUGACCUGUGGCCUAGGGCCUUUGCGAAGCCUACGAAAUGCGGGCGACGCCUAUGGUGAUGGAGUGGUCUGCACCAUGUAGUCAUUGUCAAGCACCGGAGUGGUGACUUGGGGGUUGGAGUUCUAGGAGUUUCAUCUUGAAUGGGGGUGACUUGUUGGGGGCGAUCAACCCACGAAUCAUCCUGAGCAAUUGGCGUCAGAGGACGACCAAUGCUGAUGAGUUCGUUGUUUAUAAGAACAGGCGAUGAUACCGGUUGGUACUCGAGUUGAGGAAGGACUUCAUCAUCUUCUACAUUGUCUUCACGACCAAUGUCUUAAGCUGUGGUGGGGUCAAUAGCUGGUACUUCUAAAUCUUUAGGGGCCUCUGUGGUAGCAGGCUCAUGAAUCACUAGACGAUGCUCUUGGCUCGUGGAGGCAGGACGGGCAACAGAAAUUGGCUCAAUCACAAGGGGCUCAGAGGCAACAGCAACAGUAUGCUCUUUCUUUGAAGACUUGGUCUUCUGCUUCUUCUUGGAUGGAGUAUCAUUAGAAGCAUCUUUGUGCUUUCGCUUCCUGGCAUCAGCUUCAACUGCCCUGGUUUUCUUCAAUUCUUAAGUUGCUGAGGUGACCUUAGGCUUCGAGCCUGUCAUGCUGGCAGGGAAGACAAUGCGAGGUUCUUCCUGCCGUGGUGCUUCAGUUCGGGCUGCAGCAGACUUCUUCUUCUGUUUGGCAGCCAUUCUGGGGUCGAUAGCAGGGCGCCCCAGUGCAUUGCGCUUCUCUGCCUCAUUGUGUGCUUGAACACAUUUCUCUGCGAAGUAUUUCAUCCGCUCUCUUGAACCUUUUGCUUCUUCAUGCUUCUCAUGAAACAGUUCUUUAAGCUCAUGCAGCAUUUUCUUGAAGCUUUGAACCUCUGCCACGCUGAGCUUUGCCAUGUUCUUCUUGAACUGCACCUUCUCAAAAUCAAUUUUGUUCUUCAGCUCGACAAUCUUCUGAGCCAAGGCCAACUCAUUAGCAAUGGCUCCGUGGAAGGUGACGCUGAUGUCAACUGGCAGCUGAAGAUCAUAAUGCUGAGGCUCAGGUCAUCAAACCAUUCGUCGAUGAAGUGGUUCACAAUAUCCACAUCAAAGUGGGGCAGAUUGUUGAAGAUCUCCGCCUCUUGCUUGCUCUAGAUCAGCAGCUCAAGGGCAUCAUCACCAAGAUCUUCAUCACUGGAGAGAUCAAUGGUUUCAUCGUCGUUUCGCAGAAUGGAAGCUGGAGUAAGUUCAUGCCCAGAAAUCUUCAUGGGCUUCUUCUUCUUGGGCUUCUCUUUCUUCUUUGAGACACGAGAGAGAUCUUCUGAUUGCACACUGGGUUCAGGAGGUGCAGUUGCCAAUGGCUUCACACGCGAAACUUUCGAUGCGGCAGAGGGCUUUGAAGCCUUUGAUUUCUUCUGCUUCUGCGACUGAGGUGGAGCUGGCGCUUCAUCAGAAUCUGCGUCGUCAGCUGAGUGAUCCAUCGUAGCCCCCUAUACAGCAAUGUGAGUGAUGAGGCCUUCGAGGUUGUAGAAGGGACCGAUUUCAUUGGGAUUGGCAUCGCGGGUACCAUCAGCCCUUGGAGCAGACGGACCAGGGUUGAAAUUGAGUCCAAGGUCCUUCUUGUUCUUCUUAGCUGACUCUUUUGCAAACUGAUAGUUGCACUUGAAGAGAUUGUCAUCACGACACCAUAACAAAGAUGAUGGGUCGGCGUUUUCUGGUUGUGGCCCUUGGACCAUGCACGGAUAGAAACCUUGAGCAAUGGCUUCGGGCUUGGACUUGGGUUGUAGAUUUCGGUACAAAAUAUCUCCCCAUGGACGCUUGAUAUCGUUCUUUUCAGCAUAUUCAGCAGUCACAAAUCUGUACUUGAACCAUUCUUCGGCCCAGUAUCUUCGAAUCCAUUGGAUUCGGGUCUUGCGCUCGCCAUAGGUUUCUUCAGGAUCUGACUUGUACAUUUCAAAGAGAUCCGGAGGUAGAUCCUUAGUUGUAUUCCCACGGUGCUGCAUGCCGCCCUUCCUUACAGACUUGUCGGUGGCCAUUGGAUUUAGACUGAACAACUUCAAGACUGUAAAUGGCUUCCUCUUGCUGGUCAAACGGGAACUGUCUUCAGGAGAGUUGAUGUGACGCUGCAAAAACUCUACAAAUAAAUGCAGACUAUGAGAACCAAGGGAUUCUCCCACGGACAUGUACGUGUGACAGCAUUAAGGUGCGAGGGAAGGGGAAGAGGUCAUAUGCAUUCUCAGAUGAUUUUGAAGAUAAAUCAGUUUGAAGACAUUGACCUCAUAGUGCAAAGACAUUCACUUAUUUGAAGAGAGUCGGUUCCAGAUUUGUACGAAUCCAUGAAUAAGUACACGUGAGGAAUCUAACUAGUUGUGAAGCAUAAGUGAAUAUACUUGGCAUGAUAUGAGAUGCAGACAUGGACAGAUCCAGAUAUGAAAGUGAAGAAACUACUUUUCGAUGAAGUGAAUGGAUUUGACGGAUCAAAAAGGUAGUAAAAAGUAAGUUUUAAUUACCGCUUGACGAACUGCUAGACGAGAUGGAGAGAGAGGCCGAGCAGUUCAAUCUCCCGCGCCAUAACUUGGCAACGGAAGACACCUACGGCGGCGGCGGAGAGGACGAGAUCCGUGGCCGGCGUGAGGACGGCGUCGAAGAUGUCGCGGCAGCUAAGCGCUUCGUCUCUGGCAUCGACGCGAGCUAGCGGAGGCGCUACGGUUUUGGUGCGAGGAGAAGAGGCGGAAGAAGAGAUAAUGACCGCGGUGAGGUGUGUAUUUAUAAGGACAGGGACGACACAAUGUUAUUAUGCAGGUGCCCCCCGGCGGUUCACAUCUGAAGGACACAUGGCAUGCAUGCAACUCAUUGGAAGUUGUUCCAUGUUCCCACACACGCCUGGAUUGUCGGGUCGUCGUUCCGGCUUCUCCGGUAUUCAGGCAAAAAGGAUAUUGUCGGUGUCAAAACCGGCGGAUCUCGGGCAGGGGGUCCCGAACUAUGCGUCUAAGGCGGAUGGUAACAGGAGGCGGGGGACACGAUGUUUACCCAGGUUCGGGCCCUCUCGAUGGAGGUAAUACCCUACUUCUUGCUUGAUUGAUCUUGAUGAUAUGAGUAUUACAAGAGUUGAUCUACCACGAGAUCGUAGAUGCUAAACCCUAGAAGCUAGCCUAUGGUAUGAUUGUUGUUGUCCUAUGGACUAAACCCUCCGGUUUAUAUAGACACCGGAGGGGGCUAGGGUUACACAAAGUCAGUUACAAGGGAGGAGAUCUACAUAUCCGUAUUGCCAAGCUUGCCAUCCACGCCAAGGAGAGUCCCAUCCGUACACGGGAAGAAGUCUUCAAUCUUGUAUCUUCAUAGUCCAAUAGUCUAGCUAAAGUAUAUAGUCCGGCCAUCUGAGGACCCCCUAAUCCAGGACUCCCUCAGUAGCCCCUGAACUAGGCUUCAAUGACGAUGAGUCCGGCGCGCAGAUUGUCUUCGGCAUUGCAAGGUGGGUUCCUCCUCCGAAUAUUCCAUGGAAGAUUUUGAACACAAGGAUAGUGUCCGGCUCUGCAAAACAAGUUCCACAUACCUCCGUAGAGAGAAUAAUAUUUCCACAAAUCUAAUCUGCUGACACAUUCUACAGCAUGACAUCACACUACGGCCCGAUCAUUAUUUGAACCGUUUUUCUCAACCAGCUACUGCACAUAUUGCGAGGCGGUUUUCUUGGCACGUAUUGCCAAAGCAGAGAUCGUGUCCCCUUAUCAUGGGAUUCUCAUCAAUAUGGGUGCGGGUGACCCAACCGCGCCAACAAUUACGGCGCUUGGGGAAUAAGCGGUUUCACCAGGCAAGUGGGGAGGCACAGAAUCCUUGUUGCCUUUAUAAGGGGAUAAGGACUCCCUUUCGCACCCACGCCUUCUCCUUCCCGAUCUGUUCCCCUCCACCCAAGCUUCAGCGCCCAAGCGUCCAUCUUCUCUGCCCACAAAGGUUUUCCGAAAAUGUCCAGAUCCGGAGCAGGAGGCAAAUGGAUGGCCUCUACCAUCCGGGAGAAGGAUAUCAAAAAGCUUCGGGAGGCCGGGUAUCUGCCUAAGAAAAUCAGCCAUCGUCUCCCGACGGCGGGACAGACCGUCCCCACCCCGGAACCCCACGAGAGGGUUGUAUUCCUCCCUCAAUUUGUCUGGGGACUAGGGUUUCCCCUCCACCCGUUCGUUCGCGGCAUCAUGUAUUAUUAUGGGAUCGAUCUUCACAAUCUGUCCCCUAAUUCCUUCCUCAACAUCUCGACAUUCAUCAUUGUGUGCGAGGCCUUUCUCCGCAUCUCGCCACAUUUUGGCUUAUGGUUGAAGAUUUUCAAUGUGAAGCCAAAGGUAGUGGGUGGCGAGCACGCCGAGUCCGGGGGCGCUAUGGUGAGCAAGAUGCCUAACGUUACAUGGCCAACCGGCAUCUUUAACGAUUCCGUCAAGGAGUGGCAACAUUAUUGGUUUUACAUCACCGAGUCGUGCGGCACGGAAUGGGCCGCUGCUCCCGAGUUUUGAUCCGGUGCCCCCCUGCGGCUCACAUCCUGGGUCAAGAAGGGCCUGAACUAGUCCUCGUCUGACGAAUUGUCAGUGCUCCAGACGCGCAUUAAAGAUAUGGGAGACAAGAACAUUGAACUCGUCAAUGUGGUCCAGGUGAUGUUAGUUCGUCGGAUCCUACCUUGUCAACAUCGGACUUGCAAUCUAUGGGAAUUCAAUCCGGCCAAGCACCAAACCUUGCGGGAGCUUUUUGGCUCCUUGCACAAGGACAUCUGGAAGGUGCUUUUCAAGUCCAGCAAAUCAUGGCCAGACUCCGCCGAAGACCGCGGGUACCAACUGUCCCGCCCUGCAAGUUCGGUAAGUAAUCAUACUUUUUGUCUGCAUGACCCAAGGGAAGCACUUAACAUGUUUUCCAUAAUUAUCCUAGGGCUGGACGAAGAAGGUGGAGCGGAUUCAUUGUCCGGCCCUGCUGCCCGAAGAACCGUCCGUCCCACUUCUGACGAAGAUGCUGGUCAUGGCUCCUUACAAGGUGCCGAAGAAGACGGCCGAGAAGGAGGCCAAAAAGACUCGGGGCGGCCUUCGUCGCCGCGGCACUUCGGACACAAUAUCCGAAGGCUCUGAUGCCCGUUCUGCCUCCGAAGAGGACGGUGAGGAGGAGGAAGAUGAAUCCCCUACGGGGGAAAGAAAGAAGAGGAAGGCCUCUGCACACUUGGAGGCCGAGUUGCCUAAAAGGCGGGAAGUUCCUCCUUCGGAGGAGCUCACUGCCGCCGCCGAUAGCGGCCCGGCAUGGGAUCCUAGGGCCCAGCCCUUGGUAAACUCGUGAGUAUAUACAGUCCGAGUAUGUUUAUGCGUUUAGACUUAUCAUGGAAUAAUAUUUCAAUCUGAGCCACAUUUUUUGCAGUCCGGCGAGGUCCCGUACCGAACAAUCCUCAUCAGAGGAUUCCCUAAGCUCGGAUGAUAUGGAAAGCGGGACGCCCCCGAAGGCCCCUUCCUUCGAACAGGUGAAUGCCAUCGAGGCUUUGUCCCAGAGGGACCUCUGUCAAGGGGGAGAGGAAAAGACCGUGAAGGCGGCGCCUGGAGAUCAAACUUCAGGGGCCGAACGCAUGGGGGAGCAAAUUCCCAUGGGAGCUGACGGCGGGGGCCAUCUUGAAUUCAGCUCCUAGCCGGAUGCAGUUCCGAAGACCAAUUGUAACGCCCUCGAUGCGGCUAUAUCUCCCACGUGUCGAAGCACGACUUAGAGGCAUAACCGCAUUGAAAGCAAUGUCGCAAGUGAGGUAAUCUUCACACAACCCAUGUAAUACAUAAGGGAAAGAGAUACAUAGUUGGCUUACAAUCGCCACUUCACACAAUUACAUGAAUAAAGCAUUACAUCAUCCAGGUACAAUCAAGGUCCGACUACGGAACCAAAAUAAAAGAAGAACCCCAAAUGCGACAAAGGUCCCCGAUCGACCCCAACUGGGCUCCACUACUGAUCAACUAGAACGAAACAACACAAAGGGCAAGAUCUUCAUCGAGCUCCUCCUUGAGCUUGGUUGCGUCACCUGCUCGGUAACAUAGGCACCUGCAAACUGGUUUUGGAAGUAUCUGUGAGCCACGGGGACUCAGCAAUCUCGCACCCGCGAGAUCAAGACUAUUUAAGCUUAUAGGAAGGAUGGAGUAAUGAGGUGGAGCUGCAGCAAGCGACUAGCAUAUAUGGUGGCUAACAUACGCAAAUGAGAGCGAGAAGAGAAGGCAAAGCACGGUCGAUAAAAGUAUGAUCAAGAAGUGAUCCUAUAGCAACCUACGUCAAGCAUAACUCCAACACCGUGUUCACUUCCCGGACUCCGCCGGAAAGAGACCAUCACGGUUACACACACGGUUGAUGUAUUUUAAUUAAGGUCAACUUCGGGUUUUCUACAACCGGACGUUAACAAAUUCCCAUCUGCCCAUAACCGCGGGCACGGCUUUCGAAAGAUAAUACCCUGCAGGGGUGUCCCAACUUAGCCCAUCACAAGCUCUCACGGUCAACGAAGGAAUAGACCUCCACCCGAGACGUUCCCAUCAGACUCGGUAUCCCGGUACAACAAGACAUUUCGACAGGGUAAAACUAAACCAGCAACACCGCCCGAAUGUGCCGACAAAUCCCGAUAGGAGCUGCACAUAUCUCUUUCUCAGGGCACACUCAGAUGAGACUAGCUACGAGUAAAACCAACCCUCAAGUUUCCCCGAGGUGGCCCCGCAGGCAGCUCAGUUCGGACCAACACUCAGAGGAGCACUGGCCCGGGGGGUUAGAAUAAAGAUGACCCUUGAGUCUGCAGAACCCAAGGGAAGGUGGUAGGUUGUUAGUGCAAAUGGUAAAACCAAUGUUGGGCAUUGCUGGAGGAGCUUUACUUAAGGCAAACUGUCAAGGGGUUCCCAUUAUAGCCCAACCGUGUAAGGAACGCAAAAUCCAGGAACAUAACACCGAUAUGACGGAAACUAGGGCGGCAAGAGUGGAACAAAACACCAAGCAUAAGGCCGAGCCUUCCACCCUUUACCAAGUAUAUAGAUGCAUUAAUUAAGUAAGAUAUAUUGUGAUAUCCCAACAAGUAAACAUGUUCCAACAAGGAACAACAUCUCCAUGUUCCAACAAGGAACAAACUUCAAUCUUCACCUGCAACUAACAACGCUAUAAGAGGGGCUGAGCAAAGCGGUAACAUAGCCAAUCAACGGUUUGCUAGGACAUGGUGGGUUAGAGGUUUGACAUGGCAAUUUGGGAGGCUGACAAGCAAAUGGCAAGCAUCGUAGCAUUGGCAUAGCAAAAGAGCGAGCAAACUAGCAUAGCAAAGAUAGUAGUGAUUUCGAGGGUAUGAUCAUCUUGCCUGAAAUCCCGCAAGGAAGAAGAACGAAUCCAAGAAGAAGACAAACGGCCGUAGACGAACGAAUCCUCACAACUCCGGAACAAAACCGAAGCUAACGUGAGAAGCAACCCGGAAAGAAACAAACAACAUAGUAAACACACAAGCCUAAACAAGUCAUGAUGCACAAACAAGUAUGAUGCAUGUCCGGUUUAAUGAGGCAUGGCAUGGCAAAGUGCAACAAACAAUACUACAAGUUAAGUGGAGCUCAAUAUGCAACGAGGUGCAUGUUGACGAAACACCACAUCAAUUAUUUAGUUAUCUCUCGUUUAAGCUACCCAACAAUAUUAACUGUUGUUAAACAUGGCAAGAGGUGAAGCAUAACAUAAACUAUACCAUCUAAACAAUUUAAAUGGGGCCGGAUAUAAAAACAACAAAUCCGGUAAAUCCCCAUAUGCAUUUAGCAAUUUAAUGCAACAACAAGUUUAAACAUUUUAAAUGUUGUUAUCAUGAUGCGGAUGACAUAUACAAGUUUUAAGCAAUUUUAUGAAAACGAUAACAUGAACAUGUUAUGAAGCAUUUGACAUCGUGGUGGAAAGGAAAAGGGUGCCACGACGAUGAAUCCGAAAAUGAUGCCACGACAACAUAUCGGUUCUCCGGUAGCCCACGGGGAUACCGGUGCAAAAGGAAGUGACGGGAGCGUGUCAUGCAAGGAUGGUGGGGUGCUCCCGAUUACGAGGUUCCCACAUGUCGGUGGCAAGGCAAAAGAGGGGCAACGUGCUCCGAACAACUCCAACACGGAGUAAACACGAGCAUUUCAUACAACACGCAACAUUCGUUCACGGGCGUCGUCUCGGGGUUAUACCUUCGAGGCAUGCAUUUUCAAAGCGGACCGGUUCGAAGAGGAAGUAGUCGUUCACGGGUCAUCGAGGGAAGUAGAGGAAGUAGUUGUUCCGCGACGGUAGUAGUGGAAGUAGUCGUUCACGCUACCGGUAGUGGAAGUAGUUAUACACGUUCGUUUCGGAGAGGUACUUGACGAAUCCAACAUCUUCGGGGCAACGGUAGUGGUACACGUUUUUCGUAGAUGAACUUGGCGUUCCUGGUUCGGUGGUUGUGGAGGCAGGGGUACUUGACGCAUCCAUGGAAGGGUCUUGGCGUUCCGGGUACACGGGUCUUCAGGCGAAAAGACGAGCAGGGGAUGGCCACAAUAGGGAAGGUGCAGCUGUUGCUGCUGCCAUCUCUGACGGAGGCGAGAUCCAGCGGAGGAGCUGGCGAGGCAGCGGCGCUGGGCAGACACGGAGACGGGGUCGCGUGUAGGGUGGCCCUCCGGGAGGCGCGGGGCGACGAGGAGGAGGCCGCAGGUGAGGGAGGAGGAGGCACGGGCACUGGUGGCAAGUCGACGCCGCGGGGCGUCCGGCAGCGGCGACGCUUGGCAUCAGGAAGUGCGAGGAAGGCCGGGACGAUGAGGGUGCAGGAGAGGUCCGGGCGGCGGAGGACGACAGAUGCGGGUGCAGGGGAGGGACACGACCGCAGGCGACGGAGGGCCGCCGGAGUUGGCCAUCCUGGUGGUGUUGCAGAGGCCGGGCGCGGGGCUGAUGGAACGGGGUGCGACGCGAGAUGUGCCAUGGGAGGCGCGCUCGGGAGGAGGGGUCUCGCUCCUCUCUCUUUCUCUGUGGAAGGGGGCACGAGCGAGGGAGAGGGAGAGAUCGAGAGGAGGGAGGCGAGGGGAUCGAGGGGAGCGGCCGCGAGAGGAUCGGGCGCAGGGAGCUCGUGUCCCUGGCUCGAUGCGUGUGAGAGGCGGCGCUAACAGGGGAACGAGAGGGAGAGAUCGACAGGAGGGAGUCGGGCUAGGGUUAGAGGGGGGCGUGGCUGGGCCUUGGGCCGGCUUAGCCUUGGGUCAAAUGGGCUGCGGGGAAGCGGCCCUCUUCUCUCUCUCUCUUAUAUUUUCUUAGCAGAAAACAAUUAAAGAGAAGAAAAGGAAAGAGAGGGUUAGGGAAAGGAUUUGCGCAUGGAGACAAUUUUCCCGGACUCACAAAAAUGAGCUCGAUCCAGGAAAAAAUAGAAGUGGGCAUGAUCGAAAGAUUUAAAUUCAAACUCAUUUGAAAUUCAAAUGGGUUUGAACUAGGACUUGAUGAAAGGAAGGUCCAAAAAUGUUCGGAUUAUUGGUGGAGCUCCGGAAAAUGAUGAAAGAAUAAAUGGCAAAGUUGGAGAUCAAGAAUUAAGACAACAAAGGCAUUGGAUAUUUUGCAAGUGUGUUAUGGUGAUUUCCAAAAAAUGAAAUAUUUAUUAUAGCUCCCUAAAUAUCGGGAGGGUAUGUUAUAAAGAGAAGUCACCAUGUGAGUAUCCCUCGAUUUAAAUAGAUCAACGAUCUAUGCAAUUUAUUUAGUUGAGGUUUUUAAAAAUUAAUGAUAUGAUGGCAUGAUGACAUGAUGCAAUGCAAAAAUAAAAGGGCAGGCACAAAUGAAACACACGGCGAAACCCGGAAUAGCUGGAAGUCUUCUGGAGCGUCGGUCCCAGGGCGUUACACCAAUACGGCUCUAGAAUCAAGCAAGCAUCCUCUCUUAGCUGGAGGGGGUAUACCGACAACCUCUGUCCAACCAGAGGCGUCGGAUGCUUUGUUGGUGGCGCUGAAGAGCGCCUCCAUUGUCGAUGAACACCGUGCCCUUAUGGGUGCGGUGAUUGAGAGGAUUCAGUCUGGUGAGAGUGGAUUGAAUGGGGCUUGUAGCAGCCUUAUAAAAGGUUUUGAGGUAUGUUUUUCGAAGAGUGUCAUAGUAUGGAUAGUAGCCCCUGAUACACUGUUCGGUGAAAGAAAAAGCCGGACAGAGGAUCAAAUUUUGUGUUCGCGGGAAGACUCAUUGAAUGACAUAUAUUUCUCGUCUGUUAUAAGCAGGCGUCUGAAGCGGCUGCUCCCUCUCAUACUGCGGAUAUCUCUGGACUGAAUCAAAGUCUGGAGCGGGCCAAAGAAGAACUUGGCCAGUUGAAAAUGCAGUUGGGAGAGAAACAAGGUAUGCACAAGGCUUGUUCAUGUUUAUUGCGAAUGAAUUUUCAGUAUGAUGAAAUAGGCUUCAUGAUUUGCGCUAGGGAUGGCGACCGAAGUCGAGGCCCUCAAGAAGGUUGUGGCCGAGGCCGAGGAAAAGGCAACCACAGAGCAGGCUCUUCAUGAGAAGUACGAGGCCGGGGCUAUUAAUGCUGAGCAGGAGCUGCAAGAGGCCGUGAAGAAAUGCGAGACCUUGGAGCAGAGUUUAACGGAGAAAGAAUCCGAACUCACCAAGGCACGUCAGGCCAUGAGCGAUGCCCGUGGGGAAACCCAAAGCACCCUGCAGGGGAUCCAAGAGGCGAGGAAGAUCAUGGCGGGUAAGGCUUUUUCCUUGUAAAGCAAGUAUUUGAGGAGAAGAUUAUGUUUCUAAUUUUGAAUUCGGAUUUCUCCAGGGGUAUUUGCGGAGCUGCCCCGCAGCAUAUCAGAUGCCGCCCAAUUCUACCAGGCCGAAGAAAGGAACACUGUGGAUAAGCUCUUCUGGUUGCAAUAUUUGGCACCAAAUUAUCCGGUGCCUUUUGUCGAUCAACUAAAACAGCUGAUCGAACUGCAUAAUGCGGCGGAACUAGCCGUGAAGGAUUUCAUUAUCCGGUUGUGUCCUGCAGAGCCGAUUCCAGGCAGCUAGUUCGGGCUCGUGAAGCGUCUUGUGAGCGCUUGCCCUUGACUUGACGUCAUCAAGCGGUCUGCAUGCAUAGAGGGUGCGCGAAUGGCCUUCGCUCGCGCGAAGGUGCACUGGGGGAAGAUGGAUGUUGAGAAGCUGAUGACCGAAGGGCCGCCAGAGGGGAAGGAACACUGAUACGUCUCCAACGUAUCUAUAAUUUUUGAUUGCUCCAUGCUAUGUUAUCUACUGUUUUGGGCAAUACUGGGCUUUAUUAUCCACUUUUAUAUUAUUUUUGGGACUAACCUAUUAACCGGAGGCCCAACCUAGAUUUGCUGUUUUUUGCCUAUUUCAGUGUUUCGAAGAAAAGGAAUAUCAAACGGAGUCGAAACGGAACGAAAUCAAUUGGAGAAGUUAUUUUUGGAAGGAAAGAAGCCCAGAAGACUUGGAGUGCACGUCGAGGGACCUACGAGGAAGCCACGAGGCAGGGGGCGCGCCCACCCCCCUAGGGCGCACCCUCCACCCUCGUGAGCCCCUCGUGCCCCCCCUGACGUACUUCUUCCGCCUAUAUAUCUCCAUAUACCCUAAAAACAUCCAAGAACACAAUAGAUCGGGAGUUCCGCCGCCAGAAGCCUCCGUAGCUACCGAAAACCAAUCUAGACCCGUUCCGGCACCCUGCCGGAGGGGGCAAUCCUUCUCCGGUGGCCAUCUUCAUCAUCCCGGUGCUCACCAUGACGAGGAGGGAGUAAUUCUCCCUCGGGGCUAAGGGUAUGUACCAGUAGCUAUGUGUUUGAUCUCUAUCUCUCUCUCUCGUGUUCUUGAUUUGGCACGAUCUUGAUGUAUCGCAAGCUUUGCUAUUAUAGUUGGAUCUUAUGUUUCUCCUCCCCCUCUUCUCUCUUGUAAUGAAUUGAGUUUCCCCUUUGGAGUUAUCUUAUCGGAUUGAGUCUUUAAAGAUUUGAGAACACUUGAUGUAUGUCUUUCCGUGCGUAUGUGUGGUGACAAUGGGAUACCACAUGAUUCACUUGAUGUAUGUUUUGGUGAUCAACUUGCGGUUCCGCCCAUGAACCUAUGCAUAGGGGUUAGCACACAUUUUCGUCGUGAUUCUCCGGUAGAAACUUUGGGGCACUCUUUGAGGUCCUUUGUGUUGGUUGAAUAUAUGAAUCUGAGAUUGUGUGAUGCAUAUCGUAUAAUCAUACCCACGGAUACUUGAUGUGACAUUGGAGUAUCUAGGUGACAUUAGGGUUUUGGUUGAUUUGUGUCUUAAUGUGUUAUUCUAGUACGAACUCUAGGGCUGUUUGUGACAAUUAUAGGAAUAGCCCAACGGAUUGAUUGGAAAGAAUAACUUUGAGGUGGUUUCGUAACCUACCAUAAUCUCUUCGUUCGUUCUCUGCCAUUAGUGACUUUGGAGUGACUCUUUGUUGCAUGUUGAGGGAUAGUUAUGUGAUCCAAUUAUGAUAUUAUUGUUGAGGGAACUUACACUAGCGAAAGUAUGAACCCUAGGCAUUGUUUCAACGCAUUGCAAUAUCAUUUACGCUCACUUUUAUCAUUAGCUACCUUGCUGUUUUUAUUAUUUCAGAUUACAAAUACCUUUAUCUACUAUCCAUAUACCACUUGUUUCAUCAUCUCUUCGCCGAACUAGUGCACCUAUACAAUUUACCAUUGUAUUGGGUGUGUUGGGGACACAAGAGACUCUUUGUUAUUUGGUUGCAGGUUUGCUUGAGAGAGACCAUCUUCAUCCUACGCCUCCUACGGAUUGAUAAACCUUAGGUCAUCCACUUGAGGGAAAUUUGCUACUGUCCUACAAACCUCUGCACUUGGAGGCCCAACAACAUCUACAAGAAGAAGGUUUUGUAGUAGACAUGAAACACCGCAAGCCCGAAUUAUAUUAUGAAGGUGUCCUGAAGGAAUCCUACCAUGCUGCGGACCUAUGCACCAAGGAUAUUAUAUUCCCAUGAAUGCCAAUCAUGUUGUCCUUUCUAGUGUUUGAAUAAGGUCAUUUAUUUAUUGCCUGUUAUAUAAAAGUUUACCCUCCUGUGCGGUCGUUUUAUAUAUUAAGCCCGAGAGUUGGCUAGUCGUCGGCUUCUGCCCCCACGUAAGAAGUACGGGGGUGUUCAGGAUUAACCUGAGCACUCUUUAUCCCAGUUUUGGGUCCUUUGAAGGAGGUGCUCAGCACAACGAACCAAGCAAUCGGACUAUAGGGCUUUAUCACUCUCACUUGGCCAUAGGAGCUUUAGUAAGGUAGACGCAGCCCCUAGUGUUCAGAAGACCGUACUAGGGGUUCUAUAAGCACCUGAUUAGAGAAAAAACCGAUCCAUCGUAGUCUGCAUUGGUUAUUGCAUUAUGCAGGAGAAAUCCUUGAAGAUUUUAUGACCUCUCGAAGAGCUGACCAGCUCUCGCCGUACCAUGACAGACAGUUGUUGGCUUUCUCUACUGAGGUGCUCGUCCGGAAGAACCGGGAUCUCUAGGAAUUCGUCUCGUAUUAUUAUGAAGGCUGUGUUUAUACUUUUGCCUGAAAGUAUUAUUACGCCUCAUGUGCGGUCAUUUAUAUAUAUAUACAAACAUACAUACAUACAUACAUACAUACAUAUAUAUAUAUCCUGAAAGUUUGCAGUCGUCGGCUUCAGUCCCCACGCAUAUAAUGCGGGGGUGUUUGCAAAAGCGUGUCUUCACACUUGAUCCAACGUCUUGGUCCAUUAAGGAGGUGGUAGCGCGGUGAACGAGGCAAUCGGACUAUAUUGCUUUAACACUUUCACUUAACCAUAGGAGUUUGACAGUGGGGCUACUAUAUAGCCCUUAGUACUUCCGCGCUCAUCCGAAUACGGGGCGCGUACGUACAUGACCGGGAAACCGGCCCUUCGUUAAUGCGGAGGAAUCCCGAAGAUUCCGCUAAGUCAUCGAGUGGUUGACUAAUAACCCACAAGUAUAGGGGAUCACAGCAGUUUUCAAGGGUAGAGUAUUCAACCCAAAUUUAUUGAUUCGACACAAGGGGAGCCAAAGAAUAUUCUCAAGUAUUAGCAUCUGAGUUGUCAAUUCAACCACACCUGGAAACUUAAUAUGUGCAGCAAAGUGUUUAGUAGCAAGGUAAUAUGAUAGUAGUGGUAACGGUAGCAAAAGGUAACAAUAGUAAAAGUAAUGUUUUUGGUAUUUUGUAGUGAUAAUAGCAAUAGCAACGGAAAAGUAAAUAAGCGAAGAACAAUAUAUGGAAAGCUCGUAGGCAAUGGAUCAGUGAUGGAGAAUUAUGCCGGAUGUGGUUCAUCAUGUAAUAGUCAUAACCUAGGGUGACACAGAACUAGCUCCAGUUCAUCAAUGUAAUGUAGACAUGUAUUCCGAAUAUAGUCAUACGUGCUUAUGGAAAAGAACUUGCAUGACAUCUUUUGUCCUACCCUCCCGUGGUAGCAGGGUCCUUACGGAAACUAAGGGAUAUUAAGGCCUCCUUUUAAUAGAGUACCGGAACAAAGCAUUAACACAUAGUGAAUACAUGAACUCCUCAAACUACGGUCAUCACCGGUAAGUAUCCCGAUUAUUGUCACUUCGGGGUUAACGGAUCAUAACACAUAAUAGGUGACUAUAGACUUGCAAGAUAGGAUCAAGAACUCUCAUAUAUUGAUGAAAAGAUAAUAGGUUCAGAUCUGAAAUCAUGGCACUCGGGCCCUAGUGACAAGCAUUAAGCAUAGCAAAGUCAUAGCAACAUCAAUCUCAGAACAUAGUGGAUACUAGGGAUCAAACCCUAACAAAACUAACUCGAUUACAUGAUAAAUCUCAUCCAACCCAUCACCGUCCAGCAAGCCUAUGAUGGAAUUACUCACGCACGGCGGUGAGCAUCAUGAAAUUGGUGAUGGAGGAUGGUUGAUGAUGACGAUGGCGAUGGAUUCCCCUCUCCGGAGCCCCAAACGGACUCCAGAUCAGCCCUCCCGAGAGGUUUUAGGGCUUGGCGGCGGCUCCGUAUCGUAAAACGCGAUGAUUUCUUCUCUCUGAUUUUUUUCUCCCUGAAACACAAUAUAUAGAGUUGGAGUUGGAGUCGGAGAGGCACUAGGGGGCCCACGAGGUAGGGGGGCGCGCCCCCACCCUCGUGGACAGGUGGUGGGCCCCCUGGCCUUCAUCUUUUGCAGAUAUUUUUUAUCUUUUCCAAAAAGUGGCUCCGUGAAGUGUCAGGUCAUUCCGAGAACGUUUGUUUCUGCUCAUAAAUAACACCAUGGUAAUUCUACUAAAAACGGCGUCAGUCCGGGUUAGUUCCAUUCAAAUCAUGCAAGUUAGAGUCCAAAACAAGGGCAAAAGUGUUUGGAAAAGUAGAUAUGACGGAGACGUAUCAACUCCCCCAAGCUUAAACCCUUGCUUGUCCUCAAGCAAUUCAGUUGAUAAACUGAAAGUGAUAAAGAAAAACUUAUACAAACUCGGUUUGCUCUUGUUGUUGUAAAUUUGUAAAGCCAGCAUUCAAGUUUUUAGCAAAGAUUAUAACUAACCACAUUCACAAUAACGCAUAGGUCUCAAGUUUACUCAUGUCAAUGGCAUAAUCAACUAACGAGCCAUAAUAAUAAAUCUCGGAUGACAACACUUUCUCAAAAAAAUCAUAAUAUAAUAUAACAAGAUGGUAUCUCGCUAGCCCUUUCUAAGACCGCAAAAUAUAAAUGCAGAGCACCUUUAAAGAUUAAGGACUAACUAGACAUUGUAAUUCAUGGUAAAAGAGACCCAGUCAAGUCAUACUCAAUGUAAACUAAUAAUAAUGAAUGCAAAUGACAGCGGUGCUCUCCAACUGGUGCUUUUUAAUAAGAGGAGGAUGACUCAACAUAAAAGUAAAUAUAUAGGCCCUUCGUAGAGGGAAGCAGGGAUUUGUAGAGGUGCCAGAGCUCGUUUUUGAAAUAGAGGUGAAUAAUAUUUUGAGCGGUAUAAUUUCAUUGUCAACAUAACAACCAAGAGAUGGCAAUAUCUUCCAUGCUACACACAUUAUAGGCGGUUCCCAAACAGAAUGGUAAAGUUUGUACUCCCCCUUCCACCAACAAGCAUCAAUCCAUGGAUUGCUCGAAACAACGAGUGCCUCCGACUAACAAGAGUCCCGGGGGAGUUUUGUUUGCAAUUAUUUUGAUUUAGUUUGCAUAAAGCAUGGGACUGGGCAUCCCGGUGACCAGCCAUUUAUCUCGUGAGUGAGGAGCAGAGUCCACUCCUCUUGAGAAUAACCCGUCUAACAUGGAACAUACGGACAACCCUAGUUGAUACAUGAGCUAUUCGAGCAUAUAAAAUAGGAUAAUUAUUUGAAGGUUUAGAGUUUGGCACAUACAAAUUUACUUGGAGCGACAGGUAGAUACCGUAUAUGGGUAGGUAUGGUGGACUCAUUUGGAAUAACUUUGGGGUUUAUGGAGUUGGAUGCACAAGCAGUAUUCCCGCUUAGUACAGGUGAAGGCUAGCAAAAGACUGGGAAGCGACCAGCUAGAGAGCGACAACAGUCAAGAACAUGCAUUAAAAUUAAUCAACACCGAAUGCAAGCAUGAGCAGGAUAUAAUCCACCAUGAACAUAAAUAUCGUGAAGGCUAUGUUGAUUUUGUUUCAACUAUAUGUGUGAACAUGUGCCAAGUCAAGUCACUUAAAAUCAUUCAGAGGAGGAUACCACCCUAUCAUACCACAUCAUAACCAUUUUAAUAGCAUGUUGGCACGCAAGGUAAACCAUUAUAACUCAUAGCUAAUCAAGCAUGACACAAGAAACUAUGAUCUCUAGUUGUCAUUCCAAACAUGUUUAUCCAUAAUAGGCUGAAUCAGGAAUGAUGAACUAAUCAUAUUUACAAAAACAAAAGAGGUCGAGUUCAUACCAGUUUUUCUUAUCUCAGUUAGUCCAUCAUAUAACAUCAUUAUUGCCUUUCACUUGCACGAUCGAAUGAUGUGAAUAAUAAUAAUAAUAAUAAUAAUAAUAGUGCACGUGCAUUGGACUAAGCUGGAAUCUGCAAGCAUUCAAUAAACAGGAGAAGACAAGGCAAUAUGGGCUCUUUUUUCAGAUCAACAAUAAUGCAUAUAAGAGCUACUUCAACAAUUUAAUUAUGGUGUUCUCCUAUCGACCCCCAAAGAAAAGAAAAGAAAUAAAACUAUUUACACAGGAAAUCUCCCAACAAGCAAAAGGAGAACAUGAAAUCUUUUUGGGUUUUCUUUUUAAUUACUGCUACAAGCAUGGAAAGUGAAUUAAUUAAAAGCUACAACUAAUUUUUUUGGUUUUUCUUAGGGUUUAUUAAACACACAAGAAGAAAGCAUAAAAAGGAAAAUAAACUAGCAUGGAUGAUACCAUGAAAAAGUAUGAGCACCGACAUCUAGCAAUGAGUGUGUGAACAUAAAUGUAAUGUUGGUGGGAAAUACGUACUCCCCCAAGCUUAGGCUUUUGGCCUAAGUUGGUCUAUGGCCACGGCUGGCCUGGCUGAUAUCCGUAGUAGAAGUUGGGGUCGUACUGAGAUGAAGAAGACUCUGAUUUCCACUGGUUGGCAAUCAUCUCCGGAUCCCACAGGUAAUUAGACUGUCGCGGAGGAUCAACUUGUGGUUCCGCCUUUGGCUCUAUGGCUGAUGUAGGGUUCCGGUAGGCGUGAAUGUCCUUCGACAAGACGAGGUACUUGCUGUUCGCGUUGGUCGUGGAGGAAGUCGGUGAGGCCUCCGUGAUGCGAGGCAAAUUAUAUUUAGGCUUCUGUGCCUCUUCAUUUUGCUUUUCCCUCGAGCUUCGGCUCGAUGAGCCCCUCAAAAAUCUCUUUAUCAUUUUCUGAAAAAUUAUAAUUUUUUUAGUAACUUCAAGAUAAAAGUAAACCAAACUCAAUAAUAAUAUUGAUAGCAACUACUCAUACAAGUGCCUAGAGCCUAUAUCAUGCAUCAAAACUACUUUUGACCAUAUAAAUUUGACAUGCAAGCUCAAGAACAGGGUCACCCAAGCAACAAAAAUUUGCAAUGAAUAAAGCACUAGAACAAAAACUAAUUGCACCCAUGGAGGAGUCACAUACCAAGGAACAAUCUCCCCAAGCAGUUUUGUGAGAGGUCCUUUGAGCAAGGAGAUCGAAAAUGGCAGCAAAACGAGCUUGGACUCGGGUUUGAGCUGGUUAUUCGUGUUUGUGGAAGGAAUAAGAAGUGUAUGGGUGAAAGGAUAAGUGGAGGAGGGCCAUCGUGGGCCCACGAGGCAGGGGGGCGCGCCCUCCACCCUCGUGGCCAGGUGGAUGACCCCCCUGCUGUGUUCUAAGUGCCAAAUAUUCUCAAAUAUUCUAGAAAAAAUCAUAUUCAAAUUUCAAGGCAUUUGGAGAACUUUUAUUUUCAGGGUAUUUUUAUAUUGCACGGAUAAUCAGAUAACAGACAGAAAAAUACUAUUUUAUUUUAUUUAAUAUAAAUAACAGAAAGUAAAAGGAGGGUACAGAAGGUUGUGCCUUCUAGUUUCAUCCAUCUCAUGAUCAUCAAAAGGAAUCCACUAACAAGGUUGAUUAGGUCUUGUUAACGAACUCAUUUCGAAUAACAUGGAACCAAAGAAAUUUCGAAUAACACUAUGUUACCUCAACGGGGAUAUGCACAUCCCCAAUAAUAAGAAUAUCAUAUUUCUUCUUGACAGUAGGAAGAGGAAAUUCAAAACCUCCAAAUAUAAUCGAUGGAAUCUUUCCAAUAGAGUUGAUACUAUGAACUUGAGGUUGUUUCCUCGGAAAGUGUACCGUAUGCUCAUUACCAUUAACAUGAAAAGUGACAUUGCCUUUAGUGCAAUCAAUAACAGCCUCUGCAGUAUUCGAAAAGGGUCUUCCAAGAAUAAUAGACAUACUAUCGUCCUCGGGAAUAUCAAGAAUAACAAAGUCCGUUAAAAUAGUAAUGUUUGCAACUACAACAGGCACAUCCUCACAAAUACCAACAGGUAUACCAGUUGAUUUAUCAGCCAUUUGCAAAUAUGUUUCAGUAGGUGUCAACUUAUUCAAAUCAAGUCUACGAUAUAAAGAGAGAGGCAUAACACUAACACCGGCUCCAAGAUCACAUAAAGCAGUUUUAACAUAGUUUCUUUUAAUGGAGCAUGGUAUAGUGAGUACUCUUGGAUCGCCAAGUUUCUUUGGUAUUCCACCUUUAAAAGUAUAAUUAGCAAGCAUGGUGGAAAUUUCAGCUUCUGGUAUCUUUCUUUUAUUUGUAAUAAUAUCUUUCAUGUACUUAGCAUAAGGAUUUGUUUUGAGCAUAUCAGUUAAUCGCAUAGGCAAAAACAUAGGUGUAACGCCCCGAGACCGAUGCUCUAGUUACCUUCCUUUUAUUUCGUCGAGGUUGGGUGUUCCAAUUGUUUGUUGCCAUGAUCUUGAUGGUGCCAUUGUCAUAUUUUGUUUCUUGCAUCAUGGUCAUCUUUUGGUUAUAUUGCAUUGACAUGCUCACCAUUGUCACAUUGCAUUUGUGCCUCUUGUUGUUUUGCAUUCAUCAUGUGCAUUGUGGUAUUCAUCUCGUUGUGCUUGCAUUAUGUUUGUAAUGUUGCUCGGCUAUGCAUUUGACCCAUGCAUCAUCACCUCCCCAUUACUUAUUAUUCCUUCCUUGAUGCAAGUGCCAUUUCUUCCUUCUCCAUUAAUGUUCAAUCUUUGUCAAUGAAUCAUGCACCAUGUCUUAUACCUCUCUGUCAAGAUUCAGCCUUUUCGGAGUUGUUUUGGUUAGGUUCAAAAAUGCCUCAAGUUUGAAUUUUAUUCAAACUUGUUUUAUUUUUCUACCUCUAAAAAUGCCCAAACCAAUUUUAUAAAAUGGUGCAUAAUUCCAGGAGUCCAUAUGUAUCCAUACUUCUUUCUAUUUCUUACCCAAUAUCCCUGGCCUUUCUCUUUUGUUGGCUGUUUAUUUAAUAGGCAGAAAAAUAUGAAAAGGAAAAGGCUGAACUUACUCGCAGCCACCUGGGCCUCUUCCCUCCUGAACCGGCCCAGCCAGCCUCCCACAGCCCAGCUAGCCCGCAAGCGACAGGAGCUUCGUCCUCCUGUACGGCAGGCCAUCUAGAGGAGCCACGUCGGCACGCCCGAUGAUUUGACGGCCGUCCGGCGCCCCUAGCCCCUAUAAAUCAUGUCCAAACCCUACCCUGGCCUCUCCUCUAUCCUUUCAGACCCUCUCCUUCCCUCAAUGCCGCCUAGGUAAGUCUCCACGCCCACGCCUUCACUGCGGCCGCCAUGACCCGAGCGAGCAAGAGCUCGAGCUCGGGGUAGCUUCCUCGCUGCACCUCCGACCCUCCGGCCACCGUCGAGAGAUCCCCGAAGACCCACUUCUUCAACUACAUCCACGCACGCACCUCUACAGCCUCUGGAUCGACUUCCCCGACCCAUCUUCUUCCUCUUCUUCCUGGACCCGAAGACCGGCAAGUUCCGCACAUCAUUGCGCCAUCUCCUUCGUCUCCACGGCCACAACUUCUUGUCCUGUGGGCACUAGGUGAGCAGCCGUGUCGCCCAAGCCCUUUUCCCGCCUCAUAUUCGUCCUCUAGGAGCCGAUCCAUCCAUGCCAAACCCCAGCCACCAUGCUCUGCUGCGGAAUGGUCACGAGUGUCGUCUCUGUUCCGCCCGCUCCUAUGCACACACAUGCACGAUCGUACGUGCGAGCAUGCAAGCCACAACCUCACGCGCUCAAGCACCCGAGCACCACGCCUCUGCACGUACCCACACACCUGCACCAUGCUCGCUGUAGCUUCUUCAUCCAUGGUGUCUUCGCCCUUGUUCCCACGCGCUCGCAGCACACAUGCACGCCUCUCCCAACGCACAUUCAUGCGCAUAGCCGCAUCAUGCACAGCAGCACGCCCACCUCGUCCGCGCGCCUUGCAUAUCUCCCUUGUAGCUGAUGACUCGACGUACUUCGCCGCCAUGGCCGCAGGAUCAUGCCUGCGCACAACCUCACAUGCAAGCAUGCAUGCACUCGUCCCCUAGCAUCCUUCCUUGCAGGAUUCCGCACCCCCGCGCGGCCCCAAGGCACCCAGGCGAGCACCUACUGCUCGCUGUCAAGCUCCAUCGCAAGCACAACCAAGGCCGGCCGCUUGUUUCUGUUGUUUGGUUAGGUUCGCUCGAGCUAUUGGUUCAGUUAGUGUUCUUCUGUUAACUGUAUUCAAAUUUAGUUCAGCUCCUACUGGUUAGCCCAGUUCGUUGACACCUAGACGACCAGGGUUCAAAUCCCCACGGUUGCAUCCUUUUUUCUGCAAUUCUGCAUCUUCAGAGGAUCAGCUCUUAUUCUCCAUAAUUUGCCUUUGGACUGAUUUGGAGCAUCAUCCACUCGUUUACCCUCUGGAUAGUUAUGUUCAGCUACACCAAGAGGACCUGGGUUCACUCCCAGCGCCCCUCCUUUUUUUCUUUUUAUGUUGUUUCUGUUAUUUCACACACACGCACAACUGUUUCAUCUUGGACCGAGCCCUCCUUGUGCCAUAAACACUCAUCCAUUGCAGUGGUCAGCGCUUCAGUUUGGGUCCUAGUCGCGUUGCCCAUAUGCUUUAUUCCCUGCUGAUCUCCCUUUGCAUCAUGAACACAUAGCUAGCCGAGUGGCUAGCACGGCCACUAUCCAGCCAUGGGGUCUGGGGUUCGAAUCCCAGGCACCAUAGUUUUUGCUCUAUUUUCAAUUUAUUUUGGCACACAGCCACUUAGGCCUCAUUCUCUUCUGGGCCGCUGCACUGCGCUGCAAUCCGGCCCAUACAUAUUUUUUUUGCUCUGUGAUUUUUGCAUUUUCCAGUGCAUGCAUAUUUACAGGGAAUGCCACUAUUUUGUAUUGUUAAUAAGCAAAUAUGCAUGCAUCCAAAUUAAACAAACAAUACAUGUAAAAUGUUUAGAAUUUUAUCUAGUUUCACAAUAUCCAACUUUCAUCCAUGUUAAAAUAUUUAAUCUUGUUGUUUGCAUUAUUUUUGCACAUAGGUCAUGUUAAAAUGGUUGAUUUCAUAACUUAAUAACCGUAGCUCCGAAUCUAAUAAACUUUAUAUGUAACUUGUCUAGAAAAAUGCAUCGAUUGACAUGAUGCACAUAUUUUUGCUGUUUAACAACUCUAAAAUAUGGUUUAUGCAGAACAGUACCAAAUUUGAAAUAUGCAUAUGGGGAUUUUCCGGAAUGGUUGUUUGUGUUUCCGGCCUCAUUUGAACUUGCCUAAUAGGUAGUUUGCAUAUGCUUCACCUCUUGCCAUGUUAACAACAUUUAAUCUUGAUAUGCAUCAUACUUGGUGGUGCAUCAUGUCAUGUUAUGCUUGUUUGUUUACUAUGUUGUUUGCUUCUUUCCGGUUGUGCUUCUUCGGGUUAGUUCCGAUAACGUCGUAUUUGUGAGGAUCCAUUCGACUACGUCUGUUUAUCUUCUUCAUGGAAUCGUUCUUCUUCCUUGCGGGAUCUCAGGCAAGAUGACCAUACCCUCGAAAUCACUUCUAUCUUUGCUUGCUAGUUGCUCGCUCUUUUGCUAUGCUUAUGCCGCGAUACCUACCACAUGCUUUAUCAUGCCUCCCAUAUUGCCAUGACAAGCCUCUAACCCACAUUGUCUUAGCAAACCGUUGUUUGGCUAUGUUACCGCUUUGCUCAGCCCCUCUUAUAGCGUUGUUAGUUGCAGGUGAAGAUUGGAGUUUGUUCCUUGUUGGAACAUGGUUAUUGUUGGGAUAUCACAAUAUCUCUUGUUUAAUUAAUGCAUCUAUAUACUUGGUAAAGGGUGGAAGGCUCGGCCUUAUGCCUGGUGUUUUGUUCCACUCUUGCCGCCCUAGUUUUCGUCAUACCGGUGUUAUGUUCCUUGAUUUUGCGUUCCUUACGCGGUUGGGUUAUAAUGGGAACCCCUUGACAGUUCGCCUUGAAUAAAACUCCUCCAGCAAGGCCCAACCUUGGUUUUACAUUUGCACUAACAACCUAGCCUUUUUCCCUUGGGUUUCCAGAGCCUGAGGGUCAUCUUUAUUUUAACCCCCCCAGGCCAGUGCUCCUAUGAGUGUUGGUCCAAACCAGAGUUCUUUGCAGCGCCCCCUCGGGGAAACUCGAGGUUUGGUUUUAGCUGUACGGAGCGCUCAUCCGGUGUGCCCUGAGAACGAGAUAUGUGCAGCUCCUAUCGGGAUUUGUCGGCACAUCCGGGCGGCUUUGCUGGUCUUGUUUUACCAUUGUCGAAAUGUCUUGUAACCGGGAUUCCGAGCCUGAUCGGGUCUUCCUGGGAGAAGGAAUAUCCUUCGUUGACCAUGAGAGCUUGUGAUGGGCUAAGUUGGGACACCCCUGCAGGGUUUGAACUUUUGAAAGCCGUGCCUGCGGUUAUGGGUAGAUGGGAAUUUGUUAAUGUCCGGUUGUAGAGAACUUGACACUUAACUUAAUUAAAAUGCAUCAACCGCGUGUGUAGCCGUGAUGGUCUCUUUCCGGCGGAGUCCGGGAAGUGAACACGGUGUUGGAGUUAUGCUUGAACGUAAGUAUUUCUAGGAUCACUUCUUGAUCAUAGAUUCUCGAACGUGCUUUGCCUUCUCUUCUCGCUCUCAUUUGCGUAUGUUAGCCACCAUAUAUGCUAGUGCUUGCUGCAGCUCCACCUCAUACCUUUUACCUACCCAUAAGCUUAAAUAGUCUUUGAUCGCGAGGGUGUGAGAUUGCUGAGUCCCUAUGACUCACAGAUUACUUCCAAAACCAGUUGCGGGUGAUGCAACCGAGCUCAAGGAGGAGCUUGAUGAAGGUCGUGUUUGUUGUAUUGUUUCGUUCCCAGUUGAUCAGUAGUGGAGCCCAGUUGGGGCGAUCGGGGAUCUGUAGCAUUAGGGGUGGUCUUCUUUUAUUUGGUUCCGUAGUCGGACAUUGAUUGUAUUCUGGAUGGUGUAAUGCUAUAUUUAUGUAUUGUGUGAAGUGGCGAUUGUAAGCCAACUCUUUAUCCCUUUCAUAUUCAGUACAUGGGAUGUGUAAAGAUUACCCCUUUUGCGACAUGCCUACUAUGCGGUUAUGCCUCUAAGUCGUGCUCCGACACGUGGGAGAUAUAGUCGCAUCAUGGGUGUUACAAUAGGUCUAAUCAUUUCAGCAAAGCGCUCGAAAUCCUCAUCAUCCUUUUUCUUGGAUGGUUUGGGAGGAAAAAGCAUGGGGUUCUGAACCCAAGGCUCUCUUUCUUUAUCAUGUUUCCUAGCAACAAAGUCUUUUUAUCGUAACAUUCAUUCUUUGAUUGUGGGUUAUCAAGAUCAACAACGGGUUCAAUUUCUAUAUCAUUAUCAUUACUAGGUUGAGCAUCAUUAAUAACAUUAUCAUUAACAUUAUCACUAGUUUCAGGUUCAUUACCAGAUUGUGUUUCAGCAUCAGAAAUAGAGAUAUCAUUUGGAUUCUCAGGUGUUUCAGUAAUAGGUUCACUAGAAGCAUGCAAGGUCCUAUCAUUUUUCUUUUUCUUCUUUUUAGAAGGACUAGGUGCAUCUAUAUUAUUUCUCUGAGAAUCUUGCUCAAUUCUUUUAGGAUGGCCUUCAUGAUACAAAGGUUCCUGAGUCAUUCUACCACCUCUAGUCAUAACUCUAAUAGCAUUAUCAUUAUUCUUACUAUUCAAUUCAUUGAGAAAAUCAUUUUGAGCCUUAAGUACUUGUUCUACUUGAGUGGUAACCAUAGAAGCAUGUUUACUAAUAAGUUUAAGUUCACCUUUGACAUUAGCCAUAUAAUCACCCAAGUGUUCAAGCAUAUUUGAAUUGUAUUUCAAUUGUCUACCAAAAUAAGCAUUAAAAUCUUCUUGCUUAGCCAUAAAUUUAUCAAACUCAUCUAAGCAUGGGCUAGCAAACUUAGUAAAUGGGAUUUCAGCUUUAUCAUAUCUAUAGAGAGAAUUUACCUUUACUACCUGUGUCGGGUUAUCAAGACCAUGAGUUUCUUCAAUAGGUAAAGGAUUAAGAUCAUAUAUUUCUUCAACAGGCGGUAAAUUAAGACCAUGUAUUUCUUCAAUAGUAGGGAAAUUCUUAACAUCUUCAGCUUUAAUACCUUUUUCUUUCAUAGAUUUAUUUGCCUCUUGCAUAUCUUCAGGACUGAGAAAUAGAAUACCCCUCUUCUUCGGAGUUGGUUUAGGAAUAGGCUCAGGAACUGGCUCUGGAGGUGUCCAAUUAUUUUAAUUUGCCAACAUAUUAUUCAAUAGAAUUUCAGCUUCAUCCGGUGUUCUUUCCCUGAAAACAGAACCAGCACAACUAUCUAGGUAAUCUCUGGAGGCAUCGGUUAGUCCAUUAUAAAAGAUAUUAAGUAUUUCAUUUUUCUUAAGAGGAUGACCAGGCAAAGAAUUAAGUAAUUGGAGAAGCCUCCCCCAAGCUUGUGGGAGACUCUCUUCUUCAAUUUGCACAAAAUUAUAUAUAUCCCUUAAAGCAGCUUGUUUCUUAUGAGCAGGGAAAUAUUUAGCAGAGAAGUAAUAAAUCAUAUCCUGGGGACUACGCACACAACUAGGAUCAAGAGAAUUAAACCAUGUCUUAGCAUCACCCUUUAAUGAGAACGGAAAUAUUUUAAGGAUGUAAAAGUAACGAGUUCUCUCAUCUUUAGUGAACAGGGUGGCUAUAUCAUUCAGUUUAGUAAGAUGUGCCACAACAGUUUCAGAUUCAUAACCAUGAAAAGGAUCAGAUUCAACCAAAGUAAUUAUAUCAGGAUCAACAGAGGAUUCAUAAUCCUUAUCAAUAGCACAGAUAGGUGAAGUAGCAAAAGCAGGGUCAGGUUUCAUUCUAGCAUUUAGAUAUUGCUUAUUCCAUUUAGCUAAUAACCUUUUGAGUUCAUAACUAUCUUUGCAAGCUAAAAUAGCUAAAGAAGCUUCUUGAUCAAAAACAUAACCCUUAGGAAUAACAAGUGAUUCUUCAUCAUCACUUUCAUCAGUAUUAUCAGAUUCAAUAUUUUCAAUCUCUCUAGCCCUAGCAAUUUGUUUAUCAAGAAAAUCACUAAGUGGCACAGUAGUAUCAAGCAUAGAAGUAGUUUCAUCAUAAGUAUCAUGCAUAGUAGAAGUGGCAUCAUCAAUAACAUGCGACAUAUCAGAACGAAUAGCAGAAGCAGGUGUAGGUGUCGCAAGCUUACUCAAAACAGAAGGUGAAUCAAGUGCAGAGCUAGAUGGCAGUUCCUUACCUCCCCUCGUAGUUGAGGGAUAGAUCUUGGUUUUUGGAUCUCUCAAGUUCUUCAUAAUGAUAAGCAGAUAUAUAUCCCAAGUGACUCAAAGAAUAGAGCUAUGCUCCCCGGCAACGGCGCCAGAAAAUAGUCUUAAUAACCCACAAGUAUAGGGGGUCGCAACAGUUUUUGAGGAUAGAGUAUUCAACCCAAAUUUAUUGAUUAGACACAAGGGGUCCAAAGAAUAUUCUCAAGUAUUAGCAGCUGAGUUGUCAAUUCAACCACACCUGGAAACUUAAUAUCUGCAGCAAAGUGUUUAGUAGCAAGGUAAUAAGAUAGUAGUGGUAACGGUAGCAAAAGGUAACAAUAGUAAAAGUAAUGUUUUUGGUAUUUUGUAGUGAUGAUAGCAAUAGCAACAGAAAAGUAAAUAAGAGAAGAACAAUAUAUGGAAAGCUCGUAGGCAAUGGAUCAGUGAUGGAGAAUUAUGUCGGAUGCGGUUCAUCAUGUAACAGUCAUAACCUAGGGUGACACAGAACUAGCUCCAGUUCAUCAAUGUAAUGUAGGCAUGUAUUCCGAAUAUAGUCAUACGUGCUUAUGGAAAAGAACUUGCAUGACAUCUUUUGUCCUACCCUCCCGUGGCAGCGGGGUCCUUACAGAAACUAAGGGAUAUUAAGGCCUCCUAUUAAUAGAGUACCGGAACAAAGCAUUAACACAUAGUGAAUACAUGAACUCCUCAAACUACGGUCAUCACCGGUAAGUAUCCUGAUUAUUGUCACUUCGGGGUUAAUGGAUCAUAACACAUAAUAGGUGAAUAUAGACUUGCAAGAUAGGAUCAAGAACUCUCAUAUGUUGAUGAAAACAUAAUAGGUUCAGAUCUGAAAUCAUGGCACUCGGGCCCUAGUGACAAGCAUUAAGCAUAGCAAAGUCAUAGCAACAUCAAUCUCAGAACAUAGUGGAUACUAGGGAUCAAACCCUAACAAAACUAACUCGAUUACAUGAUAAAUCUCAUCCAACCCAUCACCAUCCAGCAUGCCUACAAUGUAAUUACUCAUGCACGGCAGUGAGCAUCAUGAAAUUGGUGAUGGAGGAUGGUUGAUGAUGACGAUGGCGACGGAUUCCCCUCUCCGGAGCCCCGAACGGACUCCAGAUCAGCCCUCCCGAAAGGUUUUAGGGCUUGGCGGUGGCUCCGUAUCGUAAAACACAAUGAUUUAUUCUCUCUGAUUUUUUUCUCCCCGAAACACAAUAUAUAGAGUUGGAGUUGGAGUCGGAGAGGCACCAGGGGGCCCACGAGGUAGGGGGCGCGCCCCCACCCUCGUGGACAGGUGGUGGCCCCCCUGGCCUUCAUCUUUCGCAGGUAUUUUUUAUAUUUUCCAAAAAGUGGCUCCGUGAAGUUUCAGGUUAUUCCGAGAACGUUUGUUUCUGCACAUAAAUAACACCAUGGUAAUUGUGCUGAAAACAGCGUAAGUCUGGGUUAGUUCCAUUCAAAUCAUGCAAGUUAGAGUCCAAAACAAGGGCAAAGUGUUUGGAAAAGUAGAUACGACGGAGACGUAUCAUUGACCAGUCUCGCGCUUUAUCAUGACAGUCAGUUUUCGGCUUUCUCUACUGAGGUGCUCAUCCGGAUGAACCGGGGCACAAUCGCAGCAGUUCUCCCGGAGCCACCUUAGCUGAUAGAGCGGAAUGUAAGGUAGCAAAACGCGGGAGCCGGGCAAACCCAACAUUUGACCAAAGACAUGAUUCGGAGUUGAUGCAUAUAAGGCCAAACUCGCGACGCCGAACACUCCCUAUUGUCUUUACAACAUAUUCCUGGCUGAGUAACGCCCUUGAUAAUGAACCCCGAGUGUCCUGGUACAUGCAUUAUUCCGACGUGGUGAAAUGCCAAUAACGUCAGCAUCCCUCUCGGUUAUACUGAGUAUCCGGAGGAUGUGAAGCAACAAGAUACAGUAAAGAAAAAGGUUUACACAGGGUCUUAAUCUAAAAAGAAACCUUUGAGCGGGUCCCUGCUGCACGUCUGUGCCUGUGUCUCCGUUGUGCCGUAUCCUGGAAGGGUGUAGCACGAUUAUCAUAUGUAAAAGAGAAGAACUUAGGUGAAAGUUGUCAUGCGAAAAAUUGGUUAUUCUCAAUAAACCAUUAAAAUUCAAUAUAAGUAAGGUUGAGCCGAGCUGUAGUCCUUUUUACAUGCGGGAAGCCCCUGGUACCGCCUAUAGGGUUAUACCCGUCAAACCAAUCUUAGGUUUAUCUAAGCUGUUAUAGCUAGUGAUGUGCCGGACUCAUCUAACCGUGUCCGCGGUCUUGACGACCGAUCAUUUAUUCUGGUUGGAGAGGCCGUUUAGUGUUCGGCUGCUGAAGCCGCCACACUUUCUUUCGUGCGUAAGGAACGCUCAACAUUUCCGCUAGCUGUGAUGAUGCCACGCGGACCGGGCAUCUUAAGCUUAAGGGAAGCAUAAUGCGGUAUUGCAUUAAAACGAGCAAAAGCUGCUCUUCCGAGUAGUGCUUGAUAGCUGCUUCGGAAUGGAGCGAUGUCGAAGGUUAACUUUUCACUUCGGAAGUUGUCGGGAGAAAUGAAUACAACCUCUAGUACUAGAGAGCCUGUACAGCGGGCCUUUGGGUCUGGUAUUACUCCUUUAAAGGUAGUAUUACUUUGGCUGAUUCUUGUCGGUUCUAUCCCCAUUUUGCAGACUGUGUCCUGAUAUAUUAGAUUAAGACUACUGCCGCCGUCCAUGAGGACUUGGGUGAGAUGGUAUCCGUCGAUAAUUGGGUCUAGUACCAAGGCAGCUAGUCCUCCGUGCCGGACACUCGUAGGUGAUCCCUAUGAUCAAAAGUGACCGGGCAAGCCGACCAAGGGUUGAACUUAGGGGUGACGGGCUCUACGGCGCAUAUGUCUUGGAGUGCAUGUUUGCUCCUUCUUUUUGUUACGUGAAUCAUGUUCACUGUUUUGACCUCUGGUGGGAUUUUUUUUUGUCCCCCAGUGCUUUGCUGGCGAGGCUCAUCCUCGUCUUCACUUAGUGUCUCCCUCCCCUUGUGUUCGGCGUUUAACUUGCCGGCCUGCUUAAAGACCCAACAUUCUCUGUGAGUGUAAUUUGCAGGUUUGUCUGAGGUGCGAUGAAUCUGACAUAAUUUGUCUAGAAUCUUGUUUAGGCUGGACGGUCCAUCUCUGUUGCCUUUGAAAGGCUUUUUCCGCUAACCGGGUUGAGAGCCCCUGAAUCCGGCAUUUACCGUCGUGUUGUCUGGGCUGUCUUCGUUAUUUCGAUGCUUGUUUUCAAUGCGUCGUGGUUUUCCAUUGCCAUCCCUGACUUCAGAUGUGCCUCGGUCGCUGGUGCUACUACGGGCCAGCCAGCUAUCUUCGCCCGCGCAAAAGGGGGUCAUGAGGCUUGUUAGGGCUGCCAUUGCCUUGGCUUUUCUUGGACGAGGUGUCUGGAGAGCCAUUCGUCUCGGACGCUGUGUUUGAAAGCUGCUAAGGCUUCGGCGUCCGGGCAAUCGACGAUUUGAUUCUUCUUAGUGAGAAAUCUGUUCCAAAGCUUUCGGACAGACUCUCCGGGCUGUUGAACUAUAUGACUUAGGUCGUCUGCAUCCGGAGGUCGGACGUAGGUCCCUUCAAAGUUAGCCCUAAAAGCAUCCUCAAGCUCCUCCCAACUGCCAAUUGAAUUUUCGGGGAGGCUCUUUAGCCAGUGCCGAGCUGGUCCUUUCAACUUGAGGGGCAGGUAUUUGAUGGCAUGGAGAUCGUCUCCGCGAGCCAUAUGGAUAUGGAGGAUGAAGUCCUCAAUCCAAACCCCAGGGUCUGUCGUUCCGUCGUACACCUCUAUGUUCACGGGUUUGAAUCCCUUUGGAAAUUCAUGAUCCAGUACCUCAUCGAUGAAGCAUAGGGGGUGUGCAGCACCCCUGUAUUUGGAUGUAUCUUGGCGUUUUGACGGUUGUAGUGUUCGGUUUUGAUUCUGCGUUGUAGCGCGCUUCCUAGAUCCGUAGAUGGAUCUGGUAAUGCCAUCUUUUUUAUGCAAGUCCUCACGUAAAUUGUGUGCUGACUUAUGCACGGCCUCGUUAGCCGCUCUAUCGUGGCCGCGAGGUGGUCGAUCUGACCGAUCGGCCGUUUUAUUUUUCGGUUGUGUAGGCUCUAAGGCCUCGUCAUCGAAUUCGGGCAGCAGCUUGCGCUUUGGGUAACUCUUUGUGUGGCGACUGCCACCGUACUUUUCCGUAGUGUCCUGAACUUUGUUCCAUCUACUGAUGAGUGUAUUUUAUGCGGCCUUAAGCCUUUGUUUCUGCUUCUUAAGGCUCCUUGCGGUGGCAAUAAGCCUUCUGUGGAGGUUCUCUUGUUCCAAGUUCCUUUCCGGGAUGGUAUGUAUAUCGUCAUCUGGACUAUUCUCCUCUCCGGAGACAGUUUGAUGAUUUCUACCCUCGGCGUUGCCAUGAUCGGACAGUGGCUCCAUACUAUGUUCACCGUCCGCUGGCUCGUCUUGCUCUAUUGCAUUGGAGUCGACCGGGGUCUCAUUCUUUCUUGAGCUGUUAUCGUUGUUUUUGCCGAGGCGGGAUUUGGAGCGGCGUCUGCGUCAUCGCUUUAGUUGCUUCUCGAGGGGGUUAUCCUUCGUUGCAUCCUCCCGUUCCUCAUCAUUUUCUUAUUUGGGUGUAUCCACCAUAUAUAUAUCAUGGGAUGAAGUGGUUGUCCAGCGCCCUAUGGGCGAUGGUUCCUGUUCGUCUCCUGCAUCGUCGUCCAUUCCGUCGAUGUCUUCGGGGACGAAAUCGAGCAUGUCGGUUAAAUCGUCGAUAGUGGCUACUAAGUGGGUGGUGGGUGGGGAGCGACUUUCUUCGUCAUCCGCAUCCCAUUCUAGCCGGACAUAAUUCGGCCAAGGGUCUCCUGACAGAGAGAGACCUCAACGAGUUUAGCACGUCGCCGAAGGGCAAGUGCUGGAAGAUAUCCGUGGAGGUAAACUCCAUGAUCGGUGCCCAAUCGGAUUUGGUAGGCAUGGACGCAGGCGGCCCGGAGCCCAUGGGCGGGGACGAAUCCAACAGUUCGGCAACACGGGACUCGUAGGAGGUGAAGUCAGUAUUCGGCUCUAUCGCCGCUGAGAGUGUGGCCUCUGGGGCGGGGUCCAUCCACCCGUCCUCAGAUGGCGCAAUUUGUUCCAGAUUGAGGCCCGGAGUAGUUGCAGGUGCGAUCUCCCGAGCACUGUCCGAUGGCAUAGCUAAGUCGUGCUCGUCGUGAUUGUGCGGCGCACUUGACAUGGGCUCCAAACCUGACCUGAUGGCCAGGGGCGUAGCUCUCGAUCUGCUCCGGAUGGCCAAACGAGUUGGCCCGCAGUGCGAAGCCGCCGAAUACGAAGAUCUGUCCGGAGAGGAAAACCUCACCUUGGAUCGCAUCGUUGCCGAUGAUCGAAGGAGCCAUCAAGCCUUAUGGUGACGGCACAGUGGAACUCUCAAUGAAAACACCAAUGUCGGUGUCAAGACCGGCGAAUCUCGGAUAGGGGGUCCCAAACUGUGCGUCUAAGGCGGAUGGUAACAGGCGGCGGGGGACACGAUGUUUACCCAGGUACGGGCCCUCUCGAUGGAGGUAAUACCCUACUUCCUGCUUGAUUGAUCUUGAUGAUAUGAGUAUUACAAGAGUUGAUCUACCACGAGAUCGUAGAGGCUAAACCCUAGAAGCUAGCCUAUGGUAUGAUUGUUGUUGUCCUAUGGACUAAACCCUCUGGUUUAUAUAGACAUCGGAGGGGGCUAGGGUUACACAAGGUCGAUUACAAGGGAGGAGAUCUACAUAUCCGUAUUGUCAAGCUUGCCUUCCACGCCAAGGAGAGUCUCAUCCGGACACGGGACGAAGUCUUCAAUCUUGUAUCUUCAUAGUCCAAUAGUCCGGCUAAAGUAUAUAGUCUGACCGUCCGAGGACCCCCUAAUCCAGGACUCCCUCAGAUAUGGCAUUAAAAACAGAUUUAAACAUUUGUCUCUUUGUCUUCAGCUGACAAGGACUUAGAGAAGGGAAAUGACAGGUUUCAAUAGAAUGCAUAUAAUUUGGACAGAUAGAGUUUGAGGUAGAAGCAUAUAAGAGGUUAGGGUCCGAUCACAUUCACUUAGUUCAGAAAAAAAAUUGAAUCAUGAAGACAUAGCUAUAAGUGAAUGUUGUAGAGGACAGAACACGUAUAUAUGUAUAUAUAUAUAUAUAUAUAUAUAUAAUAUAGGGUAUAGGGUCGCGUUAUUCGUCACCCUGGGUGAGGAAUAGUUAUUUUNNNNNNNNNNNNNNNNNNNNNNNNNNNNNNNNNNNNNNNNNNNNNNNNNNNNNNNNNNNNNNNNNNNNNNNNNNNNNNNNNNNNNNNNNNNNNNNNNNNNNNNNNNNNNNNNNNNNNNNNNNNNNNNNNNNNNNNNNNNNNNNNNNNNNNNNNNNNNNNNNNNNNNNNNNNNNNNNNNNNNNNNNNNNNNNNNNNNNNNNNNNNNNNNNNNNNNNNNNNNNNNNNNNNNNNNNNNNNNNNNNNNNNNNNNNNNNNNNNNNNNNNNNNNNNNNNNNNNNNNNNNNNNNNNNNNNNNNNNNNNNNNNNNNNNNNNNNNNNNNNNNNNNNNNNNNNNNNNNNNNNNNNNNNNNNNNNNNNNNNNNNNNNNNNNNNNNNNNNNNNNNNNNNNNNNNNNNNNNNNNNNNNNNNNNNNNNNNNNNNNNNNNNNNNNNNNNNNNNNNNNNNNNNNNNNNNNNNNNNNNNNNNNNNNNNNNNNNNNNNNNNAAAAUAUAUAAUCGCCGUAAAAAAUAUUUUAUGUUAUGUAAAAUUACAAACGUAAAAACAUAGUCUAAAAUACACAUAAACUGCAGAUUUUCUUGUCUUAUGACCUAUAUUUUUAUUUUCUUAUGUCAAAUUUUACGUAGUGAAUCAAUAGAAAUGUAACUAUUUGAAUUUCAAACGUAAUUUAAUUAUGAAAUGAUCGUAAGAUUACAUCGGGUGAAGAAUAACUUAUUCUGCACCCUGGGUGAUGAAUAGUAACACUAUAUAUAUAUAUAUAUAUAUAUAUAUAUAUAUAUAUAUAUAUUAGACCAACUCAACCCUGUGAAGAUAAACAUGACACCAAAUCAGUGUUGAAGACAAACCAAAUGCGAAGACUAUGCAAUCAGGACUCCACUGAAACACACCAAACAAGAAUUGGAUGGUGGCGUUACCCACCGUAUAGAAAGUAUUAGACCCAGACACACCGCACAAUUACCGUGGCGCUCCGAAGUCAAAUUCCGCAUUAAUGUAUUCACACUUAUAAUGUAUGUCUUCAUUGAUUGAAGAUAUACAUUACUUUGUGUGUUGCACAUCUAAGUUGUUAGGAUUAAAAUUAAUAGGUUUUAAAGAGAUAAUCCUCCCAUUGUAAUUUGUACGUCGGUUGAAUUAGCAACCGUCGUGCCUCUCCCUUGCACCUCUACGAAUAGUCGCAUCUCUCGAUCGUGUCUGUUCCACGUUAUCAGCACGCUCUUCUCUGAGCGAAGGUGCAGGACGCCUCAGGCCCCGCGCCGCGACGCGUCCCACGCCCGGCUGUGCGCCGCGCUCGCCGGCGGCAUGGCCGCUACCUACGCUGCACCCACCCGUGCUCCGCCCGAGCCCGCACCAGGCCGUGGCCACCACGUCGCAGGACCCGGCCACCGCGCUGUCGGACGCGGCCACCGCGCCGCAUGGCAUGGCCACAACGCCAACUGCACCGAGACGGUGCUCGCCGCCUCGGCCCUCUUCCGCCUCCGCCAACGGCUGACGACUCCAUGCCCGCGCGCUCGGUUGUAGCCAAAGUUGUGGCCGCGCCCUCUUGCGUGGUGGCCUCGCCGCCUGCGCACGCCCCUGGUCGUGGCUGCUCUCUGCCCGGCCGUGCCCGCGGCCGCCCGGCCUUGAGUGGCCACCGCCGCGUCUGCACUAACCGCCUAGGCUCGCCUCCACCCCCUCCAGCGUUAUCCGCCUUGGAGUAGGGAUGGAGAACGCCGACACCACCACCCCGCCACAGCCGGAGAUGGCCGCGAGCUCGAGCAGCCGCAUGGGUCUGCGCUUCGGCCGCCUCUUUGGUCGUGUCGUCGCCGCCCCGGCCGCAGCCCUGGAGCAUGGGCUCCGAUGAGCCUUGGCCUGCAUCUUUUCGAUGAGGCGGCCAGCCGCCUAGCGCCAGCAGCGGCAGCGGCCAACGGCCGGUGCCCAGCAUGGCAACGCCCGCGGCGUGACAAGCCUCUCCAAGCCAAGCGGUGGCUUCCGGCUAGCAACGCCCGCAGGGGCGGCCGCGGAGGCCCUCGAUGUCCGGCGCGUCGUCGUCGUCUCUAAGUGGUAGCAGCGUCCAUUGAGGACUCGCACGGGAGAACCCCAGCGUCCACACAUAAGAAAGAUUGGGGAAUCUUAUCACUUUGGCUAUUUUGCACUAUGAUCCCUGUAUUGCAGGAAUUAGUAAAAUAAGCUAAAACAAUGGUUAGUCCGAUUUUUCCAAUAAUACAAUUCCAGUUCUGGAAUUUUUGAGAAUCGGUUCAGAUAACAAUACUAUUUACUACUCCCUCCGUCCCGAAAAACAUGUCGCAAGGGCAAAUUUGCAAAAAAACAUCUGGUUUCUCCCGACCAAACCCGCGCUCCCUCGUCCUCCUCCUCCAGACAAAAGCCGCAGCUGCGCUACUCACCGCUGCCGCAGCUGCGCUGCUCCCCGACACUGCAACUGCCCUGCUCCCCCGCUCCCCCGCCGCAGCUGCCUCCUGCUCCGCCACCGCAGCUGCCACUCGCCUGCCUCCCCAAGCUUCCCCCUUCCUCAAAAAAACCUUCGAUUUCCCCAGCUACCACCGUGCUCUGCUUCGGCUGCGUCAGAACCGGUGUCGGCGAGCCCGGAGGCACUGGAUUCGGACCACCACCAACAACCUAAAGGGUGACGAGGCUGACAAGCCCGAUGACGACAGGAGAUGCAGCAAGCUAAAUGCCAACGAGCCCAAUGACGACGACAAGCUAAAGGUCGUCGAUUUGCGAGCCUGGAAGACGACGACGACAGGUCCACAAGGAAUACGAUCGCGGCGGCGUCUUCUUUGCUGUUUCUUUGGUGGAAGACCCGUGCCUGCGACACCGCGGCUGGGCUAUCCACGACACAAGUGGGUCGCACUUGCUCACUUGGCAAUAGCGGUGGCGGCUACAUGUUUUCUCCACUACUGCAGAUCAUCUCCAGGUCCUACUGCCUGGGUCUCAACCUCUCUACUCUACUCUAUGUUUACUGAAUUUACUCCAUUUUUACUGAAUUUUCUCCACUACUCUAUGUUUACUGAACCACUAGUUUAUGAACCACUUCACUGAAUGUGAGAUGUACCACUGAAUUUCACUUCUGCUAGUACUCCAAGAAGACUAUGCCAACGGCAACCAAGAGGGCUUUGUUGAGUUCGUGCAAUGUUCCAAUUGAGGGAGGAGGUGGUAGACUGUUUGCAGAUGUGGUUGUCUUGAUGAGAUUUAGUUUGAUCAGACCAUCCCAAUGUCACUUUGCAAUUGUUCUGCUUCUUUUCUGAGCAUGGAGCUGACAGUUAUCUGGGAUGAUUGCAUUGCAGCUGCCAUUUCCUGCGGAUAGCUUGUACGCCGACCCCGAGCGCAAGGUGACAAUUCAAUCAUUAACCCGUUCUUCAGUACUGUUUCAGUGAUGCCGCAACAGUAUCAACAGUAAUGAGAAAAUGCAUAUGCUUAUCUGAUGAUCAAUCCACAUACACAGUCUACUUCAGUGAGUGAAGAGAAGUUUGUGGUGUUCUUGGGUCUCACUGAAUGACUGACGGUGAACUCAUCUUUUUAGGCUUAGGAUGUCUUGGGCCUGUACCAUGGAUUAGGCCGCACACUCUUUAGUCCAGCCAGUGUAAGCACCAUCACAGCAUAUUUCCCUUCAGAAUUCUGAUCAUGCAACUGUUCAUUCAAAAGCCACUAAAAUGUUGAUCCCUGCGUGCAAUGAAGGCUAAAAUAUACUCAAGGCUCGACUCCAUCAAUUCAAUUAAACUUGGACAUGACUGCAGCCCAUUUAAACUUGGACUACAAAUAUUGGAUGGAUCCAUUUCAAUUGAUAGAAAACUGAAUAUUCACUGUAGUCUCAGUUAACUGAAUUUUCUGAAGCCAUUUUCCUACUCACAAGUUGACAGAAAACUAUUUGAAACAAAUUUGACAGUAGCAAUAACCUAUCUUUUCAAGUGCUCCACUGCUCGUUUAUUUACCGUAUAUCUAUUUGUUAUGUAAGUCAUUUUAUUUAGUAAAGUAUAGACAGUAUUAUUUCUUGCAAAUUAUUGUGUGACUAUUCUGGAGAUGGUCUUUAAGUGUUCCUAUCUAGACUUCUUAUUUUAGGCUUUUAGCUGAUCCAUUCCAUGAGAUAUGCUAGAUUUUAGCAUCUGUAUUGAUGAACCUUUGAUGAAACUAAAGAAAAACUGGAAGUGUCCUUGAUAGCAUGAAAUGGACCUCUUAACUAAAUAGAAGCGAUUUCUUGUCAUCCACUGUCCUUUUAUUUCUUGUCAUCCUCUUAACUAAAUAGACCAUAUCAUCUACUGAUGAUAUGGGAUUAGCAAAGGCCUUGCUUGCCUCAUUAGUUGUUGUAGUUGUCAAGAAAAAAUUUCAGUCCACUAACCCAAAUUAAUUCAAAUAACUAAAAUUAAUCCAUCAAUUCAAAUAAUUCAAAUAAAUCCAAAUAACCCAAAUUAAUUCAAAUAACCCAGAUAAUUCAAUUAAUCCAAAUCACCCAAAUAAUUCCAAUAAAUUCCAACAAGGAGUUGAUAUACAAGGGUUAGACAAGGUAUACAUAAGGACAUGACAUAAGGGCAUCUUUGUCCCCUCUUGACAUAAGAUUACAUAAGACAUACACAAGGAGCACCUGACUACAUGACAUAAGGGCCUCUUUGCCCCCUCUUGACUACAUUCUUUUCCUUUCUCUGGCCACUUCUUCCCUUCCCUUCCCUUUACUUUUCUUUAUUUUCCCUUCUCUAUCUAAUUCUUUCCUUUCAUUUUCUUUUCCUAUUGCAAUUUCCAUUUCUUCUAUAAGGGCCCUAGUAUCAACAACUACCCGACUGUCGCAAUAUACACCGGUUAUUUCCAUUCCAGCAUUCGGAACGCGAUCCUUGUGCAAGUGGGGCAACUUAUAUUGAUUUCCUCCUUUGUCUUUCAUAACUUCAAACAUAACUGCUUCUAAUGUGAUAAAGCUUCUAUGCAACUUGUCGGGAUCGUAGUUCUCGAAUUCCUCUUCCACACCCUGUACCAGUUCCUUGAUGUUUGUAGGUGACCUGCAGUCGGUUAGAGACUGGAGAGAGUUAUGGAAGCAGAGGUCCAAACAAUUUAACUCAGGGUUAUUUGGGGGCUGUUGUAGCAAUCAGAUGUCAAGAUCAGUUUGUUCCACAGCUUCUCGGAAAGCUACAUCAUUGGGAAGGACAUGAGGCUUUGCGUUAUCCUGUUGGAUGAAUAUUGUUGCUCCCUCAUCAUCGUCAGGCCACUUAUCCUGAAUUGCCGGGAUAACCUUAUUGAUUAGAUAAUCUCUGCACACUGGCCUGGUUACUUUCACUGAUGUCAACACUUUUGUUCCCUUUUUUCUGUUCUGACUUGUCCGCUUCGCCUCAGUCUCUUCGACGAAUGCCCAAAUGCCGAUCUUCCCAUCGAAUGUUAGCUCCCCCUCAUUGUUAUAUCGAGGCCUGGCAACAGCUGUUAGGAACAUUACCUUCCCAAUGUUGUGAGUGUUUGACACGGUGCACUUCGGUUCAGGUUCUCCUGGAAGUACAUAGUAACUAUUCUUCACUCUCGUCAUGUCAAACCACUUCUCAUCAAUGUGAACCAUAUUCGUCAUUGGUUUUAACAUAGCCCGAGAAGUUGAGAUUGAAUUGUCAUCGACCAUGGACAUACAAAAUUUCAAUCUCGCAAGCUUGUUCUCUAGCUUGAGGUGAGGCUUCACGGUGCUUGUGAUGCGGUUGAGCUCAUUCAACUGGAACCUCUUAUGUAGGGUCGAUCGGGCCACACCUAGAGACCGUUCCAGAGAUCGAAUUGUUCUUCUUUUAUUCAGUGCGAUUGUUGAGGUCCUCUCUAGAUCCAGCUCCUUUCUCUUUCGGCCAGAUCUUCCUGGCUUCUUGCUUGAGACAUCUACUUCUUUGCCAUCGGCAAUUUGCUUUUUAGCCUCUUCCCAGAUUCUUUCAACAGAUCGUACACUUAUGUCUAACAGGUUUGAGACUAGCAGCUUGUCAUCUGGUUGAACAGACCCAUCUCUGAGCUCGAUUACCAGCAAGGCAAAGUAAACACCAUGCCUCUCCUUAUCUGACAAUUCUCUUCUCUUCUCUUGAAGUAUCCAAUUCAUAACUUCAUCCUCUUCCUCUUGAGCUUCAUCCUCUUUUCCUUCAUCUUCUUGAGGCAUCCAAUUCAUAUCUUCAUCGUCUUCCUCUUGAGGCAUCAAGUUCAAAUCCAUAGCUACAUUCUCUUCCACUUGAGGUUCCUCUUUUUCAGGGAUCCAAUUCAAAUUAAUACCUUCAUCGUCUUCCUCUUGAGGCAUCAAGUUCAAAUCAAUGGUUUCAUGUUCUUCCUCUUGAGGCAUCAAGUUCAAAUCCAUAUUCAUGUGUUCCUGCCAUCAAUGACGAAAGAUGAGUACACCAUGGUACCAUAACAAGAAUACACACACACAAAAAGAGUAUUCUAAGAUCAACAACAUCAUUUUUCUUCAGAUUUGGAGUAUUCUAAGAUCAAAAACACCAUGGUACCAUCAAAUUCAAGUAAUAACAGCAGACAACACAAAAACAGCAUCAACAACACAUGUUUUCAUAGUACUCCAUAAAUGAUUCAUUUCCAUACAUGUACUCCAUGUUCCUAAUAAUGAGGAGUACAUGCAAACCAAGAUAAUCAACUUACAGUGAGAAUCCCAACCUUGACCAUGAAUAUCUCCUAAACUAUAAGUCCAAAUCAAUUGAUUCUUUUUGCAUUAUUAUUUUUAUUUAAUUUCCAAGUUUGGGUUUUAUUUGAUCUACCUAGAUGUUCUAGAUAGAGUUUUGUUAUUUUUCUCUUUAUUGAAAAUCCUUUGAAAAAUUAUUUCCAGAGAGAAAUAAUUCAGGAGGUGAAGACCAGGAGUUUUGUGACCCUCCAUUUAAAACAGGGCAAGCCACUUCAUCCACUUGCUUGAUGGCAAUUGCAAGGCCAUGGCUUCCAACUUGCAGAUCCACGGUUAUUUUUGCCCUUUUAUUGACUUGGCUUGUUAUGCUUUUAUUGUUUUCCUAAGUAGAGCUUGGUAGUGAGAAAUAGACAUCAGUAGGGUAUUUUAAGAGUUAAACUUAACUGCCUUGGUUACUUUGGAGCUAGCAUUCACUAUGAAACUGGUAUUUACUUUUGAUAACAUGAAUCAUAAUGAAUAAAACAGUAGUGACAAGGAGACCCUUAGGGGUUGCUGGUAUUGGUUCAAUGGCAACAGUGCGAAUGCUAAAUGCUCAUUUAGGCACCCAGUACGACCUCCUCUGUAUUUAUUUUGUUGACAUAAUAUAUGACCUCCACUGUUCUCUUUUCACUCAAAGCUAGUACUGCAGUUCUAGUCAGUUUAGUGCUUCAGUUAAACAGAGCAACAUCAUAAGCUAUGGAAGUUUGUCUAAUUGGCUUCUUCUUGUGGCUGGCAACAGUUGCUCUGCACAAAAUCAUACUACCCAUUUACUUGAACACCCGAGCAGCUACGAUUACAGUAAUUAAUAAGUGUGUGUACUUUCUUUUCAGCCGUUGGACGACUUGCUCGGAGCAUCGGCGACUCCGCGGGCACCUCAACAAACUGCCCUUGCACCCAAUGGCACCACAAAGCUAGUUGUCCCUUUGUCCCAUGGUUGUCCAAAACCUGAUGAUGGUUUUAACCAGCUAACCGGGUGAUACUGGACAAUUUUGAAAGUUUUAACAUGGUUCACAUGUACGGAAUGAGGCUACUGUUUUAUGAAUGCUGCUAGUGCUACAAACCUGAAUUGACAUCAUCUAAAUUUGCUAGUGCUACAAAGUUUUAACCUGGACUGGUUUAUGAAUGUUGCUAGUGCUACAAACCUGAAUUGGCAUCAACUGAAUUUGCUAGUGCUACAAAGUUUUAACUUGGACUGUUUUAUGAAUGCUGGUAGUGCUACAACAAUUUGCAUCCUCUGAAUUUUACAGUUUCACUCUGAAUUGGCAUCAUCUGAAUUAGCAUCAUCUGAUCUCUGAAUUAAUCAUCCUAUCUUUAAUUUUCUGAUCAGUAAUAGUAAAUCAACACUACUCUGAUGAAUAAGUAUUGUACCUUCUACAGAGUGCAGAGGAGUAGCAGCAAUAGCAGCACCGGCAGGAUCAGAGGAGAAGCAGCACGGGCAGGGUCAGAGGAGGAGCAGCAGCACGGGCAGGGGAGAAGGAGCAGCAGCAGCACGGGCAGAUCUCCACCGGCGAGCUCCUGGUCCACCGGAUUGUGGAGGCAAGCUCCGACGACGCCAGUAGGGGAUAGCGGCGGCGCACACGCGGGAGCUCCAGGAGGAUGCACGGGAGCACGAGGGAGGACACACACGAGCUUGAGGAGGAUGCGCGGGGGCUCCAGCGGGGAAGCGUGCGGCCUCGAGGAAGACGUGGUAGGAGAUUCUGGCGAAGCCCGCAGGCAGCGGGAGGAGACCACGGCAGUGCAGGUCUGGGCGGCGGCGGUAGAGGAGGUAAUUGGCGAAGGCGGCGAGAGCAGGUGCUUGGCUACGGAGGAGGAGCUCAGCUGGGCUCGCCGGCCCCUGGCGAAUCACGCAGCUAGGCGGCGCCGGCCCCUGGCGAUGGGCAGGCGACGAGCAGAGGAAGAAGACGGGGCGGAGGGACUUGUUUGAAACGCUUUUAAAACCACGAGGUUUUUUUGCAAAAUUACCAGUGAACUACGCCCACGACAUGUUUUUCGGGACGGAGGGAGUAGUAUUUACCUGUUUUUGACCAUGUUGUUUAUAAUUUUUUUCUGUUGAGUAUUGUUCUCUAGAAUAAAAUUAUGCUAUAAAUAAUUUCCAUGCUUACAUAUGUUGAGAUUAUUUAUAUCUUAUUAUUUGCAAUUGAGAUUUUUAAUCUCUUGCAAAGAUAAAUUCGGUACCUCUGCAGUAUUGUUUCUCCGUUGAGUACGAGGUAUUCCAGAAUGUUUCUAUGAUAUAUCUAUUUCCAUGUUAACCACAUGUCUGAGAUUAAUACGUCUAUUUACAAUUGAGAUUUUCAAUUUCUUGCAAAUACAGAUGCAAAAUUCUUGGUGAUUUCUUCAAAUUGAUGUAUUGAGAUCACAAGGUAGUGUGUAGAUCUACUGCUUUGCAGAUUAUCACCACUACAGUUAAGCCUACAUUUUGUCAUUUUGACAUUAUGAUUUCUUAACAAAGUGCUCUCCCACAUAUUUUACUCUGUCGUGACAUAAGGCAUUAUGAGUGAGUAUCUACUGAUUUCAUCAGAUUAUACUCCCUAGUGCUGCGAGAUCUACUCCAUUUUGGAGAUUAUCUUCAAGAUGUCAUACUUAGCAAUUUGAGAUUCACACUAAUGGUUUCAAGCUAAGUUCUUGAAAUAUCCAUUAAUUUUGCAAAAUUCAUUACAACAUUAACCAUGAUGGUCUUUAAUUUACUACUCGUAAAUUAAUUAUCUCUGGUUUGCCCCUAUAAGUAAUAGAUGGCUAAGUAAUUUGAGGCUCUUGCCCUCAAUGGCGACAACUUACUUAAGCGGGUUAUGGACAUCAAGAUCAGUCUUGCCUCCCAUAGGAUAGCGCGUGCAAUCCAAGCCAUGUCACCGGGACGCAAAGAACCUCAAGGGUAAUUGUUUGAAACUCACUUCAAACCUUCGACCUGACACCAUUAUGGAAGUCAGUUUGUUUGCAUCAUGUUCUUCUAGAACUGAGCAAUAAAAUGACUAUCCUGUUGUCAUGGGACCCUAUGAGCACGGAGAACAUGAAGGUUGAAUAUGCAUCAACUAACAUGUUUGGAGACUACAUUUAGUCCCUCAAUCUCCUUAGUGAUCUAUUUAUUUAUGUCCAUUUCUGAUGUUCUAAUAUGAACAUGAUUAUUGUUAUCAUCAUAUAUUGUAUAUCACAAUAUAUUGUAUCAGCACUUUGGUACAAAUACAUUUGUAUGUAUUCUAUAUAUCUGACAGUGAUUUUCAUAUUGAGAAUCUUCCAUGUCUAUAUAUAGAUUUCUACGGGAGUCAAUCCGAUGAAAAAUGAUAUGUGCCUUGUGGAUAUAUGCACCACAAACUCUAUACUCGGGGAAGUCCAAUGUUUCCACUAUCAUUGAGAGAAAGGAGAUAUUUUAAAAUCCCUAGACGCGAUGAGGUAUUUGUCGGCUCAACUCGAGUCAUAUUUACUAUCCCCGUGGGUACUCGAGUAACGUUGGGAUGCUUCAUUGCUUCCCAAGUUUAACUCGUACCCUACUAAGCUAUAGAGAUAUUCGUCAAAAUGGUUUCCAUAGAGAAACUUGUGCUAACAAGAAAGAGAAAUACAUUCUCUUUACCAUAUGCAACGGAUAUGGCAAGCACAUUCCCUAUGUAUCAUCUGGAUUGUACUACACAUACUACAAAACCCGUAGCACAUGUUGCGCUCAAGAUAGUUUUCCAAAAUGUCUUGUACAUGAAAAACUUGGCAUACCCGCCUUGGUCAUCGAGACAUUGGGUUGAAACCCAAACUAUCACCAAUUCCAGUAGUUUAUGAUUAUUAUGAUGCUAAAUUCUAACAAUAUUUGGAUUUUAUGUGCACUACAUGUGACACAGGGAAGCUAAUUUUAAGGCUCGCACACCUUAAAGUCUAUGUUGAACCACUGAGACUCCUUGAAUGCAUUAAGUUGAGGUAAAUGGCUCUUCCCAUCCAUUGACUAGACUAUUCAGGUAUUCCAUGGUUCUAAAAGACAUAUCUACAUGAUGGUCUUAAGUGUGUGCUUUAUUCACACGAAAUCAUUGGCUCAUUAUCCUGACAUCGAUUUCAAGCAAAUCGAAUAGAUAAUAUUGCAGAAUUCUCCUUGAGGGCCUUCUGUAUGGCCUUUGGAUUGAAGUUUAGCCAUUUGUCCUAAUGUGUAGACUCAAAAUGGUUUGGUAGAAUCCUAUCCAAAGAGUUAAGCUCAUUGCAUUAUCUUUACUUUGGAAUUGCAACUUACCAACUUUACGUUGGAGUCAUGCAGUUUUACACGCUCAUGACAUAACUGCAUAAUCUUAUUCCCCUCUAUCUUUGAUAUGUGGAUAUCUACCAAGUAUUUCCUAUCUGCAGUAAUUCGGUUACAUACCGAUAUCACCACCCAGCAUACCUCAUUGGCCCCUCAACAUAUAGUUGGGAUCUAUGUGAGGAAUAGCUGUAUUUUUGUCAAUACCUCAAGCCCCUCGCAUGGGGAGUUAUUGAAGGCCAAUAUGCUGAUUCAAUGAGGAACAUUUCUAGGCAUUAGGGGGAGAUUUCAAGUACCAUAAAGAAUGUCAGGAAAUUAGUGGAAUGUUCAACACAUUUCUGCCUCAAAUCCACAUACUCAAAGAUCUGAACUAUGCGUUCAAAAGAUUUGCAACACAUUGCAAAUAACCUGCCAGAUUCAUUUACUGACUAUAAAGGUGUCACACAAUCCUACAAUCCUGCAAAAGUACGCCUGAAAGAGUGGAGGUACCAACAAGAUCCACUCCACUCCCCGUUCAAAGCAACAGGGGGAGAUGUAUGGCAGAAAUACAUCAGGAUUCAGCUUCUCGCAAGCAAGGAUAUCAAGGCCUCUUAAUCAGUAAAUGCAAGUUAACUUUAUGUUGACAAACACCUAAUGGGUAGUAUACACCCAGUGGACGGGAAACCUCCACCAACCCAGGUCAUAGUGCACACAAUGACUGGGACAUCGGAAUACCCGGCUCAAUCGCAUUGGGAAAUCGCGAGCAGUCACCAUGGGUAAUGAUAUUUCCACCAACUAUAUAUUGAUAUAUAGAUUCUGGAGAAACAUAUAACCGGAAGUCUACAAAUGCCGACAUACAUUUCUUAACUAGAGUGCAAAAAUCCUUUCAAAUGAUUCAGAUCCAAAGACCAUGGCCAUGGAAAAGUGUGAACAACACUCGGACUGAACUCAAGCAAAGGGUAUAAUCUAGGUAGAAAUGAUCUUGCUCAAUAAUGGGAAGGUAUUCAUGAGCAAUACCUACACCAGUUUUCUUCUGGAAACAGAAUUGAGAACAACAAGGUGGUGAAACAUAGAGCAAGUAUUGUAGCACAAGGUUCACGCAGAUACCCAACUAUUCUCCAGAAGUGGAAUCUCUUUCUGAUAACUUAUACCAUUGGCAGCACAAAAUCAUCUAUCUUUGCAGUUGAUAGAUGUAGUGAUUACAUAUCCAUGUGGAUCACUAGAUUCAGACAUAUAUGAUUGAUUCCCGAUGGAAUCUGAAUUCUGAAUCGAAAUACAAAAUGCAACAUACAUUGUGUAAAAUCAGUAAGUCAUCAUACGACUUAUUGUUGUCGGUACAUUUGGUAUAACCGACGUGGUGAGUUCCUUAUACACAAGGAUUACUCCUACAAUGAUGAUUAUCCAUGUUUGUGUGUAUGCAAUGACGACACAUGUAAUCAUCUAAAUGACGGAGUUUAAAAUGAAGGAUUUGGGUAAACCAAAACAUCGCUUGUUACUACAAAUUGAGCACCUUCAUUCAUACAUUAUGGUAUACUAUGUUGUCUAUAUCCAUAAUAUAUUGGAGAAAUUCAUUGUGGACAAAUCGUAUCCAUCCAUAACUCUCAUGGUAGUUCAUUCUCUAGACGUAGAGAAAGAUCUAUUUAGACCAAGAGAUGAUUGAAAUGAGAUACUGGGACUCGACGUUCCAUAAUGCCAUUGGAUCCACCAAACACAAUUGGUUAGUACUCAAGAAUAUCUUUCGAUAUCUCCAAGGCAUCAGACAUCUUGUCCUGGUUUUUCAGUUUCACAGAAAUGUGAACACCCAUAUCGUUGGAUACAUCGAUCAGAUCCCUACUAUGUCAGAUCGUAGACAAGCUUAGUGUUCCUCCUAGGUGUAGUAGUCCUCUCAUGAGAAGUCUUCGAAACAGAACUCAUGGCUACAUCCACCAACCAUUAUCUCAACGAUAAUGUUUCUUGCAUUGCCUGGAUGCAAACAGGUUACAUAAUAAGCAAUAUCACUAUAUUGCAUAUCUUGCAAGUCAAAUCAUGUGACUGAUUUGUUCAUCGGGUUUCUACCAACUUCUAUGUUCCAGAAAUGUGUUCAUGGAAUUGGUAGGUGACGGCUUCGAAUUUUGCAAGAAUCAGGGGGAGUAUCUUCCUAAAUUGUUCCUGUUCAAUGCAUCAUAUUAUACUCUUUUUCCCUUCAUGAGUUUACUUUACAGGUUCUCAUAAAGGUUUUUAAUGAGGUAAUAUCAACAUGAGAUCAUAUGUCAUACUUUCAGUUUUCCCCACCGGGGUUUUUAGGAAAGUAUAUACGACAUAUUUAUUGUCCUCUGAACUCUAUGGGUUUUCUCGUAUUAAGCUAAAAGAGACAAUAACCAUUAUAUGUUGCAUCAUUUUCUUCUUAUUUUUUCCCAUUGGGUUUGAAGGAGUUUUAGCAACAUAUCAUACUACAAUACUUCUCACAUUUUUCCCAUAGGGUUUUUGGAGAAGAGUUAAUUCAAGGAUGAUUCUAGAGUUGAUCGGUUGCAAGGACAAAGAAGGAUUAGGGGGAGUGUUAGGAUUAAAAUUAAUAGGUUAAUUAAAGAGAUAAUCCUCCCAUUGUAAUCUGUACGUCGGUUGCAUUAGCAACCGUCGUGCCUCUCCCCUUGCACCUCUACGAACAGUCGCAUCUCUCGAUCGUGUCUGUUCCCCUUGUAUAUAUACCGAGAAUCAUUCAAUGGAAUCGAUAGUUCGAUCAUUUGUUCUUUUCGAUCUCAAACAUAAGUCAUCAACAUGCAUAAGCAUUAGGAUGUGUGUCCAAUCACAGGACAUUUGAGGAUUCUAAGAUAUUUAGCUCACACCGCAACUUGCAAAACCUUUUCUCAUCCAAGGGCUUUGUGAAGAUAUCUGCCAAUUGCUUUUCCGUGUUGACAUGAAUGAUAUCAAUAUCUUCCUUCAUGACAUGAUCUCUGAGAAAGUGAUGACGGAUCUGAAUGUGCUUUGUCUUCGGAUGCUGAACUAGGUGGUUGGCAAUCUUGAUGGCGCUUUCAUUGUCGCAGUAGAGUGGCACUUGCUUCAGAUGGAUUCCAUAGUCCUUGAGAGUUUGCUUCAUCCAUAGAAGCUGAGCACAACAAGAUCCAGCAGAAAUGUAUUCAGAUUCUGCAGUGGAGAGAGAGACACAGUUCUGCUUCUUUAAAGACCAACAGACAAGAGAUCGUCCAAGAAAGUGACAUGUGCCUGAUGUAGAUGUGACGCUCCAAGACCGGAGCUUCAGAUGCCUUCCUUGAUUUCCGAGUUUUUGUCGUGUGAUUUGUUUGGUUCAUUGCAUUCAUCAUUGCAUCAUGUCAUCAUGUCUUUAAUCUUUCCAGCUCAACUAAAUAAAUCGUAUAGAUCUUUGGUCCAUUUAAACCGAGGGAAUUCACGUGGUGAUUCUCUUUACAACAUAUACCCCAAUAUUAGGGAGCUAUAUUAAAUAUUCCACUAGUUUGGAAUUCACCUUAACACACUUGCAAAAUCCCAAUGCCUUUGUUAUCACAACUCUUGGCCUCUAACUUUGCUAUAUAUCCUUUCUCCAUUUUCCGGAGCUCCACCAAAAAUCCGAACAUUUUUGGACCUUCCUAACCCUCACUUCCUAUUCAAACCAUUUGAAUUUAAAUCAAAUGAGUUUGAAUUUAAACUUUGAAAAAUGUCCACUCCAUUUUUUCUUAGAUCAUACACAUUCUUGUGAGUCCAGGAAUAUAACCCCCAUGCCCAAAUUCCAUCCCUAACCCUCUCUUUAUAUUUUUCUUCUUCUAUCUAUUUUCUUUUCUCUUAAUGGUUAAGAGAAGAGAGUGAGAGAUAGCAGAGAGCCUGCAUCCUGCAGCCCAGCCGACCAGGCCUAUGGCCUUUUCCAUCUCCACCAAAAGGCCCAAGGCCCAGCCGGCGCCCUGCUUAACCUAGUCCCGACCGAUCCUCACCCUCUCCCUCUCAUCCUCCCACAACGCCACCACACACACGCACACACGCAUCGUGCCAACGCUCCGCCUCCUGCCACCAGCAACCGGCGCGAAGUCCGUCAUCGGCCGCCCUCUAUCUUCUUCCUUCGUCUUCGCCCGCGCCUUGUGUGCCUCCUCCCGUCCUGAGCUCAAGCUCGCCCGAGCUGUUCCCAUGGCGAUGUCGCCUGGCCCCGGCCACCAGUGCGCCACGGCAAGCCCCCGCCGCCGUGUCCGAUCGCUUCCGGCAACCACGACCAGCGCAGCGCCUCUGCUGCCCACCUCGACGUGCUCGCCCGGAUCCUCGUUGCCCGAAGGCCGCCGCCCGCUCCUCCCUCGACCGUGCAAGUCCAGCGUCGACCAACAUCAUGCUCUGCUUCCUCUUCUCCGUGUUCGCCUCUACCGUCCUCGCCAUGUUCCCGGAGCUGCGACGCCCUGCUUGCGUCAAGCCGCUGCAGUUCCGCCGCGAGGGCCCCGGCAGCAGCUUCUAGACGUCCCCCGCGCCAAGUGCCACGGUUGUCGACCCUGCAUCGCGCCCUUGCCUGCUGCUUCGACUCCCUUCCCGAGCUCCGUUUUUCGUCAUGGACGUGGGGUAGCGGCUGAACGUCGCCAUGGUUCUGUCCAACGCCUCAAGUCUAACGCCGGGAGCACCUCAAGUUCAACUACAUGUAACAGCAAGUACCACUACGGCCGGAGACCUCGGACCCGUCAAGUACCCUUUGGAUGUGCCAAGUUCCACGAUGUCGCAUAAGUUUCUUCUUGAACAUGUUCGACUACAACGUGAACGAGUACCACGACGACCCUCGAAGAGCUCGGAUCCGUCAAGUUCCACUACCUAUGACAUGUACCACUACCGUCGUCCCGAAAACGUUGGAUUCAUCAAGUACCUCUCCAAAAAACGAACGUGUACCACUACCGUCGCCGAGAUCGCGAGAACCUCUACCGAUGACCUCGGAACGUGUACGAUGACCAUUGUCGAAGACCCGUACCUCUACCGCUUCUCAAAUAUGUACCACGACUCCCACGACUUCCGUGAACAACUACUUCCGUCUACAUCCCUUCGAACCCGAACCGUCCUGAACCGCGCACUUCAAAGGUAUAACCGCCGAGCCGUUGACCCCAUGGAUGAAUGCUUGCGAUGUACGAGAUGCACCCUUUCGUUUGCACCGUGUCCGUAGUGUCUCUCGCUUCCAUGCCAUCGACUCGUGGGAACCCAGUAACCGGGAUCACCCCACCAUCUUUUGCACGCUCCCGCCACACUUCCUUUUGCACCGGUAUCUCCAUGAGCUACCGGAACCGAUAUGUUGCCGUGGCAUCAUUUUUGGAUUCAUUGUCGUGGCACCCCUUUCAUUUCUGCCACGAUGACAAAUGCUUCAUAUUAUGCUCAUGUCAACAUUUUCAUAAAAUUGCAUAAACUUGCACAUGUCAUCCGCAUCAUGAUAAUAACAUUUAAAAUGUUUAAAGUUGUUGUUUGCAUUAAAUUGCUAAAUGCAUAUGGGGAUUCUCCGGAAUUACUGUUGUUUGUUGUUUCCAGCCCCAUUUAAAUUGCUUAGAUAGUGUGGUUUAAUUGUGCUUCACCCCUUGCCAUGUUAACAACAUUUAAUAUUGUUGGGUACAUAAACAAGAGAGAACUAAAUAAUCGAAUGUGGAUGUUCCGUCAAUAUGCAACUCGUUGCAUAUUGGGCUCCACUUAACUUGUAGUUUUGUUUGUGCACUUUGCCAUGCCAUGCAUAUUUAAACCGGACAUGCAUCAUACUUGUUUGCGCAUCAUGCCAUGCUAAUGUGAUGGUUGUUUACUAUGUUGUUUGCUCCUUUUCGGGUUGCUUCUCUCGUUAGCUUCGGUUUCGUUCCGGAGUUGUGAGGAUUCGUUUGACUACGUCCGUUUGUCUUCUUCAUGGACUCGUUCUUCUUCCUUGCGGGAUCUCAGGCAAGAUGACCAUACCCUCGAAAUCACUUCUAUCUUGCUUGCUAGUUGCUCGCUCUAUUGCUAUGCUGCGAUACCUACCACUUGCUAUAUCAUGCCUCCCAUAUUGCCAUGUCAAGCCUCUAACCCACCUUUCCUAGCAAACCGUUGUUUGGCUAUGUUACCUCUUUGCUCAGCCCCUCUUAUAGCGUUGCUAGUUGCAGGUGAAGAUGAAGUUUUGUUCCUUGUUGGAACAUGGAUUUUGUUGGGAUAUCAUUAUUAUAUCUUAUUUACUUUAAUGCAUCUAUAUACUUGGUAAAGGGUGGAAGGCUCGGCCUUAUGCCUGGUGUUUUGUUCCACUCUUGCCGCCCUAGUUUCUGUCAUACUGGUGUUAUGUUCCUUGAUUUUGCAUUCCUUACGCGGUUGGGUGUUAUGGGAACCCCUUGACAGUUUGCUUUGGAUAAAACUCCUCCAGCAAGGCCCAACCUUGGUUUUACCAUUUGCCUACCUACCACCAUAUACCUUCCCUUGGGUUCUGCAAACUCAAGGGUCAUCUUUAUUUUAAGCCCCCCCCUGGGCCAGUGCUCCUCUGAGUGUUGGUCUGAACUAGAGUCCUUUGCAGCGCCACCUCGGGGAAACUCGAGGUUCAGUUUUAGUUGUACGGAGCGCUCAUCCGGUGUGCCCUGAGAAUGAGAUACGUGCGACUCCUAUCGGGAUUUGUCGGCACAUCGGGCGGCUUUGCUGGUCCUGUUUUACCAUUGUCGAAAUGUCUUGUAACCGGGAUUCCGAGUCUGAUCGGGUCUUCCUGGGAGAAGGAAUAUCCUUCAUUGACCGUGAGAGCUUGUGAUGGGCUAAGUUGGGACACCCAUGCAGGGUUUUGAACUUUCGAAAGUCGUGUCCGCGGUUAUGGGCAGAUGGGGAUUUGUUAAUGUCCGGUUCUAGAGAACUUGACGCUUAACUUAAUUAAAAUGAAUCAAACGCGUGUGUAGCCAUGAUGGUCUUUUUUUGGCGGAAUCCGGGAAGAGAACACGGUCUCGUGUUGUGCUUGAACGUAAGUAGCUUCAGGAUCACUUCUUGAUCACUUUUAGCUUCUCGAUCGUGCUUUUCUUCUCUUCUCGCUCUCUUUUGCGUAAGUUAGCCACCAUAUAUGCUAGUGCUUGCUGCAGCUCCACCUCACUACCCCUUUCCUACCCUUAAGCUUAAAUAGUCUUGAUCUCGCGGGUGUGAGAUUGUUGAGUCCUCGUGGUUCACAGAUACUUCCAAAUAGUUGUAGGUGCCGAUGAUACCAGUGCAGGUGAUGCAACUGAGCUCAAGUGGGAGCUCGAUGAAUAUCUUGUUCAUUGCGUUGUUUCGUUUCUUGUUGAUCAGUAGUGGAGCCCAGUUGGGAAGAUCGGGGAUCUAGCAUUUGGGGUUGUCUUUCUUUAUUUUGGUUCCGUAGUCGGACCUUGAUUUGUAUUCUAGAUGAUGUAUGAUAUAUUUAUGUAUUGUGUGAAGUGGCGAUUGUAAGCCGACUCUUUAUCCCUUUCUUAUUCAGUACGUGGGAUUGUGUGAAGAUUACCCCUCUUGCGACUAAACCACCAUGCGGUUAUGCCUCUAAGUCAUGCCUCAACACGUGGGAGAUAUAGCCGCAUUGUGGGUGUUACAGUAAACUUGUGGUCAACCUUGUCACCAGCAUAAUCAGCAUCUGAGAAUCCAACUAGAUCAAACUUUGAGCCCUUUGGAUACCAUAAUCCUAGUGUUGGGGUGUAAGCCAAAUAUCAAAGAAUUCGCUUCACGACUAAGUGAUGCAACUCCUUUGGUGCCACUUGGAAUUAGGCACACAUGCAAACGCUAAGCAUUAUAUCUGGCCUAGAUGCACACAAAUAGAGUAAAGAACCAAUCAUGGAGCGGUAUACCUUUUGAUCGAACUCUUUACCAUUGUCGUCGGGGCCCAGAUGACUUUUGGUUGGCAUUGGCGUCGUGUAUCCUUUGCAGUCUUGCAUCCCAAACUUCUUCAGGCAAUCUUUGAGGUAUUUCUCUUGAGAUAUGAAGAUGCCGUUGCUUUGCUGACGGAUUUGAAGACCAAGGAAGAAUUUCAGCUCACCCAUCAUGGACAUCUGAUACUGCUCUUGCAUCACGUGUCCAAACUCAUCACCGUAUCUCUUGUCAGUGCAGCCGAAGAUAAUGUCAUCCACAUAGAUCUGGCAUACAAACAGUUCACCAUCGUAUGUCUUCGUGAAGAGUGGGAUCCAGGGAACCAGGUUUGAAGCCUUUGCUCUUCAGGAAGUCUUUGAGUGUGUCAUACCCAGCGCGAGGGGCUUGUUUAAGGCUGCACAGUGCCUUAUUGAGCUUGUAUACCAUGUCAGGAUGUUUUGGGUCUUCAAAGCCAGGAGGUUGUACAACAUACACUUCUUGUUCAAUCUUGCCAUUGAGAAAGGCACUCUUCACAUCCAUUUGGUACAGGAGGAUGUUGUGAUGGUUGGCAUAGGCUAGCAGUAUGUGAAUGGCUUCAAGCCUAGCCACCGGAGCAAAUGUUUCAUCAAAUCCAAUCCCUUCAACUUGAGUGUAUCCUUGAGCAACGAGACGAGCCUUGUUUCUGGCUACUUGACCAUGCUCAUCUUGUUUGUUGCGAUAGAUCCAUUUGGUGCCUAUGAUGUUGUGCUUGCGAGGAUCAGGACGCUUGACCAAUUCCCACACAUUGUUCAGCUCGAACUGUUAAAGCUCUUCUUGCAUCGCUUGAAUCCAUUCAGUUCCAUGAAGGCUUCAACAACUUUCUUGGGUUCAGAUAUAGAGACAAAUGCAAAGUGCCCACAUAAAUUUGCUAGCUGUGUUGCUCUUGAAUGACUGAGGGGAUCAGGUGCAUUGUUGCUAUCAAUUAUCUUCUCAAUUUGUACUUCAUUUGCAACACGAGGAUGAACUGGAUGAAGAUUUUGCCCUUGCUAAUCAUUGUCUUCGUCUUCAUCAUUGGCUUCAGGCUAAGCAGUGUCUUCAGGUUGACUUGGUACAAAAAUGAUAAGUUCUUCUUCAGCAUGUGCCUCUGAAGGUAUGAUUUCUCCAGUACCCAUAAGCUUGAUGGAUUCACUUAGUGAGACUUCAUCUAGCACAUUUUGCAGGUGCUCUCUUUGCAAGCCGUUAGUUUCAUCAAACCGCACAUCCACAGUUUCAACCACUUUAUAGUGAAAGAGGUUGAAGACUCUGUAGGAGUGCGAAUCCUUUCCAUAACCAAGCAUAAAACCUUCAUGUGCUUUCGGUGCAAAUUUUGAAGUGUGAUGCGGAUCCUUGAUCCAGCACCAAGCACCAAAUACACUGAAGUAGCUUAAGUUUGGCUUCUUACCAGUCAGUAGCUCAUACGAUGUCUUCUUUAAAAGCUUGUGAAGAUAAACAUGGUUGAUGACGUGGCAUGCAGUACCAAUAGCUUCAGGCCAGAACUUCCUUGGAGUCUUGUACUCAUCAAGCAUCAUCCGAGCCAUCUCAAUGAGUGUUCUGUUCUUGCGCUCCACGAUGCCAUUCUGCUGAGGUGUGUAUGGAGCUGAGAACUCAUGAGUGAUGCCCAAUGUAUCGAGAUAAGUGUCGAGGCCGGUGUUCUUGAACUCUGUGCCGUUGUCACUUCUGAUGUGCUUGAUCUUGAUGCCAUAGUUCGUCAUGGCACGAUUGACGAAUCAUCCGAAGACAUCCUGCACUUCAUUCUUGUAAAGGAUUAUAUGCACCCAUGUGUAUCUUGAAUAAUCAUCAACAAUGACGAAACCAUAGAGGCAAUAAGUGGUAGUGAGAGUAGAGUAGUGAGUAGGGCCAAAUAAGUCCAUGUGAAGCAGCUCGAAAGGUUGAGAUGUCGUCAUGAUUGUCUCCGAGGGAUGCUUGGACCUUGUUAUCUUUCUAGCUUCGCAGGCACCACACAGAUGAUCCUUCUUGAACUUGACGCCUUCGAUGUCUACGACAUGUUUCUUCUUCGCGAGUGUGUACAAGUUUAUCAUGCCAGCAUGCCCUAGCCUCCAAUGCCAGAGCCAGCAUUCUGACGCCUUUGCUAGAAGACAUACGGCCAACUGUGGUCCUACUGAGAAAUCUACCAUGUACAAAUCGUCCUUUUGAUAUCCUUCAAAGACUAGAGAUUUGUCAGAUUCCAUAAGCACAAGGCAACAAUACUUUCCAAAUAUCACUACCAUAUUUAGAUCACAAAGCAUUGAGACAGACAUUAAGUUGAAACCAAGGGAUUCAACAAGCAUCACUUUAUCCAUGUGUUGAUCCUUUGAGAUUGCAACUCUACCUAGACUCAAUACCUUGCUUUUACCAGUGUCAGCAAAUGUGAUGUGACUCUUGUCAGAUGGACGUAAGGUUGAGUCCAUGAGAAGACUUCGAUCACCAGUCAUGUGGUUAGUGCAUCCACUGUCCAUAAUCCAUUCAGAAGCCUUUGGUAUGGUACCCUACAGUGCAAUUAGGGGGACAGGCUUCACCAAGGGAAACGUGAAGCAUAAAUAUUUGAUGAACAAGAAUAUUAUCAAAGUUCAGAUCCUGGUUAGGACAGAUCGGAUAACUGUCAAGUAAACCAGGAACCAAAUACAUAGUAAGUCCAUUUGGGCAUUUUAUGUUGCGCCCCACAAGAUGUUUUAGGUCCCCAACAUAAGCAUCAUACGCCUUUGAUUUCCGGCUGGAGACCCUUCCCUACAAAAGAGAGUUAAGUUUUCUUAACCACCCACAUUUUCAGGGGUGGCUUCUAAGCAAUGAGUCUAAGUGUAGCAUCUAAGAACUUCAGCUUUGGAGCCCUAGAAAAUAGCCUUACAGGAGGUGAAUAAUACUCAUAAGAAUAAGCAGAGUAGUUCUUGGUCUUAUGAACAUGGUGGUUUGAUGAAACACGCUCAUAUUCAUAGGCCUGAGUAUGGUUUCCCUGUAAAACAUUGGUGUUAGGGUGACUCUGGUGAGUCAUCUAUCUGUAUGAAGCCUUUGCACUAUAUGAAGCCUUUGGUCUUGGGUUUGUCUUCUUCCCAGGUGAUGUCAUGAUGACAUUCACCUGAAGAUUUUCAAGACCACUCUUGGGCACCCAGAUCUUCUUCAAAGGGGGUCCAUUCCUGCAGUUAGUACCAAUAUACCUGGCAAUCACUUCACCAUUUCGAUUCUUAAAUAGUUUAUAGUUUGCAUCAAAGGAUUCAUCAUUGAUAAUCGGGUUAGCACAAGUGAAGCCAGAUAAGGUAGAUGGAUCCACUGAAGGCCCCUUUGCAGCAAUCCAUGUGGUUUUGGGGUACCGCUCAGGCUUCCAGUAAGAACCAUCAACAUUUAUUUUCCUCUCAAACCCAACACCCUCUUUCCUAGGGUUUCGGUUCAGAAUAUGUUUCUUAAGGACAUCACAUAGUGUCUGAUGCCCUUUGAGACUUUUGUGCAUUCCUGUCUCAGGCAAUGUCUUCAACCUCGCAUUCUCAUCAGCAAUAGUAGUGGUAUCCUCAAUAGAGGGGUUAGUUAACACAUCAUCGGUUGAAGAUAUUGUAAUAGUAGCAGCAGUAGAACAUUCAGCAACAGAGACAGCAUUAUCACGCUCAAGACAUUUUAGACAUGGUGGUUCAAAUCUUUCCUGAGUGGAACUAAUCUAUUGAGCACGGAGUGACUCGUUCUCCUUUUGAAGAUCCUCAUGAGCCGAUCUCAAGUUCUCAAGCUCUUGUUUCCUUUGAAGGUAAUCAUAGGAGAGCUUUUCAUGAGUAGUUGAGAGCAUUUCAUGACGACUUUCAAGUUCCUCGUACUUAACAUGAAGACUUCUAAUGUCUUCAAUUAAGGACUAAGUUCGAGUCAUUUCCGCGUCCAACAGGUCAUCGCUUUUGUCUAGCAACGUUUGAAUAUGUUCCAUAGCAUUUUGUUGUUCUGUUGCAAUUUUAGCAAGUGUUUUGUAGCUAGGUUUAGAUUCACAUUCAGAGUCAUCUUCACUUGAAGUUUGAAAGUAAGCAUCGCGUGAGUUUACCUUGGCACCACAUGCCAUGAAGCAAUAGGUGGGAGAAGAUGGCUCAUGUUCGGGAGUCAUCGUUUGGAGAGACUCCUUGAAUUCGAGGAACCAUGGGUCCUGACAUGUUCGAUGACCUUCAUAGACGUCAGAGAUCCGGUCCCAUAUAAGCUUCACAUUGCAUAGAUGCAUGGUGCGCUUGAACUCGUCUCUUGACAAACAGGAGCAUAUAAUAGCCUUCACCUUCGUAUCUAGAAGGGUGUACUUCUGAAUAUCAUUAGCACACGCCAUCUUGCAUAAAUCGGUGAGACCAAUCUUUGUGACAGUCCAAAGCUCACUGUCCAUAGCUAGAAGUCGCUUCUUCAUCAUGGCCUUCCAUCGGGGAUAAUCAUGACCAUCGAAAAUGGGGCACACAGCGAAGACCUUGAUUGUCCCUGCAGUUGACAUAACUAAAACUCCAGGUGGUUAAACCGAAUCACACAGAACAAGGGAGCACCUUGCUCUGAUACCAAUCGAAAGUGCUAGUUAUCAACUAGAGGGAGGUGAAUAGGUGAUUUUUAUGAACUUCAAAAUAUGAGGGCUUUGAAGACAGACAGUAGAAAUGAACCUAUUGAUAUGCAGCGAAAGGUAGACUACACUAGACAAGCCAUAAUCAAGUAAGCAAUGAAGUGAAAGCACGAAGACUAUCAGCAGCUAGGUAGUAUGGAUCAGGAUGGAAGAUAGUAUGAAGCCAAACAACAAAAGUCUUCACACAAUGAAGUCAAUCAGAUCAUGCAAGCAGACAAUGACUUCAUGAAGACAAAAUGUAAGUAAAGAGAGGUAAAAGAUAGAACUAGUUGCUUGGUGAGGACAAGGAUUUGUUGGACCCGAUCCAGUUGCUGUGACAACUGUAUGUCUGGUUAGGGAGGCUCAGAUUCAACUCAGAAGACCGCAUCUUCACCUUAUUCCCCUUGAGCUAAGGACACACGGUCCUCGCCCAAUCACUCUGGUAGGUCUUCAAGGGAGACUUCCAAACCUUCACAGACUUCGUUCGUCGGCAAUCCACAAUGACUCUUGAAUGCUCAGAACGCGACGCCUAACAGGCUGGAGGAUUCACAGUCCUCAAGUGCAACAAGUCUUCAGGUCACGCAGACAGAAAGACUUCAGUGAUGCUUAACACUCUUUGGCUCUAGGUGUUUAGGGCUUUGUCCUCGCAAGGAUUUCUCUCUCAAAUGCUUCGGAGGUGGGUUGUUCUCAAAUGACAAAAGCCGUGCACUAACUCUGAGCAGCCACCAAUUUAUGGUAUAGGGGGUGGGCUAUUUAUAGAUAGGAGGCAACCCGACCUGAUUUGUCCGAAAUGACCCUGGGUCACUAAGGAACUAACACGUGUCUAACAAUUAGAUUUCAAACACACGCGAUAGCUUGACUUGGGCUACAAGUAAAGUUGACUCAUCCAGCUCUAGAUAAGAUUUUCUCUCAUUGUCUUCACUCGAAGACAUAGGAUUUGGUUGAGCAUCACUUCAGUCACUCUGACUUUGUUCACUUGGACCCCACUUAACAGUGCGGUGGUUCCUAUGACUCAACAAAGAAGAAAAGGAAACUACGAAACAACUAUGUCUUCACACUCCAUAGUCUUCACGUGAAUGUCUUCUUGAGUCAUAAUUUUCGUUGCGAAUAUCUUCACAGACCACCAUUGUCUUCAAUGUCUUCACACAUUUUUAGGGGUCAUCUCUGGUAGGUAAACCGAAUCAAUGAGGGACUACUACCUGUGUUAUCCUACAAUUCUCACAAACAGAUUAGUCCCUCAACCAAGUUUGUCGUCAAUACUCCAAAACCAACUAGGGGUGGCACUAGAUGCACUUACAUCCUUCUUCUCCGCCAAAUACUUGGGGCAGUUCCGCUUCCAGUGACCAGUCCCUUUGUAGUAAAAGCACUCGGUCUCAGGCUUAGGUCCAGACUUGGGCUUCUUCACUUGAGCAGCAACUUGCUUGUCGUUCUUCUUGAAGUUCCCCUUCUUCCCUUUACCCUUUUUCUUGAAACUGGUGGUCUUGUUGACCAUCAACACUUGAUGCUCUUUCUUGAUUUCUACCUCCGCAGCCUUUAGCAUUGCAAAGAGCUCGGGAAUCGUCUUAUCCAUCCCUUGCAUAUUAUAGUUCAUCACGAAGCUCUUGUAGCUUGGUGGCAGUGAUUGAAGAACUCUGUCAAUGACACUAUCAUCAGGAAGAUUAACUCCCAACUGAGUCAAGUGGUUGUGGUACCCAGACAUUCUGAGUAUAUGUUCACUGGCAGAACUACUCUCCUCCAUUUUGCAGCUGUAGAACUUAUUGGAGACUUCAUAUCUCUCAAUCCAGGCAUUUGCUUGAAAUAUUAACUUCAACUCCUGGUACACCUCAUAUGCUCCAUGACGCACAAAACAUCGUUGAAGUCCCGAUUCUAAGCUGUAAAGCAUGGCACACUGAACGAUCGAUGAGUCAUCAGCUUUGCUCUACCAGACGUUCAUAACAUCUGGUAUUGCUCCUGUAGCGGGUUUGUCACCUAGCGGUGCUUCCAGGACGUAAUUCUUCUGUGCAGCAAUGAGGAUAAUCCUCAAGUUACGGACCCAGUCUGUGUAGUUGCUACCAUCAUCUUUCAACUUAGCUUUCUCUAGGAACGCAUUAAAAUUCAACGGAACAACAGCACGGGCCAUCUAUCUACAACAACAUAGACAUGCAAAAUACUAUCAGGUACUAAGUUCAUGAUAAAUUAAAGUUCAAUUAAUCAUAUUAUUUAAGAACUCCCACUUAGAUAGACAUCCCUCUAAUCAUCUAAGUGAUCACGUGAUCCAUAUCAACUAAACCAUGUCCGAUCAUCACGUGAGAUGGAGUAGUUUUCAAUGGUGAACAUCACUAUGUUGAUCAUAUCUACCAUAUGAUUCACGCUCGACCUUUCGGUCUCAGUGUUUCGAGGCCAUAUAUGCAUAUGCUAGGCUCGUCAAGUUUAACCCGAGUAUUCCGCGUGUGCAAAACUGGCUUGCACCCAUUGUAUGUGAACAUAGAGCUUACCACACCCGAUCAUCACGUGGUGUCUCGGCACAACGAACUGUAGCAACGGUGCAUACUCAGGGAGAACACUUGUACCUUGAAAUUUAGUGAGAGAUCAUCUUAUAAUGCUACCGCUGAACUAAGCAAAAUAAGAUGCAUAAAGGAUAAACAUCACAUGAAAUCAAUAUAAGUGAUAUGGUAUGGCCAUCGGCAUCUUGUGCCUUUGAUCUCCAUAUCCAAAGCACUGUCAUGAUCACCAUCGUCACCGGCUUGACACAUUGAUCUCCAUUGAAGCAUUAUUGUCGUCUCGCCAACUAUUGCCUCUACGACAAUCGCUACCGCUCAGUGAUAAAAGAAAAGCAAUUACAUGGCGAUUGCAUUUCAUACAAUAAAGCAACAACCAUAUGGCUCCUGCCAGUUGCCGAUAACUCUGUUACAAAACAUGAUCAUCUCAUACAAUAAAAUUUAGCAUCAUGUCUUGACCAUAUCACAUCACAACAUGCCCUGCAAAAACAAGUUAGACGCCCUCUACUUUGUUGUUGCAAGUUUUACGUGGCUGCUAUGGGCUGAGCAAGAACCAUUCUUACCUACGCAUCAAAAACCACAAAUGCGGUAUAGUGAUUGCUUUUUGAUCUACAGAAAGAACACUGUUCAUUGAAUCCGAUUCAACUAAAGUUGGAGAAACUGACACCCACUAGCCACCUAUGUGCGAAGCACGUCGGUAGAACCAGUCUUGCGUAAGCGUGCGCGUAAUGUCGGUAUGAGCCGCUUCAUCCAACAAUGCCACUAAAUCAAGAAUCAACUAGUGACGGCAAGCAAUAUGUAAAUACCCAUGCCCAAAACUCCUUUGUGUUCUACUCGUGCAUAUAACAUCUACGCAUAGAUCUAGCUCGGAUGCCACUGUUGGGGAAUGCGGUAAUUUCAAAAAAAUUCCUACGCACACACAAGAUCUAUCUAGGUCAUGCAUAGCAACGAGAGGGGAGAGUGUUGUCCAUGUACCCUCGUAGACCGUAAGCGGAAGCAUUAUGACAACGCGGUUGAUGUAGUCAUACGUCUUCACGAUCUGACCGAUCCUAGCACCGAAGGUACGACACCUCCGCGAUCUGCACAUGUUUAGCUCGGUGACGUCCCACGAACUCUAGAUCCAGCUGAGUGUCGAGGGAGAGCUUCGUCAACACGAUGGCGUGAUGACGGUGAUGAUGAAGUUACUGAUGCAGGGCUUCGCGUAAGCACUACAACGAUAUGACCGAGGUGGAAAUCUGUGGAGGGAGGCACCGAACACGACUAAACAAUCAACUUGUGUGUUCUAGGGUGCCCCCUCCCUACAUAUAUAAAGGAGGGAGGGGGAGGCCGGCUGGCCCUCUCUAGGGGCGCCAAGGGGGGAGGAGUCCUCCUCGUAGUAGGAGUAGAAAUCUCCCCUUUCCUAGUCCCACUAGGAAUAGAAGGAAGACGGAGAAGGAGAAAGGAAAGGGGGGCCGGGCUCCCCACCCAAUUCGGAUUGGGCUUGGGGGGGGGUGCCCCCACCUAGGCCGCCUUCUCCUCUCUCCCACUAAGGCUCAUUAAGGCCCAUACACUCCCCGGGGGGUUCCGAUAACCCCCGGUACUCCGGUAAAUGUCCGAACUCACCUGGAACCAUUCCGAUGUCCAGACAUAGCCUUCCAAUAUAUCGAUCUUUAUGUCUCGACCAUUCCGAGACUCCUCGUCAUGUCCGUGAUCAUAUAUGGGACUCCGAACUACCUUCGUUACAUCAAAACACAUAAACUCAUAAUAUCGAUCAUCACUGAACGUUAAGCGUGCGGACCCAACGAGUUCGAAAACUAUGUAGACAUGACCGAGACUCAUCUCCGGUCAAUAACCAAUAGAGGAACCUGGAUGUUCAUACUGGUUCCUACAUAUUCUACGAAGAUCUUUAUCGGUCAAAUCGCAUAACAACAUACGUUGUUCCCUUUGUCAUCGGUAUGUUACUUUCCCGAGAUUCGAUCGUCGGUAUCUCAAUACCUAGUUCAAUCUCGUUACUGGCAAGUCUCUUUACUCGUUUCGUAAUGCAACAUCCCGUAACUAACUCAUUAGUCACAUUGCUUGCAAGGCUUAUAGUGAUGUGCAUUACCAAGAGGGCCCAGAGAUACCUCUCCGAUACACGGAGUGACAAUUCCUAAUCUCGGUCUAUGCCAACUCAACAAACACCAUUGGAGACACCUGUAGAGCAUCUUUAUAGUCACCCAGUUACGUUGUGACAUUUGAUAGCACACUAAGUGUUCCUCCGGUAUUCGGGAGUUGCAUAAUCUCAUAGUCAUAGGAACAUGUAUAAGUUAUGGAGAAAGCAAUAGGAGUAAACUAAACGAUCAAAGUGCUAAGCUAACAGAUGGGUCAAGUCAAUCACAUCAUUAUCUAAUGAUGUGAUCCAGUUAAUCAAGUGACAACUCUUUGUCCAUGGCUAGGAAACUUAACCAUCUUUGAUUAACGAGCUAGUCAAGUAGAGGCAUACUAGUGACACUCUUUUUGUCUAUGUAUUCACACAUGUACUAAGUUUUCGGUUAAUACAAUUCUAGCAUGAAUAAUAAACAUUUAUCAUGAUAUAAGGAAAUAUAAAUAACAACUUUAUUAUUGCCUCUAGGGCAUAUUUCCUUCAGUGGCAACUUGCUUGUCAUUCUUCUUGAAGUUUCCUUUCUUCCCUUGCCCUUUUAAUUGAAACUAGUGGUCUUGUCAACCAUCAACAUUUGAUGCUUUUCUUGUUUUCUACCUUCAUCGAUUUCAGCAUCACGAAGAGCUCAGGGAUCGUUUUUGUCAUCCCUUGCAUAUUAUAGUUCAUCACGAAGUUCCAGUAACUUGGUGAUAGUGACUAGAGAACUCUGUCAAUCACUAUUUUAUCUCAAAGAUUAACUCCCACUUGAUUCAAGCGAUUGUAGUACUUAGACAAUCUGAGCACAUGCUCACUGGUUGAGCUAUCUCCUCCAUCUUGUAGGCAAAAAUACUUGUCAGAGGUCUCAUACCUCUCGACUCGGGCAUGAGUCUGAAAUACCAAUUUCAACUCUUGGAACAUCUCAUAUGCUCCAUUGCGUUUCAAAAUAUUUUUGAAGUCCCGAUUCUAAGCCGUAAAGCAUGGCGCACUCAACUAUCAAGUAGUCCUCAUACCGAGCUUGCCAAACGUUCAUAAAGUCUGCAUCUGCUCCUGCAAUAGGUCUGUCACCUAGUGGUGCAUCAAUGACAUAAUUCUUCUGUGCAGCAAUGAGGAUAAUCCUCAGAUCACGGAGCUAGUCCGCAUCAUUGCUACUAACAUCUUUCAACAUAGUUUUCUCUAGGAACAUAUCAUAAAUAAAGCGGGGAAGCUAUACGCGAGCAAUUGAUCUACAACAUAGAUAUGCAAAUACUAUCAGGACUAAGUUCAUGAUAAAUUUAAGUUCAAUUAAUCAUAUUACUUAAGAACUCCCACUUAGAUAGACAUCCCUCUAGUCAUCUAAAUGAUCACAUGAUCCAUAUCAACUAAACCAUGUCCGAUCAUCACGUGAGAUGGAGUAGCUUCCAAUGGUGAACAUCACUAUGUUGAUCAUAUCUACUAUAUGAUUCACGUCCGACCUUUUGGUCUCAGUGUUCCGAGGCCAUAUCUGCAUAUGCUAGGCUCGUCAAGUUUAACCCGAGUAUUCUGCAUGUGCAAAACUGGCUUGCACCUGUUGUAUGUGAACGUAGAGCUUAUCACACCCGAUCAUCACGUGGUGUCUCGACACGAAGAACUGUCGCAACGGUGCAUACUCAGGGAGAAUAGUUAUGCCUUGAAAUUUUAUUAAGGGAUCAUCUCAUAAUGCUACCGUCGUACUAAGCAAAAAUAAGAUGCAUAAAAGAUAAGCAUCACAUGCAAUCAAAAUAUGUGACAUGAUAUGGCCAUCAUCAUCUUGUGCCUUUGAUCUCCAUCUGCAAAGUACCGUCGUGAUCUCCAUCGUCACUGGCAUGACACCAUGAUCUCCAUCAUCUUGAUCUCUAUCAACGUGUCAUCACAUGGUCGUCUCGCCAACUAUUGCUUUUGCAACUGUUGCUAUCGCAUAGCGAUAAAAUAAAGCAAUUAUAUGGCGCUUGCAUCUUAUACAAUAAAGAGAAACCAUAAGGCUUCUGCCGGUUGCCGAUAACUUUAACAAAACAUGAUCAUUUCAUACAAAAAUUUAUAUCUCAUCACGUCUUGACCAUAUCACAUCACAACAUGCCCUGCAAAAACAAGUUAGACAUCAUCUACUUUGUUGUUGCAAGUUUUACGUGGUUGCUAUGGGCUUCUAGCAAGAAUCGUUCUUACCUACGCAUCAAAACCACAACGAUUUUUCAUCAAGUGUGUUGUUUUAACCUUCAACAAGGACCAGGCGUAGUCAAACUCGAUUCAACUAAAGCUGGAGAAACAGACACCCACUAGCCUCCUGCAUGCUGGUAAGCAGUAUGACUAUUAUCGCCCACAACUCUUCGUGUUCUACUUGUGCAUAUAACAUCUACACAUAGACCUAGCUCUGAUGCCACUGUUGGGGAACGUAGUAUAUCAAAAAAAUUCCUACGAUCACGCAAGAUCUAUCUAGGAGAUGCAUAGCAACGAGAGGGGAGAGUGUGUCUACGUACCCUCGUAGACCGAAAGCGGAAGCGUUGAGUGACGCGGUUGAUGUAGUCGAACGUCUUCGCAAUUCAACCGAUCAAGUACCGAAUGCACGACACCUCCGCGAUCUGCACACGUUCAGCUCGGUGACGUCCCUCGAACUCUAGAUCUAGCUGAGGUCGAGGGAGAGUUUCGUCAGCACGAUGGCGUGUUGACGGCGAUGAUGAAGUUACCGACGCAGGGCUUCACCUAAGCAUUACGACAAUAUGAUCGAGGUGGAAAACUGUGGAGGGGGCACUGCACACGACUAAGAAAUCAACUUGUGUGUCUAUGGGGUGCCCCGUUCUCCGUAUAUAAAGGAGGGGAGGAGGAGGAGGGCCGGCCACAAGGGGCGCGCCCAAAGGGGGGAUUCCUACUCCUAGUAGGAGUAGGUUUCCCCCUUUCCUGGUCCAAGUAGGAGAAGAAGGAAGGAGAGGAGAGGGAGAAGGAAAGAGGGGGGCGCCGCCCCCUCCCUAGUCCAAUUUGGACCAGACCAUGGGGGGCGCGCAGCCUCCCCUUGUGGCCCUUCUCUCCUUUCCACUAAGGCCCAUGAAGGCCCAAUACUUCCCCCGGCGAAUUCUCGUAACUCCCCGGUACUCCGAAAAAUACCCAAACCACUCAGAACCUUUCCGAUCUCCGAAUAUAGCCUUCCAAUAUAUAGAUCUUUACGUCUCGACCAUUUCGAGACUCCUCGUCAUGUCCGUGAUCUCAUUCGGGACUCUGAACAAACUUCGGUCAUCAAAUCACAUAACUCAUAAUACAAAUCGUCGUUGAACAUUAAGCGUGCGGACCCUAUGGGUUCGAGAACUGUGUAGACAUGACCGAGACAUAUCUCCGGUUAAUAACCAAUAUCGAAACCUGGAUGCUCAUAUUGGCUCCUACAUAUUCUACAAAGAUUUUUAUCGGUCAAACCGCAUAACAACAUACGUUGUUCCCUUUGUCAUCGGUAUGUUACUUGCCCGAGAUUCAAUCGUCGGUAUCAUCAUACCUAGUUUAAUCUCAUUACUGGCAAGUCUCUUUACUCUUAACUCGUUCCGUAAUGCAUCAUCCCACAACUAACUCAUUAGUCACAUUGCUUGCAAGGCUUAUAGUGAUGUGCAUUAUCGAGAGGGCCCGGAGAUACCUCUCCGACAAUCGGAGUGACAAAUCCUAAUCUCGGUCUAUGCCAACUCAACAAACACCAUCGAAGACACCUGUAGAGCAUCUUUAUAACCACCCCGUUAUGUUGUGACGUUUGAUAGCACACUAAGUGUUCCUCCAGUAUUCGGGAGUUGCAUAGUCUCAUAGUCAUAGGAACAUGUAUAAGUCAUGAAGAAAGCAAUAGUAAUAAACUAAAUGAUCAUAGUGCUAAGAUAGCGGAUGGGCCUAGUCCAUCACAUCAUUCUCUAAUGAUGUGAUCCCGUUCAUCAAAUGACAACACAUGUUCAUGGCUAGGAAACUUAACCAUCUUUGAUUAACUAGCCAGUCAAGUAGAGGCAUACUAGGGACACUCUGUUUGUCUAUGUAUUCACGCAUGUACUAAGUUUCCGGUUAAUACAAAUCUAGCAUGAAUAAUAAACAUUUAUCAUGAUAUAAGAAAAUAUAAUUAACAACUUUAUUAUUGCCUCUAGGGCAUAUUUCCUUCACAAGUCCCAUAUACCACUCUAAAAGUGACCACACGGGAUGUCCAAAUAAUUUAUCUGAGGUUCUUAGAUGUGGUGUUUUUGCAAGUUCCUCAUACAUGUUCCCCUAAAACAUGUUUUCUUUCUAUUUCUCUUUAAACUAACAUACAAAUGGCAUAUGCAUGGAGAGGAGGUUAAGGAGAGACCGACGAGCGACACAGAGAGGCAGGACAGACGAUGCAGCUGGGCAGGAAGGGGAAGAGGUAAGGAGGAGACGCGACGGGGGGAGCUGGUACAUACAACACGGCUGAGUUUGUCGGGAGGCAACGGAGUGGCGGGGCCCCGAAAUUUUAACGGUUGUCUCCUACCACGCUUACUGCAAGAUUUACGAGAAGAGUCAUCUUCCCUUGACGGAGGGGAAGUUGGGUUGAUUAUAUGGCCCCCCUUAAAAAAAUUUAGAAAUGCUAUUGAUCUUGCAUUCCCUAGGACGUACAUCCAAUUCCCGUGUGCAAAUCUCACGAUCCACGUGACAAUCCUUGUUGGCUCUUAUGCACCUCUCAGAGCGAAUGACUACCUGUAUGACACUAAAUGUUCGCUCUCAUGGCGAGACCCCCAUCGUAUCCCUUAACAACCCCCCUCAAAAUCAUAUAUGGAUGACAAAUUUUGUAUCUAGAGCAUGACAAUUUCCAACAGUUUUCUCUCAUGUAGCACGGUAAGCCCCUUUUGCCAGCGUGAUAACUCUUGCACAGAUAGGCAAAUUUCUUUUCAUGUAGUGUGGCAAUCCUCUAAUGUAGCAUACAAGACUAUCUGGUGUAGCAUGGCAAUUCAUGAAAAUGUGUGGCAUUUUUUUCCUUUAGCCCGACAAUUCUCUAUGUUGCAUCAUGGCAAAAUCCCUGAAAUGCAGGGCAAUUUAUUCUACUGCGGUAUGGCAAAUGACUGAAAAUCUUUCUACUAGCAUGACAAUUUUUUUUCUUUUCAACAUAGCAAAUAUUUUUUUUUGUAAUAGCACUACAAUGACAAUUCUACUAAGGCUACAUAGAGGAAGUAACAUAAAUAGUAACAUGCAUGUCACAUAGAUAAAAAGUAUGAUGUGACAAGUAAUUAAUGAGGAGAGAUGCAAAUGGAGUAACAUAAUAUGUUACCAUAGUAUAGUGGUUCCCAAUGUAAAAUGACUCUAUAAAGUAAUAAAUGAAGCACUCUGUGUUAUCACAUCUAUGACACUACCCACUAUAGAGGUAAUAACAAUAGACUACUAAGAGCAUCUCUAGCAGAUCGCGUAAAAUCCGAGCCAUCCAGUAUAAUAACCGCCGGUUUGCGGGAUCGAUACCGUAUACCUGUCCCGACUAGAUUCUCCAAAUCCGCUGUCCCAAUUUUUUUGUGGGAUCCCGAAUCUACGGACGCAUUUCCUCCAUAUCUACGAGAUUUAACCCGACUUUGCCGGCCCCCCUUUCUGUUGGCGCGAACCCACUUCUGCCGACUUCAGUUCCCGCCUCCACUCCCCGUCGCUACCGCAAAUCCCCGCCCCUUUUCGCUGUCCCCGGCUGCCCUGCGCCGCAUCCAUUCCACCUUGUUUCUGUGCUGGGGGGUGUACCUAUUUGUGUCCGCCCCUCACGGCUGUCGCUGGCGCCAUGGAUCCGCCUCGGAGCUUGGUGCAUGGGCUUGUAGCUUGCAGACCUGGUUGGUUCCGACACCUAUGAGUGGCGCGCGUCGGAGGAAGAGGCGACUCGUCUUUGCUUUGUCCGGCGGGGAGAAGAAAGGGGCGGCGCCACGCGUCUUUGCUUCGGUCGGCCGGGGAGAACAAAGAGGUGGCGUGACUUUGCUUCGGUUGAGGUAUGUAUAACACCCGCGGGUUUGUGCUCAAUUUGGAACGGAGUAGGUUCAGGUGAAAUUCAUGGCCAUUUUGCAUGCAUUUUAUAGAUGGAUUGGAGUUCGUCCUCGUUGUCUUCGUCCGGCGAUUCGUACAUAGAAGAGAUGAUCCCUUGACGAUGAUGAUGACAACCUAGUGUUGUUGUAUCUCGUCGACGAAUUUGAGGCGGGACCGAAGAAAUCGUGGCGUGGAUCCAUGGUCGGCUGGCUAUGCAUUCCCCGCAACCGAGCUCUCGGUGACAAGAUGCUCAUGAAAGACUACUUUGCUGAGAUACCGACAUAUCUGGCUCACCUCUUUCGUAGAUAAUAUCAAAUGUAUAUGUCACUUUUAGUUCGCUCGUCAAAGCUUGCGAGCAAAAUUGACGUUUCUUCACUUAGUGUAGGAAUGCCCCCGUUUUGAUUGGCUUUAGUGCAUAUGAAAAAAUUCGAUGGCGAUGAGAGUGAUUGCAUAUGGUGUUCCCGCCCACUAUGCAGAUGAAUAUCUUCGCAUUGGCGAAGAUACCACCAUCAAAUGUGUCAAUGUCUUUGCGAAGACAGUCAUCCGGGUUUUUGUCCCGGAGUACCUUUGAACUCCAAUUGAAGCAGACACAAAGAACCUCAUGGCAAUGAACGGAGCAAGGGGAUGGCCGGGCAUGCUAGGUAGUAUUGAUUGCAUGCAUUGGAGGUGGAAGAACUUCCCGGUGGCUUGGGCAGGGCAAUACACCGGUCACAAACAUAGACUCACCAUCGUGCUUGAAGCCGUGGCUUCACAUGAUCUAUAGAUCUAGCAUUGCUUCUUUGGUUUGCCGAGGUCUCUCAAUGAUAUCAAUGUUCUGCAGCGAUCUCAUUUGUUUGCUCAGCUAGCUAGUGGCAAAGCUCGGGCUUGCAACUAUACAAUCAAUGGCCAUGACUAUACCAUGGGGUAUUAUCUUGCCGACGGUAUUUAUCCAUCAUGGUCAACAUUUGUGAAGACCAUUAGUGACCCUAAAAUCAAGAAGCACAAUUUUUUUUGACGAAACACAAGAAGCUUGCCAAAAGGAUAUUGAGAGGGUAUUUGGUGUGUUGCAAGCUUGGUUUGCCAUUGUUCAAGGUCCUGCUCGCUUUUGGGAUAAAAAAUCACUCAGAAAUAUCAUGAUUGCUUGUGUAAUUUUACACGACAUCAUCGUUGAGGAUAAGAGUGAUUUGGACUUGGAGUACAACUAUGACAAUGUUGGUAGCCGUGUGAAGCCCGCCAGGGACGCAAAAGAGAUCAGUGCAUUUCUUAAGACCUACUGGAAGAUCGAGAACCGUGAUUCGCACAACCAAUUCCAGCAUGAUCUCAUUGAGUAUUGGUGGCAACUCUAUGAGCGAAGAUUAGAUCCCCAUUUUUCUUCAUUUCUAUUCGUGUGAGAUAUGCCGGCACUGUGUUCUAAUAAUUAUUUGAAUUGAACAUUUGUUGUAAUGAAAACUAUUAUUGUAUUGUGAAUUGCUUUUCGGACCAUUUAUAUGUAUGUUGAAUUUAUAUUAUGAUUUCAUUCGGUUGAUAUCAUUGAAAUGUGUAAUGUGUUUGAUGCUAUGCAAAAUUUAAGGUAGCGGGAUGCAUUUGCGGGAUUUGUUCCGCAGGAGCGCUCGCGGCACCGUAAAUUUUUUUAUGGGCGCCCUUAUACGCGUUUCGUGGACCGCACUGGUUGCGGGAUCUGCUAAAGCAGGCGUAACAUAUGCAUGUUACUAAUUACUAGUCUAAUUUACUCCGCAUUAUGACCAGCCUAACCCGUCCAAGAUAACGCCUUAUUAUUGGUGUUUUUUUCGUUUACAAGACCUGUUGAUGAAGACUUUUUUUAACUCAAAGUCAUUACUUUUAACACAAUGCUGGCAUAUCAUCUCGAGAGCACCAGUACCCUAGUGAGCUGGAAUACCACUGUUCUUUUAACCAUCUAACCACAUGUUGAUUCGCAACUCAAAAUUAUUAUUUUAAUAAUAAAAAAAUGAGUAUGUUUUUACAUUUGUAUGGACCCACCCCACCACGUGUGUGACGUGCCCGUCAUCAACCGAUAAGAACACAGUCGUGCCACGCACGGGAUAACGAUAGCAGCAACCCGCCCACCGCCCCGCCCACCGCCCACCCAGACCCAGCGCUCCCCUUGCCACCAAACCCGCGUGGCCCUCGACGUCGGUUCGUCUCCGACCACGACUGGAAAAGGUCAAACCGCCACCGCGCGCACCGACUCUUUCCCGGAAACCCAUCGCCGCCACCAGCUCCACGCCCCCUAUAUAAAUACCACACAAGCCCCCCAUGGUUUCCCCGCAUCGGAGGAUUUGAUUGACUUGUCUUCUCCUCUUCCACCUCUCGUCGUUGGGUAAGUCGCAGGUAUGGUAUUCGUAAUCGGUCCCGAUCUCGCGCUCUGCUCGCUGUUCUUCGUUUGAUUGUAUUCCAGGCGAGCGUUCUGUCUUGGUUGAGGUGCUCCUUCCGUCGAGUUCUUAGUCCCGGUGGUUUCUCGUCUGUUUCGUUGAUAUCGGUACCGUACGUGUUCUGAACCUUGCUGCUUUGAUUUAGGGUCGCGGCUAAUCUAUUUUGCUUUGACUUCUGAUCUGAUUUAGGGAUCCAUCAUGCUCUGAUUGCGAUGUGAUUUAGGGUCGUGUAUCAUAUUUGCUGAUUUGAUUUAAGGUUGUGAUGAGUAACGGAGAUUAUAUUUGGCGCGAAUUACGAGUUCUGUUGGUAUAGAUACGUGGAGCAGUUCGUUUGGUUUCAGUUCUGUUCGUUAUGGCGGAUUGGCCUGGUCGGUUUAGUUGGUCCCGUGGAGAUGUUUGACAUGAUCCGAAUGAGAGAUUGAAGGUUGUGGUUUCAGUUUCGAUUCUUCUGUUCAAUUCAAGGUGAUUCAGUAAUGUUCUGCGUACAAAGUGCUUCAUAUUUUUGCGGCGAAAAACAGUGGGUUGGCGACAGUUCAGACAGUCAAAAUUCUCCAGUAUUUUUGCCUUUGAUCCCGUUCAUUCAUACAUAGUCAGACUCAAUAAGAAUUAGAGGAAGUUGGAAAAAGGUUUGCUAGGUCUAUCCGGAUAUAUUUGCUUUCGCCUAGCAGCCUAUACAUGUCAGAUUAUAUAUGAAAAGGAUUGUGCUAUAUUACCAUGUUAUGAAGGUAGAGCUGGGAUAUGUCUUUCUUGAACUGUGUGCACAUGCUCAUGGUGGAGGUGUGAUUCUUCAGUGGCUAUAUUUUGGUGUCAACUUUUGGUUGGUUUCAUUUCAAGAUUGCUAGGAAAAUCGGAGGUUGUGUUUGCAUUCUAGACGUAAUUAUCUUGGGAAGUACCUCAAAUGAACAUGGAAGUUUUGCUUUUGAAGUGAUCUGUUUGAAGGUUCUUUCAACUAGAGUGAAGAAACUAUUGGAUUGUGUCUGCAAAAUUAGUUUACUGCUGCUGUGUUUUUCUGGAGUGGUAUGUCAAGGUCUAUUCAGAUGCUGGUUACUGUGUGGGAUUCUACCAAUCCUUCUGAUCACUAGCUUGUGCGUUUGAUUUUCUACAUGGAUAUUCGGUUGGGCUUCAGCCGGUUUCAUGCUCUGUCCGGUGUUGGAUUAGUCUUAGCCUGAUAAUUAGUACUCUUAUUGUAAUCUGUAGCCAUGUUUUUAUGAUUAGUAUGUUCUAAUGCAAUUUAUGUUGUACACAACUGUCAAUUAUGCAUCUGUUCUGAUGUUGCUUACUGUAACCGAUGUAAUUGUUGAAUGAUAUAUGGAUGCCAUAAUUUAGCCCUUCGUCUUCAUUUUGUUUGGUGUAUAAAAGCUGUAACCAAAUAGCAACUGAAUUUCAUAGCGUGAUGUUCUUUUUUCCUGCAUAAGUUACAUUUUUAUUCAUUGUUCAUCCAUGCAAAUUCAGUGGAUAUUGUUGUGAACAUCCUGCUUUUGUAGUUCUCAUCAUCUCAAGUUAACAAUGAUGACUUUUGACCUAACAUUUUGAACUUUGUUACGUUAUCCAUCGUUAUGUUGUCCGAUCAUCCGUUUAAUUAGUUUAACUGUGAAAUAUGGUGCUUGUUGUGCUGUCCAUAUGCAGAAGAUUAAUUUUAAUUAUCACAUGGGGUGCUUGCAUUUAAUCUUGAUUUUACAUAUAUCAUUCAUGAGUAUCAUAUUAUGUUGCUAUUUUACGUAGUUUGGUAUUAUAAGCUUGAAGUUCAUGUUAAUGUGAGGGUAAUACUGUGAGAUAACUAUGUUAGUCCAUAUAUAGAGUUCUAUGUUUGAAUUAUUUACAGUCUGCUUUUACUCUUGAGUUCCCAACCUAGUUAGUGUCAGUUAAGAUCUUAUACUGUUCAUGGAACACCUUAUAUGAUCUGUAACAGUUUUGAGCAAGUAUUCAAAGGCAAUAUAGUGAUAAGUGGCGUUGGUCUAAUCGUAGUUCUACGCGUAUGUUGUUUACAAUUUAUUUUCACUCUUACAGUUUCCAUCUUGUCAGUGAAUUAAGAUUCUAGUNNNNNNNNNNNNNNNNNNNNNNNNNNNNNNNNNNNNNNNNNNNNNNNNNNNNNNNNNNNNNNNNNNNNNNNNNNNNNNNNNNNNNNNNNNNNNNNNNNNNNNNNNNNNNNNNNNNNNNNNNNNNNNNNNNNNNNNNNNNNNNNNNNNNNNNNNNNNNNNNNNNNNNNNNNNNNNNNNNNNNNNNNNNNNNNNNNNNNNNNNNNNNNNNNNNNNNNNNNNNNNNNNNNNNNNNNNNNNNNNNNNNNNNNNNNNNNNNNNNNNNNNNNNNNNNNNNNNNNNNNNNNNNNNNNNNNNNNNNNNNNNNNNNNNNNNNNNNNNNNNNNNNNNNNNNNNNNNNNNNNNNNNNNNNNNNNNNNNCUCUGGUUGAGAAUUGAGAUUAUAUGGCACAUACUGCAACUUUCAAGCUUGGUAGAAGAUUUAUUUGCAUGUGAUUUAGCUUUCCUUCCCUCCUUAUUUUGUUCAGAUGAUAAGCAUAAGCAUGGUAUGUACGGUAAUUUUCAGGUGCCUUGUUUUCAAAAUAAAAACAUUUUAUUAUGCUGUGAGAUUAUUUGAAUAACUACUUGUCCCUGAUUCGUUGUGUUGUAUUCUCUUAGGUCUGAACAGUGCAGUUGUUGUAUAUGACCUGAUGUUCCUUUUGCGUCCUUGGAUGUGGGCUUCUGUUUGUUUACUAGUUCUUAUUAGCUCAGCAACUAGCUGGGUCUUAUCCUCUUGACUAACUAGAGCAGUCUUAACAGAAAAUACGAUUUAUUUGUUGUGCUUAACUACUCUUAAAUUGUCUGCAUGAUCUAGUUUUGACGCUUUUUCCCGAAUAAUGUAAAUAAUGUUGUGCCGUUUAACUUGUUACUUGAGUUCCAAUUCCUACAGUUCUAAUUUUCUUUUGCUUGACAUAGAAUUAUGCUAUCUGUUGAAAUUAUUUAUCUUGCUACUGGUCACUAUUCACAUGAUUUUUUAAUGGUUAGGAUGAUGUUACAAGCCAAGUAGGUGUUGCUACAUUCUAUGCUUUAUUAUUUAGUUAGAUAGAAGUCACCUGGAAAAUACAUCAUAGGGGUUUUAAUUUCUCAGCCUUGGUGACCAGUUGUAUGUAAGUAGGUAGCUUUUUAUUUUAGUUCAAAAAACUUGAUUCGUUCAUAUGAGUUCUUAGUUUCCUUUUAAGCCUGUUAUGCUGUACAUAUGUCUAAUAGAAUUUUCUGGCCUAUCGGUAUUUGUUGUUUGUACUGCAUUUUCAGUUUUUUGCUAAUAAUAAAUGUUUGGUCAGUCUUGGUAUGCCCCUAACCCUCUUGUUGUUUUGUUCUAGUCUGAAUUUGAGCUCUGUUCCCUAUCCCCAUGUUGCACCGCUUUAAGAUAUUUUAAAAUCUUUUGAUGUGCUGCGUGUAUAUCCUUAACAAACUCAAAUACAUUUUUAUUCAUCGCCAGGUAAUACCUUACAAGUUUCUUUGUCGAGAAUUAGGUGGGCAAGCUAGUUCGUACUGCCGUUUAUUUCAUGUUUGCACAUCUUAUUGACACUGUUGACAUAGAGAUUUAUUUUGAGAAAGAGUUUGUUUAGUCUUGAUCGUUAUGUAGUUCUGUGCAGUUCAGUCACCAUCUUGUACGUUGUUAAUUUAUAAUGUUAAAUAACUUAUGUGUACUGUAAACAAUCUUUUACUGAUUCUACUUGUGAUCUAAUUAUUAAGUACUAUACUUGUACGUGAAUGUCAAAUUGAUUUGUACCAGAUUGUUAUUAGACAGUGUUUUUCUUUCCUCAUCUGUUGCAUUUUGAAUGACAAUAUAAUAUAUGUUGUUUGUUUCAAUCUUUACUGUUGUGUUGUUAAAAAUGUAUGUUUCUCCUAUUUGUAUUUUGUUAUGGCGCUGCUAGAAGGAGGGCGCGAGAGGGCCGGCCGGGGGCCUUUUGCCCACGGCCGGGCAAGAUGGAAGGGAUUUCCUUCUUAAUUCUUGCUUGACUAGAUUGAUACAUCUCCUCCCCUUAUAUAGAGAGGUUUACUUGACUCCCCAGCAAGGUUUACUUGACCCCUAAGCAAGCGACCCUUAUCUCUAAUUAACCCUAAGACUAACAGGCUAUACCGCCAGCCCAGGCCCAUUAGGCCCAUUACGUACUCCAACAGUUCUUUCUUCUAAACUUAACAACUAUUACAUGCCUAUAAUUUUGCAAAUAAGUAGCUCUCGUAGGUUCAGUAGCACCAUGCUUUCCGAAAUGUGAGUUCAUAUAUUUAACUUUCUUCCAGACAUCUUUUCGUGUCGUACAAACUAGGCCAUACAUUUUUACUCAAAGUUCAUAUAUCAUACCAUCGUCAAGUUAAUUUGGUACUCCCUCUAUCUCUUUUUAAGUCAAAACUUUCACAAUACAAAAAGUAUGUAGAAAAGAAAACACCAACAUUCACAAUACAAAAACAAUAUCAGUAAGAUUCAUCAUAGAAUAUAUUUUCAUAUUGUAUUUGAUACUGUAGAUGUUUGAUACUUCUCAAAAAGAAACGGAAGGACUAUAUUUUUCCGUUGUUAUAGCAUUGUUUUGAAAAUGGCUAUUUUAUCUUAAAUGGUGCACCGUGCAUCAACUUUUUUGGCUAUGCAUUGUCCCAAAUUUGGUGCAUGGCUGAAUUUGAAGUGUGCUUGUGGUAAUUAUCAAGGUGUUAAUGUUAAUUUUGCAUGUUGACCUUUUGUCCCGGUUAGUUAUUGGUCUCUUUUCAAAGCUUUGGCGGCAUUUUGAUUUGUUGAAAAUAACAACUAUUUGAAGAAUGUUCACUCGGUUUACCGGACAGUCAAGUACCUGAUAUUAGUUUGGCCUUUUGAUGUAACUGUAACAAUUGCAAGCUUGAGAAGUUGAAUUUGGUUUGGUCUGGGACUUGGGCGGUGUAUUUGUUAGCUUCAGUGCACUUCUUUUUAGAUCUCUAGGUGUUGUGUAUUUUCUUUAGUGCAUUAUGAUAUACAGAACUACUCCCUCCGUUUGUUUUUAUAAGACGUUUCAGACAGCUUGUUUUGUAUUGUUUUAAACAGUGUCUGAAUGUCUAAAACGUCUUAUAAAAAUGAACAGAGGUAGUACUUUUUUGUAUUUGACUGAUUGAAUCGUGCCUCUUAAAAGAUGUUACAGUUCCUAUUUGUAAUAAAUGUGUAUGAUUCAUUUUUUGGACGGUGUGUAUGAUUUGUUUUGAAGUGAAUCGUUUAUCUUCCUAUAAAUACGAGUGUUUGUGUCCAUUAAAAAUCUUUGCGCCGGUUCUUGAAUCAGUAGCACCUUACAUGGCUUUGAUUUGUUAAUGUGGAUUUGUGUUUUCAUCUGGUAUACAGUUCUCUUGUGUUCAGUGUGUGCAUAAUGAGUCAGAGUGUUGCAGUAUAUGCCUUCGUUGAGUUUUGUCUCUUGCAAUUGUGGCAGUAUCUUUCUAUAUAAUUGAUAAUUUCGAACAUGAAUAGUUGAUUGUUGAGUUUCUUCCCAUAUAAUUGAUGAUUUUGAAUAGGAAUAGUUGAUUGUUCAGUUAAUAGUAAAAGUUGGGAGUGCUUAUGCCUUACAAUAUUUCGUAUCUUUGUUUCCUGAAUUAGUUAUCUUUCUUGGUUGGGACAUGUUGUUAAUUUGUGUUAAUCUGACAUGUUGUGCGCUAUUGUGUGCAAAAUGACCCCUCAAAAGAGGCCUUCUCAUUUACGAAUACUGGAAUGAUACAAACGGAUAUGUUUUGCUUUGUUUUCUUGGGUAUGACUUGGAUGCUAAUACUUCAAAUAUUUUCUUAAAUUUACUUCUUGGGUGCACUUCAUGUGAGUUUUAGUGUGAUUACAAGAUGGUGCCGUACUUUCUCUCUUGAGUUGCAGUAUAUGUAUCUAGUUACGCAUUUGUCAUGAAUCCAAAUCAUAAUGUAUCUGUGUGACUUUGAUAGUAGUUUGUGUGUGUGUGUGUGUGUGUUGGGGGGUGAGUCUCUUUCUUUUUGUAUUUAAAGGUUGCUGAGCUAUUGAUUUUCUACUUGGUUGUUGCUCAUGAGAGUCUCUGCGCCGCAGAUCAAUUAUCUAUGCUCGAGUAUAAUUAACAUAAGACACCUUAGAAUUAUGUGAAGCUAUCUGUAUCCCAUAUCAUAUUGAUGUCUGUCCACAUUUUGGUUAUUAGGCUUGUUUUUCUAAGAUAGUUGAAGGUACUAACUGAUUUUUUUACAUUUAUAAGCUUUGUUGUGAUAAUGUGUUCUUCAAUUUUAUGUUCCCUUUGUUUGCGAUUUUGUCCAAAACAAUUUUAGUGCCUAUAUUGUAUGUUCAUUAACACACAUCUGAAAUGCAAGUUCCUACAUUUUCUGUUUUUUUGCUGCAUUCAACUUAGCUAUCAAUUCAACAACUUAGCUAAACAUAUCAAUUAUAUGUUCGUAUCAACUUUUUAUCCAUCGUUGUUGUGAGUAUGGCUGUCUUAAUUAUAUUAGAUACUUAUUUUGACAGGGUCUCAGAUUUGGUGCAUGUCGGAAUUUCUAGUGUGAUACUGUACAGUCAUGAUGCAAGGUGUUAAUUUGUGUAUGCUGACCUCAUCUGCGUGAAAUAGUUGAGCUAAUUAAUAUAACUGCAAUUUAUAGUCAUGAGAAUUUGCUAUUUAUGUUUUAUUAUUUUAUAUCGACGCACAAGUCUUUUAUGUUGGAUAGAUUGAGUUUUGCUUGGCAGUAGCUUCUAUUUGUAUGAUUUCCUUUGAAAGGGAUAUCGUUCUGUUGAUGGGUUUGUUUUCAUAGCCUUGCAUUUUGUGUGUGUUAUUUGUGUGCAAAAAGAGUCUCAGUAGGUCAUUUUCUUAACCAUUUCUGAUAGUGUCGAUACCCCUCUUGAUGGCUGCAUUAGUUGUUGCAUCUCAUUUUGAUGUGAGCUGUGUAUGUUGUUUGCAUCUCUAUUUACAGUUUGUAUUGUUUGCCCUGUUGACAUGUUUCAUAUUUGCCUCUGUAGAUUUAUUCUUUAUAUGUGAAGCGUAUGUAUGGGGUGGGUGAGGGUGCGUAACACUGCCAAUGCCGGUCCCAAGCCCGGAUAAAAGUGGAGGGAGCACCAACUAACUAUUGUAUGUGACAGUCUAUUUUGCGGAAGUUGUUUCUGACUUUCAGUAUUCUAGAAUAGAAUCUAAGCGGAUGUCCCUAGCUGAAGAUGUGGGAGCUCGUCCAGCUUGAUUAUGCACACAGGAAAUGAAAAUCUCUGGUCGCAACUAAUCCUAGCAUGAAAAUAGGGAAGGAAAUAAGAACUUGGAAGGUACAGUGAUGUUCCAAACCCAAAUGGAAGUUUGUCAAACUUGUCCUGAGCAGAGCCGGGGGACAUUGGUGGAAGUCUAUCGUUUUAACUUCGUAGUUUUUUUCACUGUGGUCAACUCUACGAGUAGCACGGGCAAAAUAUGUGCAAAUUUUCAAGCCUGGCAAUUUAACUAGAUGAUAAUCUAAUUUCACGUUCUUUGUGGUACCAGAAGAUCAAAAACACAUGUUGAAACUUUGCAGGUGAGGUAGAUGCUAAUUCAUUUUUAGUGUAUAACUGUACUCAUCGAUGCCCAGUCCAUGCCACAGGAUGCUCUUCGUCCUGCCUAGGGCAACUUGAGGGGUCUCUUAUUUAGCUCAGUUGGGGGACAACAUGUUUGUGGCACGUUUUGAAGGAAAAAAAAGGACAACGAUGGGAUCUUUGAGGGAGGUCCGUGGAUGGCGGGGAAACACGUGGUUGUGUUGUUGAUUUUUGAUGUGAAAUCGCGGCCCUCAGACCUCAAAUUUGAGAUGAUGCAGAUCUAGACAAGGGUGAUCAAUUUACCCUUCAAUCUUCGAUGCCCUCCAUGUCUAGAAAGGAUAUCAAAACUUCUGGAAAGGUCACCGGGGUAUAUGUGGACGCAAAGGGCUUUGCCUAUGGGGAAGCACUGAGAACACGAUUGUGGAUUGAUGUGCCCGAGCCAUUGAUGAGGUGGGUUCGGCUAGAAUCAACAAGAACAAAGGAGGAUGUGUUUUAUGAUAUCCAUCAUGAAUCAUUGCCUUAUUUUUUUUCUCCCACAGUCUGUUUGGGCAUGCGGAACUGUACCGUCUGACACCGUCAGAAAGAGAUAGUCAGGGGGGACUUUCGUAUGGUGAGUUGAGGAUGCCAACUUGUAAGAAAAGUUGGGGGAGUGCGCCAUAUCAUGGAUAUGGAGAUCCUUCGGGAUCUCACAACGAAUAUGAGAAAAUGGGAGGAGGAGCAAGUAAAAAAAGGGAGGAGGUGACACCUCCAAAUAAGUUGGGCAGUAGCAGGAUUACAGUAGCAUUGUACCAGUUUAAUGCUAGGGGCGACGUCGUAGCUAGCAGAGGUGCACCCUUUCAAUGGGGCCCGGGACAUGGCAUAGACACUCUUUAUAGGUGUGUGAACAUGGAUGGAAAUAUAGGGAAUGGAAAUUGGGGGUGGGGUAUACACUCCUCAUGUUGGUGGAUCAGGAAACCUUAAAUAAGAAAAAGACUAGUGAGGCUGGGGUGUCCAAUGAUUUCAUGGAAGAUAUCAGAUAUUUUUGCCUCGUAGACCUAAUCUUAUUCACAUGCAUAGCCACCUUGGCGAUUGGAAGUCUAAGAAGAUCAGAGAUGUUAGAUGCAAAUUAAAAAGGUCCGUAAGGAGUUUGAGAGAGGGAAGAGUAACUCCUUGUAUCGGGGCUUGUCACCAGGUGAGAAGGAGUUGGCUCGACAACAUAAUGAACUGUUAUAGUGUGAGGAGAUCAUGACACGACAAAGCUGACAUGUUGAUUGGUUGCAGGUUGGGGAUCAAAACACAUGAUUCUUCCAUGCCUAAUCAACUGCGUGACGGGCACACAACAAGAUUACUACACUGGAGGAUGCUCAGGUGAUGGUGUACGAAAGCAAAGAAGCCCUUUUUAAUGUUAUUUACAAGCUUUGCUCUAUAGUGUUGGCUAACCGUCUUUUGUGAAACAUUGCCCUGCCAUAAUGUGAUAUGUUUCCAAUGUCAAUAAAAAGUAACUCACCCAAUGGUAUUUAACAUCCAUAAAACUGCCAAAUAAAAUGCGUCCUAGUGAGAUUUUAGAUGAGAUCAUUUCCAAGGAGCAAAGUGCUUUCGUUCCAGGGCAGCUCAUUACUGACAACACCAUCACAGACUAUGAGUGCAUCCAUGUUAUGAGAAAGAAGAAAGGGAAGCAGGGUUGGUGUGUGGUUAAUAUGCCCUUUCUUCAGGCAUGUAGAAUGUUACCUUCAAUGUUAUCCCCCAAAUUCUUGGGUGCGGCUGUGCACUCAUACAAUGUACGAACGAUGAAUGCAUAAAAUGCCUUCAAGGUCCAUACCAAAUGAAAAACCAUUCGUUUAGUUUUCUUGCCUAAUUUUAAGCUUUAACACAUGUGUUGUGUAAAAAAGGCAAAAAAAAAA
rnacentral:lncRNA from 1 species